GGGGCCACGGCCGGCGGGGGAGACACCGGCGCCGGGGUCGGCGGCGGCAUCGUCGGGGGCGGGGACACCGGGGCCACGGGCGCGGGCAUCGGGGUGGCCGCCGGGGCCUGGGCCGCGGUGGCGGCGAACAGCAUGGUCAGGGCCAGAGCCACGAGCUGGAUGCGCGCCAUUGCAGGAGUGAAGAGGAGAGCUUGAGCUUGAGCUUGGGGUGGCUUCUGCUUCUGCUUGAGGUGGUGCUGGUGGUGGUGUGUACUGUAAUGGUGUCCGAGACGGUAUUGGGCCGGGAGAUUAUAAAGGGGCCGCGGACGGGGCCACGACGACGAAUUACAAGAUGUGUCAGGGGCCUUCCUGCUAAUUUGCGCGCCGGGUAGCCGUCCGAUCGACAUCCAACAGCUGGUCCGGGUGGAAAGCUUCAACUCUUUUUUCUUCUCCGAACUUCUGACUUCUGAACAGCAAGCAAGCAAGUUUUUUUCCAAACGAUCAGAAAAAAUCUAGUUCAAUCCCAACAGCUGGCGGACAUAAUUUCUUUCUUUUGGUUCAUGGAAAAUUCUCCCGCGAUCGCCUUGCCUAAUUCUGUUUCUCGUUAUGGUUCACGCGUGGUUCUGGUCGACGGUGAGCUGGGUUUCUCUUCCUGUUUUUGCCUUGCCUAAUUUUGUCUUCUGGACGAUCAAUGCAAAAUGGCAAGUAGCUAGUGAGCCAAUUGGCCCACGCGUUCGCAAUGUCCCUUACAACCACAAUAAAAUGUCAGACUUCAAAACAAUAUUACUUCGAAAGUCAAGGUCACGCGUAAAUGUGAAAUGGCAAGUUUCUUUUAGGGUUGUGUGAAAUACCAAGUGGUAUUUGCUAAUGAGCCGAUUGGCUCACGCGUUUGCGGAGUUAUUGCAUCAAGUUUUUCUUUACAAGGAUGAUAAAAAGUCAGAUUUCAAAAACAAAGUUACUUCCAAAGUCAAAGUGCUUUUUCUCGCAAUUACAUGGGCGACGCACGCGCAGACACGCAUGCGCCAACGUGAAAUAUCAAGAAGUAUUUGCUAGUGAGCCGAUUGGCUCACACGAUUGCGAUGUUUGUGCAUCGAGUUUUCUUUACAAGGAUAAUGGAGGUCCAUUUUCAACAGCAAGGUUGCCUCCAAGGUCAAGGUGCUUCUUUAUGCAGUUACAACACACACGUAGACACGCACACACGCACUCAGAACCUUAUAAAUUUGGAGAAUUUUUUUCCUUUUCUUUUUGAGGCAACCUUGCUGUUGAAAACUAAAGUUGAGAGAGAGUUUAGUCCCACCCUGAAAGUUGAGAGUUGCACCUCUUUAUAAAGUGAGCUCUUCUACCACUUGUAUGAGCAUGAGAAGAGGAGACCCAAUUCUCACAGACUACGACGUUAAUAGUCAAAUUCAUAUAGGUGUGUUCCUUAGAAGAUGUUCUGCAGGACAACAUCUCUGCUUACCCGAAUAAGCCACUUGGAACACAUUAAGAUAAGUAUCAACCUGCCAUGCAGAUCAAGAGAGUAUUGCAUCUUCACGGAGUGGGAUAAUUAAUAUAGGGAUACUCUCCUCCCAGCUGACCAACAGCUUGUCUCCCACUUCUACUUCACGGGAUCUCCGAUCAUAUAGAGUGGUUUACCACUAUGGACAACUCAUGCGGUGGGUCUCAAACCCAUCUCUAUCGAUGCAUCAUCUAUCACAUUACAUGAUAGACCAUUUGUGAAGGGAUCUGCCAAGUUUUUCGACGUUUGGAUAUAAUCCAACGUAAUAAAUCCGGAGUUCCUCAAUUUUCUGACAGAUUUUAGUCUCCUCUUCACAUGCCUUGAGGACUUCAUAUUGUCCUUAGAACUGUUUAUCUUGACGAUCACAGUUUGAUUAUCACAGUUCAUCAGGAUAGGGGGGAUUGGUUUUUCAACCAUAGGUAAGUCCAUCAAGAGUUCACGAAGCCACUCUGCUUCAACAGUGGCAGUGUCUAAUGCUGUGAGUUCUGCUUCCAUAGUUGACCUUGUUAAGAUGGUCUGCUCGCAAGACUUCCAGGAAACAGCACCACCACCAAGUGUAAAAACAUAACCACUUGUGGCCUUAAUCUCAUUAGCAUCAGAUAUCCAGUUUGAGUCACUAUAACCCUCCAGUACCCUUGGAUACCCGGUGUAGUGAAUCCCAUAGCUCGCGGUGCCUUUCAAAUAGCGCAUAACUCUCUUAAGCACAUGCCAAUGAUCAUCUCCCAGUUUUGACACAAACCAACUCAGCUUGCUCACAGCAAAAGAGAUGUCAGGCCUCGUGGCACUCGCCAAAUACAUAAGCGAGCCAAUAAUCUGAGAAUACCUCAGUUGAUCUCUAGCAAUCCGUCGAUUCUUUCGAAGCAACACACUAGCAUCAUAUGGAGUUGGAGAAGGCGUGCAGUCGCUAUACCCAAAACAACUCAAGACCUUUUCCACAUAAUGAGACUGAAGCAGUGUGAUCCCACCAUUCUCAUCUCUCAACAGCUUGAUGUUUAAGUUAACAUCAGUUACUCCUAGAUCCUUCAUCUCAAAACAGCGAGAUAAGAAAUCCUUAACCUCCUUGAUUAAAUCAAGUUUGGUUCCAAAGAUCAAUAUGUCGUCGACAUACAGACAAAGAAUAACUCCUUCGCCCCCAUGCUACGUCUCGAGCUAGCGUUGGUUUUCUCCGAAGAGGAGGGGGUGAUGCAGCACAGUAGCGUAAGUAUUUCCCUCAGUUUUUGAGAACCAAGGUAUCAAUCCAGUAGGAGGUCACGCGCAAGUCCCUCGUACCAACACAAAACGGUAGCAACUCGCAACCAACGCUUAGGGGUUGUCAAUCCCUUCACGGUCACUUACGAGAGUGAGAUCUGAUAGAGAUAAUAUUUUUGGUAUUUUUGGUAUAAAGAUGCAAAGUAAAAAGUAAAAGCAAAACAAGUAAAAUAAAUUAAUGGAGAUUGAUAUGAUGAGAAUAGACCCGGGGGCCAUAGGUUUCACUAGUGGCUUCUCUCAAGAGCAUAGAUAUUCUACGGUGGGUGAACAAAUUACUGUUGAGCAAUUGAUAGAAUUGAGCAUAGUUAUGAGGUUAUCUAGUUAUGAUCAUGUAUAUAGGCAUCACGUCCGUGACAACUAGACCGACUCCUGCCUGCAUCUACUACUAUUACUCCACUCAUCGACCGCUAUCCAGCAUGCAUCUAGAAUAUUAAGUUAAAAACAGAGUAACACCUUAAGCAAGAUGACAUGAUGUAGAGGAAUAAAUUCAUGCAAUAUGAUAAAUACCCCAUCUUGUUAUCCUCGAUGGCAACAAUACAAUACGUGCCUUGCAACUCUUUCUGUCACUGAGUAAGGACACCGCAAGAUUGAACCCAAAGCUAAGCACUUCUCCCAUUGCAAGAACUACCAAUCUAGUUGACCAAACCAAACGGAUAAUUCGAAGAGACUUGCAAAGAUAACUCAAUUAUACAUAAAAGAAUUCAGAGAAGAUUCAAAUAUUAUUCAUAGAUAAGUUGGAUCAUAAACCCACAAUUCAUUGGUCUUAACAAACACACCGCAAAAAGAAGAUUACAUCGAAUAGAUCUCCACGAGAGAGGGGGAGAACAUUGUAUUGAGAUCCAAAAAGAGAGAAGAAGCCAUUUAGCUACUAGCUAUGGACCCGAAGGUCUGAAGUAAACUACUCACACUUCAUCGGAAGGGCUAUAGUGUUGAUGUAGAAGCCCUCCGUGAUGGAUGCCCUCUCUGGCAGAGCUCCGGAACAGGCCCCAAAAUGGGAUCUCGUGGAUACAGGAAGUUGCGGCGGUGGAAUUAGGUUUUUGGCUCCCUCCCUGGUCUAAUGGGGGUAUGUAGGUAUAUAUAGGAGGAAGGAGCACGUCGGUGGAGCUCCGAGGGGCCCACGAGGCAGGGGCGCACCCAGGGGGCGCCCUCCACCCUCGUGACCUCCCCGGAAACUUCUUGGAGUAGGGUCCAAGUCUACUGAAUCACGUUCGGUGAGAAGAUCACGUUCCCGAAGGUUUCAUUCCGUUUGGACUCCGUUUGAUAUUCUGUUUCCUAGAAAUACUGAAAUAGGAAAAAAACAGCAAUUCUGGGCCGGGCCUCCGGUUAAUAGGUUAGUCUUAAAAAUAAUAUAAAAGUGAAAAAUAAAACCCAAUAUAGUCCAAAAUAGUAGAUAAAGUAGCAUGGAACAAUCAAAAAUUAAAGAUACGUUGGAGACGUAUCAGACAUCCCCAAGCUUAAUUCCUGCUCGUCCUCGAGUAGGUAAAUGAUAAAAAGAGAAUUUUUGAUGCGGAGUGAUACUUUGGCAUAAUUUCAAUGUAAAUCUUCUUAAUCAUGGUAUGAAUAUUCAGAUCCGAAAGGUUCAAGACAAAAGUUCAUAUUGACAUAAAAAUGAUAAUACUUCAAGCAUACUAAUCAAACAAUUAUGUCAUCUCAAAAUAACAUGGCCAAAGGAAGUUCAUCCCUACAAAAUCAUAUAGUUAGGCUAUGCUUCAUUUUCGUCACACAAAGAUGUUCCCAACUUUUAUACCCCCGAUGACAAGCCAAGCAAUUGUUUCAUACUCAAAUAAUCUCAAACUUUUUCAACCUUCACGCAAUACAUGAGCGCGAGCCAUGGACAUAGCACUAUGGGUGGUAUAGAAUAUGAUGAUGGGGAUUGUGUGGAGAAGACAAAAAAGGAGAAAGUCUCACAUCAACGAGGCUAAUCAAUGAGCUAUGGAGAUGCCCAUCAAUUGAUGUUAAUGCAAGGAGUAGGGAUUGCCAUGCAACGGAUGCACUAGAGCUAAGAAUGCUCAACAAAAGAAAACUAGUGGGUGUGCAUCCAACUUGCUUGCUCAUGAAGACCUAGGGCAUUUUGAGGAAGCUCAUCGUUGGAAUAUACAAGCCAAGUUCUAUAAUGAAAAAUUCCCACUAGUAUGAAUAAGACAACUUAUGAGACUCACUAUAUGAAAAUCAUGGUGCUACUUUGAAGCACAAUAUAUGAGACUCACUACAUGAAGAACAAGGUGCUACUUUGAAGCACAAGUGUGGAAAAAAGAGAUAGUAGCAUUGCCCUUUUUAUUUUCUCUUUUUUGGGGGGCCUUUCUUUUUUUUUUUGGCCUUUCUCUCUCUUUUUUUGAUUGGGCAAUGCUCUAAUAAUGAUGAUCAUCACACUUCUAUUGAUUACAACAUAAUGAUUACAACUCGAUACUAGAACAAGAUAUGACUCUAUAUGAAUGCCUCCGGUGGUGUACCAUGAUGGUGCAAUGAAUCAAGAGUGACAUGUAUGAAAAAUAAUGCAUGGUGGCUUUGCCACAAAUACGAUGUCAACUACAAGAUCAUGCAAUGACAAUAUGACAAAAGUAAAGCAUGUCAUGAUGAUGAUGAUGAUGAUGGAAGUUGCAUGGCAAUAUAUCUCGGAAUGGCUAUGGAAAUGCCAUGAUAGAUAGGUAUGGUGGCUGUUUUGAGGAAGGUAUAGGGAGGUUUAUGUGUGAAAGAGCGUGUCAUAUCAUGGGGUUUGGAUGCACCGGCGAAGUUUGCACCAACUCUCAAUGUGAGAAAGGGUAAUGCACGGUACCGAAGAGGCUAGCAAAUGGCGGAAAGGUAAAAGUGCGUAUAAUCCAUGGACUCAACAUUAGUCAAAAGAACUCAUAUACUUAUUACAAAAAUUUAGAAGUCAUCAAAAAUCAAGCACUACGCGCAUGCUCCUAGGGGGAUAGAUUGGUAGGAAAAGACCAUCGCUCGUCCCCGACCGCCACUCAUAAGGAUGCACAAGCCAGGUACACUUCAUGCUUUAAAUUUGUUACACAAUUUUAACCAUACGUGCAUGCUACGGGACUUGCUAACUUCAACACAAGUAUUUCUCAGAUUCACAACUACUCAACUAGCACGACUAUGAUAUUAUCACCUCCAUAUCUCAAAACAAUUAUCAAGUAUCAAACUUAUCUUAGUAUUCAACCCACUAAAAAGAAAGUUUCACAUAUCUUGAAUACCAAGUAUAUUAACAUUAAGCAAAUUACCAUGCUAUUAACGACUCUCAAAAUAAUCUAAGUGAAGCAUGAGAGAUCAAGUUUCUUUAAAACAAACCACCACCGUGCUCUAAAAGAUCUAAGUGAAGCACUAGAGCAAAAAUUAUCAUGCUCAAAAAGAUAUAAGUGAAGCACAUAGAGUAAACUAUCAAGCUCAAAAGAUAUAAGUGAAGCACAUAGAGUAUUCUACCAAAUUUCAAUUCAUGCAUGGCUCUCUCAAAAGGUGUGUACAGCAAGGAUGAUUGUGGUAGACUAACAAGAAAAGACACAAAUAAUACAAGAUGCUCCAAGCAAAACACAUAUCAUGUGGUGAAUAAAAAUAUUGCUCCAAGUAAAUUACCGAUGGAAGUGGACGAAAGAGGGGAUGCCUUCCGGGGCAUCCCCAAGCUUUGACUUUUUGGUAUCGUUGGAUUAUCUUGGGGGUGCCAUGGGCAUCCCAAGCUUAGGCUCUUGCCACUCCUUGUUCCAUAAUCCAUCAAAAGAAUUCACCCAAAACUUGAAAACUUCACAACACAAAACUCAAUAGAAAUCUCGUGAGCUCCGUUAGAGAAAGAAAAUAAAAGACUACUUUAAGGUACUGUAGUGUACUUGUUCUUUAUUUGUAUUGGUGUUAAACCUACUGUAUUCCAAUUUCUCUAUGGUUUAUAAACUAUUUUACUAGCCAUAGAUUUAUCAAAAUAAGCAAAUAACACACGCAAAACAGAAUCUGUCAAAAACAGAACAGUCUGUAGUAAUCUGUUACUAACGCAAACUUCUAGAACCCAAAAAAUUCUACCAAAAUUAGACGACCUGGGCAAUUUGUUUAUUGAUCAGCAGCAAUUGGAAUCACUAUUUUAUCACGUUCUGGUGAUUUUUGACAAUUCGGGCACUGAGCGCAAAGAUUCUGGAAAUUACAGCAAGAUCAAAUAACUAUCUUUCAAGAAGAUCUAAUAGGUUUAACUUGGCACAAACACUAAUUAAAAGAUAAAACCACAUCUAAACAGAAUAUAAAUGGAUUAUUUAUUCCUAAACAGAACCAAAAACAAAAAAUACAAAAUAAAAUUGGGUUGCCUCCCAACAAGCGCUAUCGUUUAACGCCCCUAGCUAGGCAUAAAAGCAAGGAUAGGUCUAGGUAUUGCCAUCUUUGGUAGGCAAUUCUUCAAUGAGGCAUCCACCUCCUUUAGAAUUUUCUUUCUUUCUAGUGAUUAUCAAACUUUUAGGCAUAAGAUCGAAAAAUUCAUCCGUGGCAAAUGGUUCCUUAAUGAGUGUAAAAAGAUCGGGGUGAAUACUUAUAGAUUUAAGAUCCGCAUUUUCCUUACUAGAUGAUUCACCCUUAUUUUUAGGAACAUACAUAAACUUGGCAAUUUUAGUGGGAGGACUAGGAGUAAUUUUUACGGAAGAAAAAGCAGUUCCCAAGUUGGUAAUGAUACCCUCAAGUUUAUCGAUUCGAGUAGAGUCUAGAUUUAUUUUUUUCAUUAACAAUGGGUUCCUUCUCCUUAAUAUUUUUCAAAGUCACUCCUACCUUAGAUCCAUAUUGAGUAAUUUGAUUAUGAAUCUUUUUAUCUAGAUUUUCAAUGGAUUCAAUGGUAGCAACUUUGUUUUCAAUAAUUUCAAGCAUUUGCAUAACAUGCUCCAAGGUUAACACAGUUCCAUUAACCAAAAGGGGAGGUGAGCCAAAUAAAUCUAUUAAAGCAUUAUAGGAAUCAAAAGUAUGGCUACCCAAAAAAUUCCCUCCGGUAAUGGUAUCAAGGAUAUAUCUAUACCAAGGAUUAGCACCUACAUAAAAAUUGUGAAGAAGGACUGAAGUAGAUUGCUUUCUGGUAGAUCUAUUUUGAGCAUUGCAAAUUCUAUACCAAGCAUCUUUUAGAUUUUCUCCCUCCCUUUGUUUAAAAUUUAGCACUUCAUUCUCGGGAGAUAACGGAGAAGAUAAGGAAUUCGACAUAGCGACAGGUAAGCAAACUAACACACGAGCAAACAAAAGGCAAAGGGAAAGAGAGGGCGAAUAAAGCGGCAAAGGUGAAGUGGGGGAGAGGAAAACGAGAGGCAAAUGGCAAAUAAUGUAAUGCGAGAGAUAGAGAUUGUGAUGGGUACUUGGUAUGUUGACUUUUGCGUAGGCUUCCCCGGCAACGGCGCCAGAAAUGGCUCGUUGACGGGAGAGUAAAUCUUGACUUGACUUGGCAUAGGCCUCCCCGGCAACGGCGCCAGAAAUGGCUCGUUGACGGGAGAGUAAAUCUUGACUUGACUUGGCGUAGGCCUCCCCGACAACGGCGCCAGAAAUCCUUCUUGCUAUGUCUCGAGCUAGCGUUGGUUUUCCCCGAAGAAGAGGGGGUGAUGCAGCACAGUAGCGUAAGUAUUUCCCUCAGUUUUUGAGAACCAAGGUAUCAAUCCAGUAGGAGGUCACGCGCAAGUCCCUCGUACCUGCACAAAACGGUAGCAACUCGCAACCAACACUUAGGGGUUGUCAAUCCCUUCAUGGUCACUUACGAGAGUGAGAUCUGAUAGAGAUAAUUUUUUUGGUAUUUUUGGUAUAAAGAUGCAAAGUAAAAAGUAAAAGCAAAACAAGUAAAAUAAAGUAAUGGAGAUUGAUAUGAUGAGAAUAGACCCGGGGGCCAUAGGUUUCACUAGUGGCUUCUCUCAAGAGCAUAGAUAUUCUACGGUGGGUGAACAAAUUACUGUUGAGCAAUUGAUAGAAUUGAGCAUAGUUAUGAGGUUAUCUAGGUAUGAUCAUGUAUAUAGGCAUCACGUCCGUGACAAGUAGACCGACUCCUGCCUGCAUCUACUACUAUUACUCCACUCAUCGACUGCUAUCCAGCAUGCAUCUAGAGUAUUAAGUUAAAAACAGAGUAACGCCUUAAGCAAGAUGACAUGAUGUAGAGGAAUAAAUUCAUGCAAUAUGAUAAAUACCCCAUCUUGUUAUCCUUGAUGGCAACAAUAUAAUACGUGCCUUGCAACUCUUUCUGUCACUGAGUAAGGACACCGCAAGAUUGAACCCAAAGCUAAGCACUUCUCCUAUUGCAAGAACUACCAAUCUAGUUGGCCAAACCAAACGGAUAAUUCGAAGAGACUUGCAAAGAUAACUCAAUCAUACAUAAAAGAAUUCAGAGAAGAUUCAAAUAUUAUUCAUAGAUAAGUUGGAUCAUAAACCCACAAUUCAUCGGUCUCAACAAACACACCGCAAAAAGAAGAUUACAUCGAAUAGAUCUCCACGAGAGAGGGGGAGAAUAUUGUAUUGAGAUCCAAAAAGAGAGAAAAGGCCAUCUAGCUACUAGCUAUGGACCCUAAGGUCUGAAGUAAACUACUCACACUUCAUCGGAAGGGCUAUGGUGUUGAUGUAGAAGCCCUCCAUGAUGGAUGCCCUCUCCGGCGGAGCUCCGGAACAGGCCCCAAGAUGGGAUCUCGUGGAUACAGGAAGUUGCGGUGGUGGAAUUAGGUUUUUGGCUCCCUCCCUGGUCUAAUGGGGGUACGUAGGUAUAUAUAGGAGGAAGGAGCACGUCGGUGGAGCUCCGAGGGGCCCAUGAGGUAGGGGGGCGCGCCCAGGGGGGCGCCCUCCACCCUCGUGACCUCCCCGGUAACUUUUUGGAGUAGGGUCCAAGUCUCCUGGAUCAUGUUUGGUGAGAAGAUCACGUUCCCGAAGGUUUCAUUCCGUUUGGACUCCGUUUGAUAUUCUGUUUCCUCGAAAUACUGAAAUAGGGAAAAAACAGCAAUUCUGGGCUGGGCCUCCAGUUAAUAGGUUAGUCCCAAAAAUAAUAUAAAAGUGGAAAAUAAAGCCCAAUAUAGUCCAAAACAGUAGAUAAAAUAGCAUGGAGCAAUCAAAAAUUAUAGAUACGUUGGAGACGUAUCACCCCACCAUAGCGAUAGUACACGCACUUGUCACCAUCGUUUACUACAAAGCCGGCAGCAGUUAAUGUUCUUUCGAACUUCUCAUGCCACUCCUUAGGAGCUUGUUUAAGGCCAUAUAAAGACUUUAAUAACUUGCACACCUUUCCUUCUUGACCAGGUACUACAAAACCAUCUGGCUGAUCCAUGUAAAUUUCCUCCUUCAACUCUCCAUUGAGGAAAGCCGUCUUAACGUCCAUUUGAUGAACGAGAAGACCAUGUGAGGCAGCCAGUGAUAGUAGCACCCGAAUUGUGGUCAGUCUAGCCACGGGUGAGUAAGUAUCAAAGAAGUCUUCACCUUCUUCCUGGGUAUAACCCUUGGCCACAAGCCGUGCCUUAUACUUUUCAAUCAUACCAUCAGGUGUAAGCUUCUUCUUGAACACCCACUUACAUCCUACAGGUUUGCACCCAUAAGGACGGUCAGUGAUCUCCCAGGUACCGUUAGCUAAGAUGGAAUCCAUCUCGCUAUGUAUAGCUUCCUUCCAGUAGUCAGCAUCAGGAGAUGCAUAGGCUUCUGAAAUAGUCCUGGGUGUGUCAUCCACGAGGUACACAAUGAAAUCAUCACCAAAAGACUUUGUAGUGCUCUGUCUCUUACUCCUCAUAGGAGUUCCAUUGUUACCCUCAACAGGAUUCUCAACGUGUUCCAUCGCAAUGGUGGGUUCAGGAAUUACAGUGAAUUCCUCACUAGAUGGAGUAGGUAUCUCCUGAUUUGAUGAACUCGACAUAUCCUUCAUAGGAAAUAUGUCCUCAAAGAAAAUUGCAUCAUUUGAUUCCAUAAUCGUACCAACAUGCAUGUCGGAUACCUCAGAUUUUAUUAUCAAAAAUCUAUAGCCGAUGCUAUGAAAAGCAUAGCCCAGAAGAACACAAUUCACGGUUUUUGGUCCAAGCUUGCGCUUCUUGGGAAUUGGUAUAUUGACUUUCGCCAAACAACCCCAAGUACGUAGGUAAGAGAGUUUCAACAUUUUCCUUUCCCAUUCCUCAAAUGGAGUCAUGGUCUUAUGCUUUGUAGGAACUCGGUUUAGGACAUGACACGCAGUCAUUAGCGCCUCCCCCCACAAUUCCUUGGAUAGACCCGAAGUGUCUAACAUGGUGUUAACCAUAUCAGUUAGAGUUCGGUUAUUUCUUUCGACUACCCCAUUUGACUGGGGUGAGUAGGGAGGCGUCCUCUCAUGGAUUAUACCAUGUUCCACAUAAAACAGAUCAAAUUCAUUGGAAAAAUACUCUCCACCACGAUCGGACCUAAGCCGUUUAAUUUUUCGAUCAAGUUGGUUCUCUACCUCAGCUUUAUAGUUUUUAAAGAAAGUCAAAGCCUCAUCUUUUGAUUUCAGAAGAUACACAUAACAAUAUCUAGUGGAGUCAUCAAUCAACGUCAUGAAGUAUCUCUUUCCACCUUUUGUCAACACGCCAUUCAUCUCACAAAGAUCAGAAUGUAUAAGCUCUAGUGGCGCCAAGUCUCUUGCCUCUGCAGUCUUAUGGGACUUGCGAAGUUGCUUAGUUUGCACACAUACUUGGCACUUCGAGCCUUUGACAGUAGAGAUUUUCGGAAUUAAAUUCAUAUUGGCUAACCGCGUCAUGCAACCAAAGUUAAUAUGACAGAGUCGUGAAUGCCAAAUAUCAGACUCAUUAUUGUGGCAAACAUUAUUAAUAACUUUAGUGCAAAUAUCUGACAAAGAUAGGCGGAACAAGCCUCCGCACUCAUAGCCUUUUUCAACAAAUUGUCCACACUUAGAAAUUACAACUUUAUUCGAUUCGAAAACCAAUUUAAAACCAUCUCGACAUAAACGGGAACCGCUAACGAGAUUUUUAUUGAUGGACGGCACAUGAUGAACGUUCUUCAGACGCACAGUCUUCCCCGAAGUAAACUUCAGAUCGACCGUACCAACACCUCGAACGAUGGCAUGUGACCCGUUCCCCAUCAGCACGGGUGAAGUCCCUGUUGCCUGAUAAGAAGAAAAUAUGAAGGCGUCAGCACAAACAUGUACAUUGGCACCGGUGUCAAUUAACCAAUCAGGGGAUUGAAAUACUGAAAGGAUGGUAGGAAAAAUACCGUACCCUGAUUCCUUCAUAUCAGUAUCACCGAUGACAACAUUAGCGGACUUGCCGCUCUUCUCAUGUUCGCGCUCCUCAAAACGGUUAGGACACUUCGGAGCCCAGUGAUUAGGAUCACCGCAGACAUGCCAAAGUCCCUUCCCCUUUUUAUGAGAAUUCUUCUUGAAGUUGGUAGAAUAUGAUGGCUUGUUCUUUAUAUCAAACUUGUCUUUACCCUGAGUUUUGUUCUUAUUGUUUUUGAACUUGUUGGGCUGGGAGUUUUUCUUCUGUACCAUGUGGGCACUAGAACCUUCCUCAGCAACGCGAGCACGUGUGUCCUUUGCUCUCGCCUUCUCUUCAACAUCAAGACUACCAAUGAGAUCCGCAACGGAAAACUCCUGUCUCUUGUGUUUCAGGGGAGUAGCAAAAUUCUUCCACGAAGGUGGAAGCUUGGCAAUGAUGCCUCCGGCAACACACACUUGAAGUACUCAAGUUCUUUUGCGAGCGACUGUAUCUCAUGAGCCUGCUGUACAACAGGGCGCUCAUCAGUCAUCUUGUAGUCAUAGAAUUGCUCCAUGACGUACAACUCGUUGCCGGCGUCCGAGGCACCAAACUUGGCCUCGAGCGCAGCCCACAUGUCCUUGCCGUUGUCAAACGACAUAUACGAAUCCACAAUGGAGUCAUCAAGAACACUCAGAAGAGCGCCUUUAAAGAGGGUAUCGAUCUUCUCAAAAGCUUCCAGCUGUGCUGGAUUAAGAUCGCCCUCAGGCUUGCCCUUGAUGGCAUCAUAGCAGCCCAUGGUCUGAAACCAGUAGACUGCUCUCGUGUGCCACCUCUUAUAUUGCGGCCCCUUAAAAGCAGGCGGCUUCAGAUGCGCAGUAAAACCACUCGGAGUAAAUUGCCUAUAAUCAGGUUUUUGGAUUGUUGGAAAUAUGAGCAAAUUACUACGAGAUUUAAUCCGAAUAAACAAAAGAUAAAUCAUGACCACAACAGCAGAGAUUAAACUAAUCAUGCGAACUAGCAUAGCAGAUGAACAUAUCACAUCUAGGACACAUACUAGAAGCAUGAAUUCUACCACGAUCUUGAACAUGAAGGAUAGAAUCACAUACGGUGCAGCGGGUGCAGCACCGCCGGUGUUGACGUUGUCGCCCAUGUCGUCGAGGACGAGGUUGCCGAGGUCGGGGAAGAAGUCGUCGUUCGCGAAGUCGUCGCUACCAGCAGUCGCGCGAGUGCGCUCCCCAAAAACCUGAUCGCCCCUCUCCCGUACAGGAUCAUGAGAGGCGGGGUUCCGGAGGCCUGUUGUCCCUUCUCGCGGUGCACGCCGGAAGGAGGGAUGGAGAAGACUUGCUUGGUGGCGCAAUGAUCUGGAACGGUGUGGUGAGAAACCAUACGAAGCGGCGGCGGCUAGGGUAGACGUCUGCCUGACUAUAUAGUGCGGGUCGGGUAGGUCGUGGGAGUAAACCCCACGUCCGAGUCGUCACGAUCCAAAAGAAUCGAAAACAGUUCAGUAAUUAACGCAUCCGUUAAUUAUCAAUUAAUGACUCAUUAAUUUUCCCAUGCAGCAAAAAUAUAGACAACGUGCAUAGCUCUGCCCUCGGCUCGGCUCAAUCCCGCAACCCGCGGCGCGGCGCGGCGCGGCGCGUCGUGACGAGGCGUGGCGAGGCGAGCGAGUGUAAGUCUCCUCUUCUCAUGCUCAUACAAGUGGUAGAAGAGCUCACCUUAUAAAGAGGUGCAACUCUCUCUCAACUUCUGGGGUGGGACUAAACUUUAACCUCACUCACUCCGUUCACAUGUGUGCAUGAAUGGUCCAAGAGAAUUUCAGAAUUUUAGUUGGGCUUUGAGCCAAAGUCCUACUAGCAAAAUUCCAACAGGUUCAGCCCAUCAACCUGUGAAAGUAAACACCUGUGACUUUGCAAUGUUUAGUUGAGGUAAGGGUAUCCUCAAAAAAAAAAAAGUUGAGGUAAGGGUGGAGAAAAUAACCAUCGAGCGAAUGUGACCACUCAUUCCAAGAUGGUUUACUGAUUUACGUGCGUGGUUCUUCCUGUACGAUCGGACCGAAUGUGCGAGUGUCAAAUCAUCAAACAUCGUCAUCUUUCUCACCGAAAGAUCGAUAGCCCACACUGUCUCGUCAUUUCGUGAUGUACGUCGUUGCCUGAUAUACAUCUUUUUUUUCUGCUUAGUAAAUAAAACUUACAAAACUAACAAGAGGUUGUACAUUGUGUAUGUGUGCACGCGCGCAUCGUGGGGCACUUAUAAGAAGAACAUCUUUCUAGAAAAAUAGACAUAAAAUAGAGCUCCUUGUUUUGAUCAUUUGAUGAUAGCAUCAACCAGCUAAGAUUAGUUGCCUACAUAAUUAAUACCUUCGGAAUGAAAUGAUUGGUUUGGUGCUGAUCAAUGGAGCGCACGUUGUCCUCACCAAUUCUAUAUAGGGCCGUUGGUAGAUGAUUGGGUUGCUAUCAGCGUUUCUCCAUCAAAAUUUUGGGUUUACGACAGAACGAAACGAGAAAGAAAUCACACUAACACAGACGGUUGGAAAAACAAGAGAAAUUGCUACUAUCAAGCUAUCUCUUCCAUGUGUUCUUCAUGCACAUUGUUUGGCUUGCAAGUUUUGGUCUCCUGCCUGUUAUGUUAGCUAGAAGGAGAUAAAGUUCUUGGUCCCCUACGAAAAAUAGGUUUACUUGGGAGGACAAUGGUGUACAGCAUAACCCAAACCUUUCUCAAAACCUAAAGCUCCACACGUUCACAUUGCUCCAUUUGGUCCAUAGGGUAUACCUAACGUGCCAAAUCUUUCCAAAACCUAAUGUGCCGUUCCUUUCCUUCUCAAAAUGUCCACCUUGUUCCAUAAGAUAAAUCCAAAGAUUUCCAACCUAAACCGAGCCCUUCCAAAACCCAACGCUCCACUCCUCCAACGUUCAUAUUCUUUGGACAGAAGAUACACACGAUUGCACCUGUCUCGUUCCUAACAACCAUGUGGAAGAGUGUGAUUAUGUGGGUAGACAUGCAGCUCUGAAUCAAACCGACAAAAAGAAGCCCCUGCCUGAAAGCAAGAGUUCAAUGGAAAUAUGGACUGGUCGCAACGAUGGAUGGUCCCUAAAAACUUACUCUCAAGACCAAGUUAAUUUAUGAUUUUCAUAGUAACUUUGUCGAAACUCAUGUUUCAUUCCUUACUAAACUGGAGUCACUAUCUAAUUAUAAGAAACUCAUUUCAAACAUGCAACAAAUCUGUUGAAUACUUGAAUUAUUGUGCCUCCUUUUUAAGGCAUAAUUUGUGAUUGCCGAACUGUGUUUUUAGGACAAUUUCAUAAUUACCAUGUAAAAUUAGUCACAAAAGUAGACAAAAGUGGUUCAAACACACGCUCGAAUAGGCAAAAACAGAUUAGGCAACACAAGGUUAUCAUAAACCACCACAAUACCAAACUUAGCAAGUAAAGCUGACUUUUUCCUAGACAAGGAAAAUGCAACGCGUAUAUGACAACGAUGUCAGAACAAGCCAGUAAAGGCAAGAACACGAGUUUUCAUCUAGAGAUCACCUCCAGAAACCGAAGAUAACGCCAUCAAGGAGAUGACGUAAGAGCAAUGUCGUUACCAAGUCUAGCCGAUAAAGACCAUAUCGAGUCUUUUGGCUUGGCGCACAAAAUCUAACAUCACUUGAUCCAACCAAUGAAGGCAGACUUAUUCCCGACGAUUGCGUCAAUGUGCAUCUAGAUUUGGCAUCAUCCGAUGACAUGCUAUGAAGGGGUCGCCACUCCGCCCUCGAUGCCCCUGCGACUACCCAUCGGUGCCACCGCCCUGGCUUCCAUGCCAUAAUCCACCGUGAGACAUCCUCUAACGGGCAACCACCAUGAAGGGAGAUCAACAAGAGCCCUACCACCGCCAUCCGUCGCAAGAUCUUUGCUCAUGGCAUCCCCCGGCGGAGGAGGAGGAGGAGGUUGGAGGGAGGUAUGGUAGAGACGCUAACUUCCUUAACUCCAUUUUUUAUGUAAUAAAAAAGAUAGAGAAAUGUGCCAACCAAUCUCUGUAUCUAAAAAUGUACACGACCAACGAAUAUUAUUGACCUUCUGAACGAUGAUAAACAAACCCAUAUUUCCAUUGUUCUAGGCCGUGAGUUGCCAACAAACAUCCCGAUCCUGCCCGGAAUAUUAUCCACCGAAUGACAUCUGAUCCGAUCCCAUUUAACAAGAGCAAACUUGCCAAAAACAAGUCCGUUGGUUCGAUCAAAGCCUCGUCAGGUCCAUGGAAAACGGGCUGUGGCCAGGGUGGAAGAUUCCGGCCGGUCGGCCAGCCGCAGCCAGCCGCGGUGUGGUACAGAGCUACGUGACGCCGACGUACCAACCAAGCGAAGACAACCACCGUCUUCCGAGUGAAAUGAAAUCGACGACUACGUGGGUGCCAAGGCCGCUACGUGACGGCCGCGAACUCUGCUGGGCACUGUGAUAAAAAGUCGUCGAGGUGUCGUCUCCCAUGGCCUUGUUGCAUGCCCACGAAGCAUGUAGUGCUGCACAGUUGUAUAAAAACCGGAGAUGCCGCGUGGGCCACGGAGCUUAUGGUAGAUGUCAUAAAAGAUCAGUGCGCAGCUAGGCAUUUUGCUUGGCCGCUCAUCAAAGUGUUUACGAAGGCAUUGGCUCUGACAAAUGGAUAGCAAAUCUCAUGCUACAUCAGGUAAAAGUGGGCAUUGCCUAAAACCAAAGGUAAAAGUGGGCAUAGUUUUCUUACCAAUUCCUGCGCUGUGUUCGGGAGAUUCCGUUCAGCAGUCGGUUGGAAGAAGGCCUUCACUGUUCGGAAGAAAGGGGGUGCCUAAACCAGCUUGACAUAAUCAUAGACUGAAUGGGUCGUCGACAAAAUGAUUGGGAAUUUUUCCCAGACAAUUUCAAAAUUCCACCACCCGUUGGUUAAUCAAGAGGUGGUGGGUACUAGUAGCAGUACUAGCGAAGCAGCCGCCAUCAGAAAAAACAAUAGCACGAGCCAAAUCAGAAAGACAGCCGCUGCUUGCAAAGCAUGCCNNNNNNNNNNNNNNNNNNNNNNNNNNNNNNNNNNNNNNNNNNNNNNNNNNNNNNNNNNNNNNNNNNNNNNNNNNNNNNNNNNNNNNNNNNNNNNNNNNNNNNNNNNNNNNNNNNNNNNNNNNNNNNNNNNNNNNNNNNNNNNNNNNNNNNNNNNNNNNNNNNNNNNNNNNNNNNNNNNNNNNNNNNNNNNNNNNNNNNNNNNNNNNNNNNNNNNNNNNNNNNNNNNNNNNNNNNNNNNNNNNNNNNNNNNNNNNNNNNNNNNNNNNNNNNNNNNNNNNNNNNNNNNNNNNNNNNNNNNNNNNNNNNNNNNNNNNNNNNNNNNNNNNNNNNNNNNNNNNNNNNNNNNNNNNNNNNNNNNNNNNNNNNNNNNNNNNNNNNNNNNNNNNNNNNNNNNNNNNNNNNNNNNNNNNNNNNNNNNGGACAGCUAAGUUCGCCGGUGAUUCGCUCGUCUAAAGGUCACUCACCUAGCUUCAUUUCGUUGUAUUUCCUCGUGUCUGGAGCCUGAUGGGAGGUUAGUUAGGUGGUCGCCAAUGAUUGAGGAUUACCUGGCUGUGAUGGGAGGAGCUGGCUGGCCACAUUGGUGGCCUUCAGGUGAGAUGGACACGGGAACUCCAUCACAUGCCCCGGUUCAAGCAGCGGCCCCAUCCCUGCCCGGCGAUCCCUGUUGGGGAAGCUGUAGCAUUUCUCAUGCCGCACAUGUAGAAAUCUCCUGCAUGCCAACCGCCAUCGCCGUCGGUCCAGUGCGCGAUGAGCAUGGCACCAGCACGGCGUGGUCGCAAUCGCUACAGGCGGCUACAGGCAAGAACUCGGGGCAGUAUGUUAGUUCAGAGAAUUGAUGAAAUGAAAAUACCAGAACUUACCAUCAACUUCUAGCAUCAUGCCUCAUGGCUCCAUGCUCAAGAUAUUGCAAUGGGGCCUUUCAAGGCAAAUGCACCCCUCGUAUCUUUAUUCUAGAAUGUUAUAAUGUCACAAAGGCACAAAUUAAGUUGCAAACGAGGGCAUUCCGUGCCACAUUAUUAUAGGAACAAAGAGCUUGGUAGCCAUUCGCUGGGCAUUUGAAGAAUGAAAGAACAGAUAGCUAUGGACUAGAUUCCCUCGAGACUUCUUAUCCUCAGCUAAAUGACUAGCAACUUCAGUCUACUUACAUGUGGAACAGUGGAAACAAAGUGUGCCAUUAUUAGACAAAGUUCUAUAUACCAGUUGCAACUGUAGCUUCCGUCGAUCGAUUUCACAGAGAUGCGCCCGACUCCCAGCUCAAGAGUUUGUCACGCUUUGCAGCAGGCGUUGUCUAGGGCUCGGAGGGUAAGAUCAGCAUACUGUUUUUACCAACCGACAAGUCACCAAAAUGAGUCGAAACUGACAUUAUUCUCAUGCUUCCUUCAGACUCUGGCUUGUCUACUCCAAUCUAUGGGCUUGCCUUGAGCAAGAUGGAAGAGAAUGGAGCAAUUCUAUACCCUGAUCCAGUAAGUGGCACCCCUUCCGGUGCAAUAUCGUUUGGUGAUUCCAGGUUGGUAUCCACCUGCAAUAAGGACACAAUAGCAGUUUCAGGCUAAUUAUCCAUUAAACUUGUACUCCGUCCAAUCCAUAUUAAUUGACGCUGCUCUAGUACAAAGUUAGUACAACAUUAUACUAUAGCAGCGUCAAUUAAUAUGGAUCGAAGGGAGUAGCAAGUUCAGAACUAAGCCACUUGCUUCCAGAAAAUUGCAAAAAUCUGUCUUUCUCGGAAAACAUUGUGGAAAAAAAUCAGUAGAUUUAUCCAGGCAAUAGAUGUAGUAGCACGGGAGGAACUAGACAGUAAGACCACCGAGUUACAAAAAGUUAGCAAGACCAAAAGUAUGCAUACCACACGGUUCCAGUGUUUAUGUUGAGGGGCUGGGGGAAUCACAGCAUCCACAGAAUAGUCAUGGGCAUUGAAUGCCAAAUAGAUAUCUCCACCAGAAUUAUGGUCGUGUAUCCUACAUUAAUUGCCAAACAAAACAGUUGAGAAGACAAGAACCCAUUGGCCAUUGCAACCAAAUUACAACAAUACUAUCAUAUGGUCAGAAUGAAUUACACGAUCAAAACUGAAAGCCAAACUUCCUUACGUGAAUGCCAAGAAUUUGCUUUCCAGGUUAUCCCAACAAUCCUCGUGCCAAGUGACAUCAUUCUACAAUCAAGAAAGAUCAGAAUGCAAUGAAAAUCUUUGGAAGAAAAAUCAAACCAAGAGUUGCAUACUUGCAUCCUACAAAAGCUAGGAAUUGUCGUUUCUAACAUGCAAUGCACAAUAAGAGACCAGGGAGAUCACAUACUUAGCAAAUGCUCGACAGAAACUAAUAACCAUAUUUCAGUAAAGGAAGAAAUGUUUAUUUUCAAUACGCCACUGCAAGAACACUAAGAAUUUGAACAUACUUUACUGAGAAACCUGUCCCGUUUCAGUAUUGGGUGGUUCUGACGAAACUUAAUCAUCUCUGAGAAAAACCUGAAAUGGCCAUAUCUUCUUUCCGCCAACUGUAUCACACGGACACGGGGGGAAACAAGUUAGCAUAUAGAUGUGGCACAUCCAUAACACAUUUUGAAUGGAAAACCAAAAUAAUAUGUAACCUGUCCCCACUGGAAAUUAUUUAUGCAGGUAUCAUGUCCAUAGCUAUUAUUGUUUCCAUAACGUGUAUGACCAUAUUCAUCUCCCAUCAACAUCAUCGGGGUGCCCUGUUACAAAAAAAUGUACACAAUUAGCAAUUUUUACAUUAUGCAAUACCACGUAAAAGACCAACUGUGGAGUGAUCAACAAUAAUUACUUGAGAAAUCAUUAAUGCCACAUGGAAGUUCUUCAUUUGUCUCGAACGCAGAGCCAAUACAUUUGAAUCAUUUGUUUCUCCUGUUUGGCAACAAGACCAAAAUAGGUUGUUACCAACAGUUAAUAUGUCAAAUCUUUCAAAAACAAGCAUCGAAUAUAUCAAUAUUUACAUAACAUGAUGGCGUUAAGUGAAACAAACUCAACUAAUGUUCCCUCCAAAAUAUGAUAACCAUCCAUGGUUGUAUUUUUUCCGAGAAAACAGAAAGCUUGCAUUUCGAUGCAUUGAUAUAGAAAGAGUAGUAACCGUAGAAGCCUAAGACUACGCUGAAGCAACCGACCACUCAAGACAAGACCACAACCAACGGUCGCAAGACAGGCAUUACAACAAACAUCACCAAACCAACCCUGGCCUAGAUGCCAUCCACACAAACGGACAGAACACGAUGCCCAUCACAAGAAGAGAGAAUCCAACUCCGCAAAGAAGGGCAGAAUUGGGCUACUCCGCUUUGGAGGCGACAUAGUUGUAUUUGGUCUAAUCGUGAUACAAAAGCUCCAGUACUAAGACUAUGCAUGAGUCCUGUCAAGUGUCAAGCAUACUACAAAAUUAAUUUUAAACUAAAAGAGCAUUUUGUGUUCUCCUUGUUGUGCAAUACUAUACUUCAGUCAAAUAUCUUAAGAACGGCGGCUCUGGAGAUCGCCUCUGUGUGGUUGGGUGUCUCCUCUGGCUGCUUUGGUGGUUGAGUCGUCGACCCAUUGGGUGCGCGGCCUCGGGGCCCGUGUGCUGUGUUGCUGAUGUUUGUAAGCCGGAGGGGCGACUCCGGGUCGUGUGGUAGGGUGUCGACUAGGGUCACUUGGGUGGCAGAGUAGUCGGCCAGUUGGGGGCGCAGCCUCAGGGCCGGUGUGUUUGUAUGGCUCGUUGUAUCGGUUUUCAGCCACUUUUCCUUCCUAACUAGCCAAUUCUCUUCUUAUAUAUGAAAAGGCAGAGCUCCUUGCUUGCUCGAAGAAAAGAAAAAAACUCGCUUUUCAGCUGCUAAUUUCAAUGUGAAGAGCAACGCAUGAUAAUGAGUAAUGAUGGUACCUUCAACACCACAGUUCCAGCUAAAAUUAUCAUUGCAUCCAUCACGUCCACCUUCUCCAUUAGCGUCGUUGUGCUAUAUAAUUUUGGUCGAACAGAAACCAUAUUAACAUAGACACCAGUACUUGUAUAGAAGGACCUUAACUUUAUAGUGUUUUGGUAUACUCAAGUUACCUUUAAGUUGUAUGAAACAAGGUCACAUAAGGUGAACCCAUCAUGUGCUAUUAUAAAGUUCACACCAUGAUGAGGCUUCCGCUGGUUCACCUGCCAAUCAAUAUCACAUCAAAACUUGAUUUUACACGUCAUCCUGUUUUGAACUAUGUAAUCCUAAAUCUUCCACAUAAAAAGAAGUCUCAAAGCUUAUUCACAAGAGGCUCCUAGCACCUCCAUACAUAGAGAACUGGUUUAAAUUUCGAAAUGACAUCUCCAACAAUACCGUUUAGCAUUUGAGUGGAUCUUGGAGGAAUUAAUCAGAAUGAGCAUUGAAAACAGUGCAAUUAGAAUUGCAUACAAAAUAAAUUUGGAGGUUGCAUAUGUUAAUAGCAUAAGCUGCACCCUGAUGACACUAUGGAAAUAGCAAGUGUAUAGUUUCAACUUUCAACAACAAUGAAGGCUUAAGCUCAGGAAUUUCUUUUUCGCAAACACACACAUAAAUGUGUGUUUCCUGUAUUUAGCUUAGGGAUUUACAAAUACUUUAAAAAUUACUACAAAACAUCAAGAAACAGGGCUCCAAAAGAAAUUAUGUAUAGUGAUGAUAUAACCAAGCAAGGAAAAUCUUCAACUGAUGGAUAAAAAGGCAGGCAGGGAAAGAGCGCAUCUGAACAAAAUACCUGGUAGAGAUCAGCAGAUCCAGACACACGAGUUGCCAACACCCCCUUCAUACCAGGGUCACCCUGCAAAAACCCUCGAAAUGAUUAGCGGCAUUCAAUCAUUCAUCAGUGCUUGCAGAAAUAAAAUUGGAAAUAUAACAAAGAAAUUAAUCAGGACAAACUCUUUUGCAGAAGUGCACUCUAAAUUCAGAUCAAACGUUAUCAAAAUCCACUGAUGCUAAAAAGGAAAUAUCUUGGUUUUGUAGGUCUUUGAUGAUUUAGUUAUGAUUGAUUCAAAGACAUUAUGCUAUGGAAAGCAUGAGCGAGUGGAAGCAACAGCAGUCCAUGGAAAAUUGGGUCAGUAAAUUUGAACAGGCCGAGGAGCCUCAUACAUUCUUGAAAAUUCUAUAUUCUUCUGUGGUAAUCUUUCUCUCUGUUCUGGGCUUCUGGCCUUUUUUUAUCUUUCUAAGUUUUAUAUCUAUAACUUGGUUUUUGUCAAUAUAAAUGUAAGAGGAUACUUAUUUUCGCCACGACAAAAAGGUCAUGAACAAAGCCAUCUAAUGAUCUGUCUUAAGAAUAUACGGAAACAAUCGGGAUUUUGGAGAAUGGUAAAGAUCAGGAUCGGGAUUUAGCAAACAGUACCUUGAUGAACCUUCGAAGAUCGUCUCUGUACUUUCCAUUCCAUUCAGCCCACCUACAAGAGCAUUUGAUUAUAUCUUAGAAAUAUUGGCAAUAUUCACCAACAACAUUGAAACAUAUUCAGGUCUUCAUAUAUUUGAAAUUACCGGCAACAACUUUAGGCAACAAAAGGGACCACCAUAUGAAAAGGAGUACAGUUGUUAAGUACUCCCUCCGUCCCAUAAUAUAAGAGCUUUUUUGACACUGCACUAAUGUUAAAAAUGCUCUUAUAUUAUGGGACGGAGGGGGUAAUUUAUAAAUAAUCAUCAGAGCAUUACAUCAGCUAUGUUAGAAAAACAGCAACUCUUUGUGCUACACUAUCAUCGCAAUGUGAAAAUAGUUUAGUGCUAAAGAGGAAACAGAAGUAAGAAAAAUAUACAUAUCCAGUAAUUUCAAUACACAUAGUGCAAAAUUACCUGUCCCAAUUAGGGAAACGCCCUACUAGAUAAAGACCUCCACAAUCCCAAGGUUCAGCAAUUAUCUUGCAUCGAGAUAACACAGAAUCUUUGGCAAUUUCCUGUGACCAGCAAAAUAAACAAUGAAACAAAAUAACAACAAACAUCAUAGGCUGAUAAUUCUACAAAAACACUAAUGCAGGCUAUCAGAUGAACAUUGCAGUCUUGAGAAGGUGUGAUAUAUCAUUUGCAAUUGCAUAAAUGUAAGGGGACAUUCAAAAGGUCACACAUUCAUAGGACCCUCAGGUUCCUCUAAAUCUACUUCAUUAAUGAAGAGCUGAAUAUCUGAUGAUGAAAUUUUGCAUGAUUGAACUAAAUAUCUGCCCGACAAAUAGUUCAACAACUGAGAAAGACAAAGCAAAUACAGCAUACAAUGUUGUGAAGUCAAUAAAUUUCAAGGUGACAUUGGUUCAUGUGAAUUCAUUAGGUCACAAUUUGUAUCUGAUCAACCAUAGUAAGAUAUGGACAAUAGUUAAUCUAAGAACUUAUGUCUUGUGUUUUUAUGAUAUCAAUGAACUUCAUUUGACUAAAAAGAGGAAAAUUGUAUCUCUGAUUUGAAGUUAAACACUACAGUUCUGCAACUAUAAAAUUACCCUGAUGAGUGGAGGAGCAUCAAGAGGACUGCCAUCUGGUCCACGGCAAAGGACACUUGCAAGGUCAAACCGAAAUCCAUCUAUGUGAUACUCCGUAACCCUUGAAGCAUCAAAUAGCCAUGCAAAUAAGAAAACAUACUUAAAAUAUGAUGAAUUCUUUGAAAAAAGAGAUCAUAAGAAAAUACUUGGUCUGAAUUUUGUAUCAAGAUAUGAAUGAACUACAACAGUGCAUUUUUCUUGAUCCUUUGGCUGCCUUGCACUAAUACAUUUAAUAUAGGAUUUGUCAGUGCAUACAAUACUUUGAUAAGGAGAUCCCUAGCGACAUCACUCGUUCAAGGUUGAAAAUACUUAGUCGGUCCACUCACAAAGCACAAGAGUCACCCACCUAGACUCCCAUGAGAAUUGGUUGCUACCUGAUGCUUCUACACCAUGUGUACUAAGGAGUGAGGGAACAAGAAUGAUUGGCAAGCGAGGCUCAGUCUGGAGGCACAGCAAGCAACCGGUCCAACCAGAAACUCAGUGUGGGUUAGACAGGUCACACAUUUUUUUGGUCUAGCCUGUUCCGAUUGAACUGGCUCCUAUUCACUUCGCUGGUGUGAGUGGGUAUAGAAGCAGAAGCCCACCUCUUUUAAGAACAAAUGGAAGUCAUGAGCUUCGCUCCCCUCCUAUGGUUACAGCUUCCAUGUCACCCUAGGAUUGGGAGUUCCGGAGUUUCCCCGCCAAUGUUUUUGUUUCGUGUGCAAGAACCGUUUGUUGGGUGAGUUCUUGCUCAAAGGCUAUGACAUUGGCACUUGUUGCUGGCAUCAAUUGCUCAAGCAACUCGAGUCAUCCAUUCCCAUUGCCUGAAGGCCAGGCCUCCCCGUAUAUUAACUGAAGAAGUCAAGUGACCUCAUCAACUAUAACGUGUCACAACCCAGAUGAUUUGAUGGCUAUGAAUUAAUGUGUGCAGUGUGUACUGCAACAUAGAGGUAGUUUUCAGUAAUUUCAGUCUAUAAGUAUCAUCUUGAUUUGAUCAUAUAGAUCCGACAGUUCAAUUCCACAUGCAUAUUUACUCCCUCCGUCCCAAAAUUCUUGUCUUAGAUUUGUCUAAAUACGGAUGUAUCAAGUCAAGUUUUAGUAUUAGAUAUAUCCGUAUCUAGACAAAUCUAAGACAAGAAUUUUGGGACAGAGGGAGUAUUUACUUGUUAGCACUUGAUUGUGAGAGUGGAACACAUGUAUAAACAGGUGCUAUCGAAGCAUUGACUAUACUGAUUAAUGAAGACUAAAGAGAGGAUCAACAUGAAGAAAGAAAUAUGCAUAAACUAAAAUGCAGUUGCUUGACGUAUAGAACAACAUGCAAGUCGUGCAUACCAAUGUCUCAAGCUGUCGAGUACGAGUUCCAUGACCACAGGAUGGUUGCAGUUUAGUGUAUUCCCUGGAUUAAACCAAGUAUACUGUUAACACUUAGGAGUAGACACAAGUUCCACUUACUUGAAAUUUUAAACGUACCAGAACAUUAAGUACCUAGCCAUCUAAAUGUUAUAUCAACCAGAUAAUUAAGCAGGCUUUCAAUAUUUUUUUAACAAGGUUUCCUUAUAGGUAGCAAUGUGGCAGUCUCACAUCAAUGCAUGGGUUGAGAAAUAUAGUGGCUGCAGCCAAAUAAUGACCAAGUGAGAACUCUUAACCCUUCUACCAGUCAAUAUAGCACCUAACGUGGCUGCAAGGUUCAGUCUGAUGGCAUGACGAAGAUAAUAAAAAUAGAUUGAAUCAACAUUUAUCAUUUGAAAUACAUCACAACAAAGUAGCGGCCAGAUAUGCAGUUUAUUUGCCUAGAAGCACACAAUCGCAAGAUAAAUUAGCAAGGUACGUGGUUAGUAAGUGGAUCAGCAAAACAAGAUACAUUAACAUCCUUAAAAGCCGGAGCAACAAAGAACAUACAAAGCAUCAGGUAGCACCCUAGAACAUGCUCACCUAUCACAAGCACGUCACAAACAAUCAAGUAACAGAAGUUCAGGAAUCAUGGUUUUACCGCAUCCCGAGAAGUUCAGCAGUUGAGAGUUGUUCUUCGGAUCUAACAUGUAAUAAACCUGCAUGAAUGAAAGUAGUGUUUUUGGUAUAAAUCCAUGUAAAACCUGAAGCAGGUGUACACUUCUAAACACAUUGGGAUUUAGAACGGAUUAACUUAACCUGGUCACAAAUUUUACUUAGCCUUCUAAGACCAGUGACUGUCUGACCCAUUAUAAAAUAACAGGUCAAAAGGGUGGAGUGAGCAAACCCAUACACAAAUUCUGAGUUAAGCAGCCCUAUUCCGAUUCUAACCUAGUCCUCUUCAACCCGGAACAAAACACAACCUACACAUUAGAACUAAGAAAAGAUAGAGUGACAAGCAGAUAGGUGCCUUCGUCGGCUAUAACUCAAAUAGAUAAAUCACCUUGUUGUCGAUGCCACGAAAAGAAGUAACAUAAGGAUUAGCGUCAUCUGCUUCAUUUGUAUGGUUGUAAACGACAUCCAGAAUAACCUACACAAAAUGAUGAUACCACUAAACACAUGUUAUCAUGUGGGAUGAAUAAGAAUGCUACAAUAGGUUGCCAUAUCUACUGGAUGUCAAUACCUCUAUACCAGCUUUAUGCAAUGCCUUGACCAUCUGCUUGAGCUCUCUGGAAGCAGCCAAUGGUCCACCACCAGCACUUGCAUAGCGGGUCAUGGGAGCAAAAAAAUUGAUUGUAGAAUAACCCCAUGUAUUGACCUUCCAAUUGAGAAGAUGAAAAGUCAUUCCACAAUUGAUUCCACUGAUGAACCAUAAUGAUGACAUCAUGCACAAAGUGGCAUAUCGGAAUUUUUACCAUGUGGUCCCUUGGGUUAGGGUACCUCUUCAACUCCAGCUCAUCAAACUCAAAAACAGGUAGCAACUCCACUGCAUUAACUCCGAGUUCAAGCAAAUGCGGGAUCUACAAAACCGCAACUAUUGCAUGCAUAAGUCAUUAAACAAUAGGCUUGAAGCCUUGAACACUGAAAGCUAAUAUGCAUAUCAGGUUCCCAAAACUAGAUCACUAAAAUAAUAGUCGGAAUAUAUUUAUUUCGCUAAUAACUUCCAGUAAGGACCAAACAAAUAAUUGUUGUUACAAGCCACACAAUAAGAAGAAAUUAAAACUUACUUUGUCGAUGAAUCCUAGGUAGCUUCCGCGAACAGCUGCAUCAAGCCCACUUGACUCAUCCGCAGUGAAAGCGCGAACGUUCAUUUCAUAUAUAACUAGAUCUGUCUAGAUUAAAGAACAUAAGAAAAGCAGUGAACUUCAUGUUUGGGAUGCUUUCUGCAUUUAUUCUAUGAAAUGAUUCUAGUACCUCAGGCAAAUGUGGAAGCUGGUAAUCAGCACCCCAGUCAAAAGGAGAGCUAUCAAAAUCAUAUGUUCCAAAAGGCUGGCUGGGCUUCCCGUUAUCAACCCCAAAGUAAUUUCGACCAGAAACUAGUUUCGCGUAAGGGUCAAGAAGAAUAAUGUUGCUAUCAAACCUAUGGCCUUGUUCCCAUCCUUGAGGACCAUUAACACGAUAUCCGUAAAGAACUCCAGAAGUGGGCAACCCCUGAAAGUACAGUUAUAGAAGGCUUCAUUCAGCAUAUAUGCAUGGGAAAAUACAUAGGAGCAAAAUAGGCACAGAUUUCUCCUCCUAACUAUAAAUAUUGUAAAGAACAUAAGGAUGUGUUUUCAGCCAAGACCAAAAGAGAACAUAAGGAUUUCUCCUCCCAACAAUAAAUAUUGUAAAGAACAUAAGGAUAUGUUUUUCAGCCAAGACCAAAAAAUAUAGAUGUUCGCCGGCGUUCUGGUGGCUCCGCCUCCGGCGGUACGAAUCUGCGUUCCCUUCCGGCUCCGGAUUGCCGGCGGCCAUCCUUCCAUCUGCAUAGGCUCUCUACCCCGCUGCCUCUCCGACCCCGUCCGCCUACACGCCAUGUCGGUUCCAAAGCUCGCGUUUUUCGUCGGCAACAUGUGCAGCCCCACCCCCAUCAGAGGUAGUGGUCGACAUGCAGGUUGUCUCCGACAUCUUUGGAUCCUGAUUUGGCGGCUUUGAGAUUGCUUGGACUAGGCCAGGCGAAAUCCAUGCUCGGUUUGCCGAUGCAGGUCGUUUCCCUUCUUGGAGGCGCUGCCAUGGCCUUUGUCCGUGCACCCCUUCGAGUAUGAGGGGAAACCCUAGGUCCGGUUCUCCGGAUCGGAUGGCGACGACGUCACGACAUCAUUCCCCUUCUUGAAGGCGCUAUCUUGCUAGCUCAUGGUGUCCCGGUGUUGGAAUUGAAGAUUUUUUAUUGAAGGGUUUUUCUCCCCGAUUUCAUCCAGAAACCACAAAAAUCCUUGCAGUCAUGCUAGAAGUGACACAGUGAGAUAGCCAAAGUUAUGAGGCUACACUACUCAGUAGUGCAUUUUGUUUCCCUUUAUGAAUGAGUUACGUGAUAAGACCAGUGCUUUCAAAAUAUAUGAUUCUCAUAAAAUUAAAUCUUGUUUUGAAGAAUAUGCAAUACAGAUACACAUGAGACGAAUGAUGGGAUUCUUGUUCCAUAAAUGCCAGCCACACCAAGUUGUCAAUACUGAAAAGAAUAAUGCCUUAUCUUCGAAGGUACAGAUAACAUCAAAGCUUCAUAACAAUACCUCCACCGACACAUGCCAUAUAUCUCCAGUUUUGUUCUUCUGGCAAUCUAAAGCAAACUCCACAACUUUUUCACUUUCUUCAUCCUUGGUUCCUCUGCAGGGCAAUCCAGUAUGUCAGACGUUGAGACGAAUCAUAUUUCAUUGGAAAGAGAAUGCGAGAUGAACAAGCUAAAGCACAAUGCUGAUCAGCAAAAGGUUAUUUCAACCAGGCCAACACCCCAGAUCAACUAACAAAAUGCAAAAUGGCAACCUGGGAAACAAAUAAACAUCGUUUUGUGCACGAUCUGCAACAUACACAAACAGUUGAUCAAAGUGCGACGUAAGGAUGUGUUUUGGCUUUAUGAACAACUUGUUUUGCGGAAAACCAGGAUUCACGAGUCCUGGCCUAAAAGGCAAAAACAGUUUAACUUAAGUGACACUGAAAGCAACAAAACCACACAAUUUAGGAAAGGUUGUCUGUACCUCUCAGGAAGCUUGAUGCAGAGGGUGACAGAAGAAGCAUUUUGAGAGAAAAUCGCAAAGUUGAGACCACUUUCAACCUGCGACACUCCUAGAGGGGAUGCUUUGCCGGAAGAAUAUUUCAAGGGCAUUUCGGUACCCGCCGUUGCGCUUUCCCUUUCCUGGCGGUGUUGCAGAAUGAACAUACACUUUAGCAAAAAUAACAUGGUACAGAAUGAGGAAUAAGAAUACGCAGCAUCAUACAGUUAAUGAAUACAAACAUAUUCGCUUAGCGUGAAGUUUUACCAGGAUGAUAGCUCACGACAUGCCAAAUGACCAUGAAUGUAUAUCAAACAAACAGUUCAGUACACUGGUAGCUAAAUGGAUCGACGAACAAAUACAGUGUACUAUACAACCAUACGGGGCAUGAACACUUGAGUGUGGGGCGAUACCUCGGUCACAAUUCUCCCAGCAUUACCAGUCUGAGCUCCCACCGAGGUACUCCGCACGGACCUAAAUCGCUGUGCCUGCACCACGACAAAAUCCGCUCUGAUCAAUCCACCAAUUAGAGCAGAGGAAUGGAUGCACGCCGCGAAAAACAAAAGUACGAAAUCGAGACACCUGCCUUUCCGAAUUGCCCUCCUCCGCACCCGGGCGCGACCCCAAGCCUGCUCGCUGCCACACUGCACGGGAACCACGACCAAACACAUGCAUCGUUCAGCGCGGCCGCACGGCAGGAAAGCAACAAAAUGCAGCGCGGCGAAACGAGGUCUCGCGAAGAGAGAGGUUAAAAACCCACCGGUUAGGAAGCGCGGGGCGGACGGAGCUGCUGCUUCGGCGCGCGGUGGCGGCGGCGGCGGGGCGCAGCGGGGAGCGAUUUGUAGAGGCCGCCGAAUCCAUCCAAAUGCGGGGGUGCUGGGACGGGGUGGCGGGAGGGAUUUGGCUCGGGGCCGGGGCUUAGUUAUAGGGGCUCGUGGACACGGUCAUGGGGCGGCUCGCGGCUCUCGAGGUCGAGGGAGUGGAGCGGCGAUGGGGAGCGCAAGUCGGAGCAGGAGGAGAAGGAUGCGGUGAUCUCACCUCGGGGAGGGCGCGCGGAGGAAUGGGGGCGCGGGGGCGACGGAGAUGGGUGAUGGACACGUGGUGUCGCAUGCGCGGGGCGGGGGCGGCGGAUAGGGAAGUGGAGUGGACGGAGGACCUUGGCUCCCUUCCGGCCCCGACGUGUGGUGUCGUCUCGUCAUGUGCUUUCCAUACAACAGUUACCGGUGGUCUCAGUAGACGAGAAACGGUCGAAAUCACGGACAGAAGAGGUGGGAAACUUGCUUUACCGAAAAAUCUGAAAAUAAUUAUCCACGUAUCUUUAUCUUUACCUCCUUACCUAUAUAUAUAUAUAUAUAUAUACUAAUAUAUAUAUAUUAUAUAUAUAUAUAUAUAUACUAAUAAACCACGCAUCGCUUCUGGUGGUACGUCAUAAAAACAACCCUCGAAGUUGGCAAUAAUUACCCACCAAUGCCACCCGUAAGUGGCAAAAACGAUUCGUUUUUAAUUUCUAAUAUCGCUCCAGGGUUCUGUUAUUAAAGGUGGAUACAAUAUAAUAGCACUAAUGCAUGAGCAGUGCGAUGGCUGAGGCAAUGAUGCUCCACACAGGAGACCAGGGUUCAAUCCCUGGUUCUCACGCUUUUUCUCUUUCUUUUUACCAAGCGCAGUAAUGGGCCAGCCCAUGUGCGGGUCGUGGCGCCCCCUGUUUUCUAUAUCUUUUUUUUAUUUCUAUUUUGUUUUUUCCCUAAAAAUAAAUUUCGGAUUGAUGGCGCCCCCUAUUUUUUAUUUCUUUUUACUUUUUUUUCUGUUUUGGUUUUUUAUCUCAAAAUUAAUUUCGGAUUUCCAAAAUAUCAAACAAUUGCGAGUUCUGAAAAAAAGUAGGAAAAUGGUAAACUGUUUGUGAAUUUAAAAAAUAUUCUAAAAAUCAAAAAAUGUUCAUGACUUAAAAAAUUGCUCACAAAUUAUAAACAAAUCACGAUUUCUAAUGAUUUCAUGAAAUAAAAAAUGUUCAUGAUUUUUUUAAAUGAGCCAAUAUUCAAAGUAUAUUCAGGAAUUUAAAAAUCAUGUCCAUCAGCUUUUAGAAAAUGUUCACAAAAAUUAAAACACGUCCGUAAAUAAUGAACAAAACUAAUUGUAGGUUCCAUAAAGGUUUUAUUAGGAGAUCUAUAUAGCUCGUUUUAUGAUUUUAUUUAGUCCUUCGCGUUGGGUAAAAAAGGGUUUCCGUGUUUUGUACAACGCUGAACCCAACAAAAUUGACAUAACUUUCUAAGGGUUUGUUUUUGUAAGCUAUAUUAAAAUGACUAAAUGUCUAUUUUGCUUCCAUACACAGUUAUGCUUAUUUUCAUAUCACAAUAGUGGUUAUGGUAAACACCGCUACGCUAAAUCCAGACGAGACACUUUAUUUAUCAGUAUAGCUCAGGCAGGGUCCGUCAAUGCAGUUUGCUCAGCCACAAAAUAUUUUGUUGUGACGCCUUAAAAAAUCAAGUCUUGAUGAGCAUCAUAUUGUUCGUUUUUGAAAUUACAUUUUAAAAGUGUCUUAUCGCAUCAUGACAUGAUUUGUAUAUACUUUGUGAAUUUUAUUCAUACUUUUUUAUAUCUACCACACAUGUAUAACUUGAUAGUUUUUUUCCGUUGCAAGGCACGGGCAUUUCCAAAAAUGUUCGCUAAAUCAAAAAAAGUUUGUCAAAUUCAAGAACUAUUCCACCCAAUUUCUAAAUAUUUUCAUCGAUUAUAGAAUGUUUGCCAGUUCAGGAAAAUUGCUUAAAAAUGUUCACAAUUUCUAAAAAAUGUUUGUAAAUAGCAAAAAAUAUUCAUAAAUUGAAAAAAUGUUCUUGAUUGUAGAAAAUGUUCAGAAAUUUGUAAUAGUAUGUUGUUUGCGAUUUCAAAUAUGUGCAUGAGUUUAACAAAUUGUUCAUAAUUUCAAAAUGUUCAUGAUUUCGAGAAAUUGAGAGAGAUAUUGUAUCUCGGUGAUGCAACGAAAUGUGAUCAUGACCAUUUGAAAUUAUGAAUUUUUUUCUCCCGUUGCAACGCACGGGCCCUUUUGCUAGUACACUACUUAACUACUUAUAUAUUAUAGAAAAGCAAACAAAAGCUUCUCUAAACACACCCAUAGAAUGUACACGGAUCAAUUACAACUGCAUGAUUAGACCCACUAAAUCAAUCUAACGGCUAGCCUUAAUUUAAUUCCUUUUGUACGUACGUUUAGCAAUUUUAAUUGACUGGUGUACUCCACCACACAGGAAAACACACGUCAGACUACUCAUAGUGGAACUAAUAUGAGUGGUAACAUCACACAUGUCUAGGCAAAAUAGAUGACGUGAUAAAUAAUUAAUAAGGAAAGAGAGGCAUAUGAUAACAUACCAUCUUUGUCCUGGUUUAUUAGUCCCCUUUAUAAUUUGUGCUAAAUUUUGACCAAAGAUUUAACUGAUAAAAUACUAGAACAUGUUAACAAAAAUUAUAUCGUUAGAUUCAUAUUUGAACAUAGUUUACAAUGAUAUAAUUUUUAUUGACAUGCAUAAACAUCUUGUUAUUUAAAUUUAUGAUCAAAAUUUAGCACAAAUUACAAUGGAGACCAAUACACUAGGGCAGAGGGGUAGUAUCAAGACAAGAUGAGUCUGCGACCUAAUAAAUGAGGUGUUACAUGACAUCACACAUAUGUUAUUUCUCAUUAUAGGGGUAGUAACAUAGACUAGUAACAUACUAGUCUAGGUUAUUCCCCACUAUGGGUAAUCUCACACCCCGCAUCGGCAACUCCUACAAUCACGCAACGCACGCAAUCCGAACUGCCACCAGUUAACCUAUAUCCAUUAAUUAGCGCCUAAUCAAUUCUCAUAUGAAACCUCCAUUCAAAAGAGAGAAAAUUCCCAAGAGCAUGCAAGCCACCCGCCAAUGCAAGCGAAACACCGCCUUCAGGACGAGCGAGGAGCCCGUCGUUGAGGAACCCAAAGCAACACACGAGGGAGGGAGAAACGGACGAACUCACAGACAGAAGAGGUGGGAAACUUGCUUUAUCGAAAAAUCUGAAAAUAAUUAUCUACACUAUUUAUAAAAAAGUAAACAAAAUCUUUUAUAAACACACCCACAAAAUAUACACAGAUCAAUUACCACCGCAUGAUUAGACCCACUAAAUCAAUCUAACGGCUAGCCUUAAUUUAAUCCCUUUUGUAUGUGCGUUUAGCAAUUUUAAUGGACUGACCGUAGUCCACCGCACAGGAAAAGACCUCAGACUAUCCAUAGUGGGAGUAACAUGAGUGGUAACAUCACACAUAUUUAGGCAAAAUAGAUGAUGUGCCAAGUAAUUAAUAAGGAAAGAGAGGCAUAUGAUGACAUACUAUCUCCGUCCUGGUUUAUUAGUCCCCUUUGUAAUUUGUGCUAAAUCUUGACCAAAGAUUUAACUGACAAAAUGUUAGUGCAUGUUAACAAAAAUUAUAUCGUUGGAUUCGUAUUUGGACAUAGUUUUCAAUGAUAUAAUUUUUUAUGACAUGCAUAAACAUUUUGUCAGCUAAAUUUAUGGUCAAAAAUUGACAUUGAUUACAAUUGGGACCAAUAAAUCAGGACAGAGGGGUAGUAUCAAGACAAGAUGAGUCUGCAACCUAAUAAAUGAGGUGUUACAUGACACCACACAUAUGUUAUUCCCCGCUAUAGGGGUAGUAACAUAGACUAGUAACAUAUGCAUGUUACUAGUCUAAGUUACACCCCGCAUCGGCAACUCCUACAAUCACGCGACGCACGCAAUCCGAACUGCCACCAGUUAACCUAUAUCCAUUAAUUAGCGCCUAAUCAAUUCUUAUAUGAAACCUCCAUCCAAAAGAGAGAAAAUCCCCAAGAGCAUGGAAGCCACCCGCCAAUGCAAGCGAAACACCGCCUUCAGGACGAGCGAGGAGCUCGUCGUUGAGGAAACCAAAGCAACACACGAGGGAGGGAGAACAGGGCACGCAAAGGAGAGGACACGCCCAGGGCGGCAGUGCACUCACCUGACAACACACAUGCGGCCCGGCCCUGUCCGGUGCCGGCGGCGCAUGUCCCCCAAGGAUCGAGGGUUGAAUGCUCCCGGGAGGAGACACGCCGUGAGUCGUGAUGUCAGUGUCAAAGAAAUCGGAAGGACGCACCGAGAGGCUAGCCGGCAAUGAGCGUGCCCUGGCCCUGUCAGGCGGAGGCGUGUGCGCCAUAGGAGGCACAUGAAGAGCUCACAUACGGCCAAAUGAUUUAUACGUCUCCAACGUAUCUAUAAAUUUUGAUUAUUCCAUGCUAUUAUAUAUUAUGUUUUGGAUGUUUAAUGGGCUUAUUUAUACACUAUUAUAUUAUUUUUGGGACUAACCUAUUAACCGAAGGCCCAGCCCAAAUUGUUAUUUUUUGCCUAUUUCAGUGUCUCGCGGAAAAAGAAUAUCAAACGAGUCCAAACGGAAUGAAACCUUUGGGGGCGUGAUUAUUGUAACAAACGUGAUCCAAAGGACUUGGAGUGGACGUCAAGCAACCAACAAGGAAGCCACGAGGCAGGGGGCGCGCCUAACCCCCUGGGCGCGCCCUCCACCCUCGUGGGCCCCUCGUGGCUCCAUCGACCUACUUCUUCCUUCUAUAUAUACCUACAUACCCUGAAAACAUCGUGGAGCACCACGAAAACCUAAUUCCACCGCCGCAACCUUCUAUACCCGUGAGAUCCUAUCUUAGGGCCUUUUCCGGCACUCCGUCGGAGGGGGCAUUGAUCACGGAGGGCUUCUACAUCAACACCAUAGCCUCUCCGAUGAUGUGUGAGUAGUUUACCUCGGACCUUCGAGUCCAUAGUUAUUAGCUAGAUGGCUUCUUCUCUCUUUGGAUCUCAAUACAAAGUUCUCCUCGAUUCUCUUGGAGAUCUAUUCGAUGUAAUCUUCUUUUGUGGUGUGUUUGUCGAGAUCCGAUGAAUUGUGGGUUUAUGAUCGAGAUUAUCUAUGAACAAUACUUGAAUCUUCUCUGAAUUCUUUUAUGUAUGAUUGGUUAUCUUUGCAAGUCUCUUCGAAUUUUCAGUUUGUUUUGGCCUACUAGAUUGAUCUUUCUUGCAAUGGGAGAAGUGCUUACCUUUGGGUUCAAUCUUGCGGUGCUCGAUCCCAGUGACAGUAGGGGAAACGACACGUAUUGUAUUGUUGCCAUCGAGGAUGAUGGGGUUUAUAUCAUAUUGCAUUGAGUUUAUCCCUCUACAUCAUGUCAUCUUGCUUAAAGCGUUACUCCGUUCUUAUGAAUUUAGUACUCUAGAUGCAUGUUGGAUAGCGGUCGAUGUGUGGAGUAAUAGUAGUAGAUGCAGGUAGGAGUCAAUCUACUUGUCACAGACGUGAUGCCUAUAUACAUGAUUAUACCUAGAUAUUCUCAUAACUAUGCUCAAUUCUAUCAAUUGCUCGACAGUAAUUUGUUAACCCACCGUAAUACUUAUGCUAUCUUGAGAGUAGCCACUAGUGAAACCUAUGGCCACCGGGUCUAUUUUCCUUCAUACAAGUUUCCAAUCUAUUUUAUUUUGCAAUCUUUACUUCCAAUUUAUAUCAUAAAGAUACCAAAAGUAUUUAUCAUAUUAUUAUUAUCUCUAUCAGAUCUCACUCUUGCAAGUGGCCGUGAAGGGAUGGACAACCCCUUUAUUGCGUUGGUUGUGAGGUUUUUAUUUGUUUGUGUAGGUAAGAGGUGACUCGCGCGUGAUCUCCUACUAGAUUGAUACCUUGGUUCUCAAAAACUGAGGGAAAUACUUACGCUGCUUUGCUGCAUCACCCUUUCCUCUUCAAGGGAAAACCAACACAUGCUCAAGAGGUAGCAAGAAGGAUUUCUGGCACCGUUGCCGGGGAGAUCUACGCCAAGUCAAGACAUACCAAGUACCCAUCACAACUCUUAUCAUUCGCAUUACAUUAUUUGCCAUUUGCCUCUCGUUUUCCUCUCCCCCACUUCACCAUUGCCGUUUUAUUUGCCCUUCUUCUAUUCGUCUUUCCAUUUGCUCUGAUGUCUUACUUGGCUCAUUUGCUCGUUUAGUUGGAAUAGUUGUUUAUUUAUUGCUAAACAAAGAACCUAAGAUCUAUGGAUCCUCAUCCGCUUGCUAAUCUUUUUAAGAGAUCCAAUUAUGAUGAACCAAUUGCUAGUGAGUUUUGUGCACUAGAUUAUCUUUGUGAAGUUUUGCUUGAAAUUCGUGAAUCUGAAAAUUGUGAUGAAGUACUUUAUGGAGUGAUUCAAGAUGGAUCUUUGAAUAGAAAGCAUGAUUGCAAUGAUGAUAGUAUAAAUUCUAUUAAUGUCAAUUGUGCUUAUAAUAUGCAAAACUCUAAGCUUGGGGAUGCUAGUUUUGUUAUGUCUACUACUUGUUGCAAUGAUCAUGAUAUUCUUCUUUUGAUCUUGAAAAUUUAUUUAAGCCCCAUGAUGAAUAUGAGAUUGAUAAUAGUGUUUGCAAUAUUACUGAAAGUGGUUUUGGAAGAUUGUCAACUUUAGAUCCCACAUAUUUGGAGAAUAUUCAAUCUUAUGAAAUUUUUGAUAAAAGUGGGUUUGGAGAGGUCAUGACUUUAGUUAAUGUUAAUCCCACUAUUUUGGAAGAGUGUCAACUUUGCAUGCAUGUGGAUUGUGUUGAAAAUAUUUUAUGUGAUAGCUAUUUUGUUGAAUUUGCUUAUGAUUCCACAUGCAAUUAUUAUGAGAGAGGAAAAUAUGGUGGUAGAAAUUUUCAUGUUACUAAUUUACCUCUCGUUAUGUUGAGAUUGCUAUUGUUUCUUUUCGCUUCCUUGCAUAUGCUAGUUUAUGCUUGCCUUGAUAAUUUGUUUGCCUAUAAGAUGCUUAUGCAUAGGAAGUAUGUUAGACUUAGAUGUGUUUGUCACUUGUCUUGUGAUGCUCUCUUUGUGCUUCAAUUCUUGUCUUUCAUGUGAGCAUCGUUGAAAUCUUAUGCCUAGUUAUAAGGCUUUAAAGAAAAUCGCUUGUUGGGAGGCAACCCAAUAUUUUCCCUUGCUGUUAUUCAAUAAAUAAUUUAUCUAGCCUCUGUUUUGGUUGUGUUUUUUGUGUUUAAUUAGUGUUUGUGCCAAGUAGAACCAUUGGGAAGACUUGGGAAAAGUCCUUUUGAUCUUGCUGUAAAAAACAGAAACUUUAGCGCUUGCAAGAAUUGCUGCCAUUUUUUAUUGAAGAGUGCUAUUUAGUUAAUUCUUUUUUAAGAUGAUUAAUACAUAAAUUCCUCACGUCCAGGAAUUUAUUUUAGAAUUUUUGGGAUUCCAGAAGUUUGUGUCAGUUACAGAUUACUACGGACUGUUCUGUUUUUGACAGAUUCUGUUUUUCGUGUGUUGUUUGCUUAUUUUGAUGAAUCUAUGGCUAGUAAUGGAGUUUAUAAAUCACAAAGAAGUUGGAAUACAGUAGGUUUAACACCAAUAUAAAUAAAGAAUGAGUUCAUUACAGUACCUUGAAGUGGUGUUUUAUUUUCUUUCGCUAACGGAGCUCACGAGAUUUUCUGUUAAGUUUUGUGUUCUGAAGUUUUCAAGUUUUGGGUAAAGAUUUGAUGGAUUAUGGAACAAGGAGUGGCAAGAGCCUAAGAUUGGGGAUGCCCAAGGAACCCCAAGGUAAAAUCUAAGGACACCAAAAAGCCUAAGCUUGGGGAUGCCCCGAAAGGCAUCCCCUUUUUUGUCUUCGUUCAUCGGUAACUUUACUUGGAGCUAUAUUUUUAUUCACCACAUGAUAUGUGCUUUGCUUGGAGCGUCUUGUAUGAUUUGAGUCUUUGCUUUUUAGUUUACCACAAUCAUACUUGCUGUACACACCUUUUGAGAGAGACACACAUGAAUCGGAAUUUAUUAGAAUACUCUAUGUGCUUCACUCUAUGUACUCUAUGGUUUCAUUUUAUAGAAAUAAUUGAUCUCUCAUGCUUCACUUAUAUUAUUUUGAGAGUCCUUUAGAACAGCAUGGUAAUUUGCUUUUGAUAUUAUAAAAAAACUUUCAUAUAAGUGCAUUGAAUACUAAGAGAAGUUUGAUACUUGAUGAUUGUUUUGAGAUAUGGAGAUAGUGAUAUUAAAGUUGUGCUAUUUGAGUAGUUUUGAAUUUGAGAAAUACUUGUGUUGAAGUUUGAAAGUCCCGUAGCAUGCACGUAUGGUAAACAUUGUGUAACAAAUUUGAAACAUGAGUUGUUAUUUGAUUGUCUUCCUUAUGAGUGGCGGUCGGGGACGAGCGAUGGUCUUUUCCUACCAAUCUACCCCCCUAGGAGCAUGCGCGUAAUACUUGGUUUUUGAUGACUUGUAGAUUUUUGCAAUAAGUAUGUGAGUUCUUUAUGACUAAUGUUGAGUCCAUGGAUUAUACGCACUCUCACCCUUCCAUCAUUGCUAGCCUCUUCGGUACCGUGCAUUGCCCUUUCUCACCUUGAGAGUUGGUGCAAACUUCGCCGAUGCAUCCAAACCCCGUGAUACGAUACGCUCUAUCACACAUAAACAUCCUUAUAUCUUCCUCAGAACAGCCACCAUACCUACCUAUUAUGGCAUUUCCAUAGCCAUUCCAAGAUAUAUUGCCAUGCAACUUUCCACCGUUCCGUUUAUUAUGGCACACAUCAUCAUUGUCAUAUUGCCUUGCAUGAUCAUGUGGUUGACGUCGUAUUUGUGGCAAAGCCACCAUUCAUAAUUCUUUCAUACAUGUCAGUCAUGAGUCAUUGCACAUCCCGGUACACCGUCGGAGGCAUUCAUAUAGAGUCAUAUCUUGUUCUAGAAUCGAGUUGUAAUCAUUGAGUUGUAAAUAAAUAGAAGUGUGAUGAUCAUCAUUAAUAGAGCAUUAUCCCAAGAAAAGGGGGGAGAAAGGCCAAAUAAUGAAAAGGAAGGCCCCCCAAAAAGGGGCAAUGCUACUAUCCUUUUUUCCACACUUGUGCUUCAAAGUAGCACCAUGAUCUUUAUGAUAGAGAGUCUCUUGUUUUGUCAUUUUCAUAUACUAGUGGGAAUUUUUCAUUAUAGAACUUGGCUUAUAUAUUCCAACAAUGGGCCUCCUCAAGUGCCCUAGGUCUUUGUGAGCAAGCAAGUUGGAUGCACACCCACUUAGCUUCUUUUGUUGAGCUUUCAUACAUUUAUAGCUCUAGUGCAUCCGUUGCAUGGCAAUCCCUACUCCUUGCAUUGACAUCAAUUGAUGGGCAUCUCCCUAGCCCAUUGAUUAGCCGCGUCAAUGUGAGACUUUCUCCUUUUUGUCUUCUCCACAUAACCCCCUUCAUUAUAUUCUAUUCCACCCAUAGUGCUAUAUCCAUGGCUCACGCUAAUGUAUUGCGUGAAAGUUGAAAAAAGUUUGAGAUUACUAAAGUAUGAAACAAUUGCUUGGCUUGUCAUCGGGGUUGUGCAUGAUGAGAGCAUUCUUGUGUGACGAAAAUGGAGCAUGACCAAACUAUAUGGUUUUGUAGGGAUGAACUUUCUUUGGCCAUGUUAUUUUGAGAAGACAUGAUUGCUUAGUUAGUAUGCUUAAAGUAUUAUUAUUUUUAUGUCAAUAUUAAACUUUUAUCUUGAAUCUUUCGGAUUUGAACAUUCAUGCCAUAAUAAAGAAAAUUACAUUGAGAAAUAUUUUAGGAAGCAUUCCACAUCAAAAAUUCUGUUUUUAUCAUUUACCUACUCGAUGACGAGCAGGAAUUAAGCUUGGGGAUGCUUGAUACGUCUCCAACGUAUCUAUAGUUUUUGAUUGUUCCAUGCUAUUAUAUAUUCUGUUUUGGAUGUUUAAUGGGCUUAUUUAUACACUUUUAUAUUAUUUUUUGGGACUAACCUAUUAACCGGAGGCCCAGCCUAAAUUGCUGUUUUUUUUUGCCUAUUUCAGUGUUUCGCAGAAAAAGAUUAUCAAAAGGAGUCCAAACGGAAUGAAACCUUCGGGAGCAUGAUUUUUGGAACAAACGUGAUCCAGAGGACUUGGAGUGGACGUCAAGCAACCAACAAGGAAGCCACAAGGCAGGGGGGCAUGCCUACCCCCUAGGCGCGCCCUCCAUCCUCGUGGGCCCCUCGUGGCUCCACCGACCUACUUCUUCCUUCUAUAUAUACCUAUGUACCCUGAAAACAUCUGGGAGCACCACGAAAACCUAAUUCCACUGCUGCAACCUUCUGUACCCGUGAGAUCCCAUCUUGGGGCCUUUUCCGGCGCUUCGCCGGAGGGGGCAUUGAUCACGGAGGGCUUCUACAUCAACACCAUAGCCUCUCCGAUGAUGUGUGAGUAGUUUACCUCAGACCUUCGGGUCCAUAGUUAUUAGCUAGAUGGCUUCUUCUCUCUCUUUGGAUCUCAAUACAAAGUUCUCCUCGAUUCUCUUGGAGAUCUAUUCGAUGUAAUCUUCUUUUGCGGUGUGUUUGUCGAGAUCCGAUGAAUUGUGGGUUUAUGAUCGAGAUUAUCUAUGAACAAUAUUUGAAUCUUCUCUGAAUUCUUUUAUGUAUGAUUAGUUAUCUUUGCAAGUCUCUUCAAAUUUUCAGUUUGGUUUGGCCUACUAGAUUGAUCUUUCUUGCAAUAGGAGAAGUGCUUAGCUUUGGGUUCAAUCUUGCGGUGCUCGAUCCCAGUGACAGUAAGGGAAACGGCGCAUAUUGUAUUGUUGCCAUUGAGGAUAAAAAGAUGGGGUUUAUAUCAUAUUGCAUGAGUUUAUCCCUCUACAUCAUGUCAUCUUGCUUAAAGCAUUACUCCGUUCUUAUGAACUUAAUACUCUAGAUGCAUGCUGGAUAGCGGUCGAUGUGUGGAGUAAUAGUAGUAGAUGCAGGCGGGAGUCGGUCUACUUGUCACGGACGUGAUGCCUAUAUACAUGAUCAUACCUAGAUAUUCUCAUAACUAUGCUCAAUUCUAUCAAUUGCUCGACAAUAAUUUGUUCACCCACCGUAAUACUUAUGCUAUCUUGAGAGAAGCCACUAGUAAAACCUAUGGCCCCGGGGUAUAUUUUCCAUCAUACAAGUUUCCAAUCUAUUUUAUUUUGCAAUCUUUACUUUCAAUUUAUAUCAUAAAAAUACCAAAAAUAUUUAUCUUAUUAUUAUUAUCUCUAUCAGAUCUCACUCUUGCAAGUGACCGUGAAGGGAUUGACAACCCCUUUAUCGCGUUGGUUGCGAGGUUUUUAUUUGUUUGUGUAGGUACGAGGUGACUCGCGCGUGGUCUCCUACUGGAUUGAUGCCUUGGUUCUCAAAAACCAAGGGAAAUACUUACACUGCUUUGCUGCAUCACCCUUUCCUCUUCAAGGGAAAACCAAUGCAUGCUCAAGAGGUAGCAAUGAUAGGGCCACCCACGUACGCUAGCAAGACGCAGGUGCUAUUGCCGGAGCUAAAACUCGUGUAUGAGAGGUAGCGACUCCCUGACGCCAUGCUUGACAACUUCCCAUGAAGGGGGUCUGUGUUGAUUUGCAUCGGAGGCGCCCCAAAACCCUAUUGCGCCCGUUUGCACUAUAUAAAGCAGAGGAAACCCUUUCGCCAAGAGGAAGUUAUUCAUCAAGCCAAGAACCGCCAGGCUGUCAUCAUCACCAUUCCCACCUACAACAAAUGUCACCAUCUCCAUUAGCCAUAAUACUUAUAGUCGAUAGUGCAUCACGACCAAUGUAAGACUUAUAAUCAUUCAUGUUUAAGUAUCAAUCUUUACAGUGUCUAUUGCUUAUGAAUUAUUCGCGAUGUCUGAGUAGUCCCCUUGGUCUAAGGGUUGAGGCAUCUCAUGUAUGUGCGUCAAGGGAUCAUUGGUUUACUUUGAUAUGUUAACAGAUUUCCUAUGUGUUGCACAACUUUUGCCUCAUUUCCUUAAUCAUAAGACUUGCAUGUAUGCAACAUAUGGAAGAUUGGACAGGGAGAUAUUAUGGACAGAGAAGAGUGACUUCUAUGAGGAAUAUCGGUGACAGAGAUAUUAAUAUAGUAGAUGGAAACGAGUCUUUGGGAUAAAUAAUGUGCAAUCAUUAAAUGCCCAACGUAUUGGUCCAAUUUAUUCCUUAAUAUAACUGAGGUAAUCCCGUUAGUCAAAAGGGCCUUGGUUGGACAAUAUAACCUUGAUCCGGCGUUGGUCGGUCAUUGGCUUAUUUGAAACCAUUUCUCACAACAAUUCAUUGACAAGCUAUAUGUUACAACUUGACUAGUGUCAUGUUGUUUAUUCAGAUAAGAUCUGAGCACAAGUACAGUUACAGGUAAAGCCUUUAGCCAUAGCCUAUUUAUUUUAUUAUUGUCUUUUAGUUGCCUAUACAAUUUGGUUCAAAAAACUGGAACUCUUUGAGAUAACAAGUUCUUGUAUAAAUCUUCUUGCUAAGCAUCACUUCCCGUGGGCUCGAUAAGCCUAGGAUAUCUGGGGAAAUAAGCUACUUCUACAUCUAAAACCCGAUCAAAGAUAAUCAUAAAUUUUGAUUCCUUCCUUCUAAAAAGAUGGUUUAUUCACCCAACAAAUUAUGUUUAAUACAUCAUCGUAGGUGCCAGGUCUUAUUAGGUUUUCUUAUUUUGAAUGUCACUUCAACUCAAUGUUUAACUUUUUGGCAAAUAUAGAUAUUGGACCAUUUUCAACUCCAGUUUCAGUAGUGGUAAAAAUGAUAGCUCCUGGCCAUUGUUUUGAUUAGUGGGAAAUUUACAUGUGUGCUAGCCAUACUUAAUUAUCUUAUCCAGAGUUGGCAAUUUUUUACCAUGUGGAUUGUAUUAAUUUGCAUUGAUUUAGAAAACAAUUUCCUAAAUUUGACAUGAUUGACAUGAUUUUUCAUGUACAUAUAGAUAGUUGCUAGUGAAAUUUUAAUUUGCCAUGAGUUAGAGAACAAAUUUCGUAAAGUUUCCAACAAGUUCCCAUGAUUUUUAGGAGAAUAAAAUUCCUAAAUUUUCCAUGCGACUACUACAAAUUUUCCUAAAGUUGCAUGUCUUUCUUAGGAAAAUUGUUUUUCUGUAAUUUGACAUGUGAUAAGUACAAGCUUUUCCUUAAAAAAUCUACUUGUUUUUUUUGAGAAAACGCAGAAGACUUUUGCGUUUCAUUGUAUUGAAAAGAUAGAAAUUUGUUACAACCCUCCUAAGGGCAUGACCAAUGCCCCACGCUGGACAGCUUCCCCGCAGGUCCACGUCGGAGGCGAGCUGCCAUGGAAGAGAGAGGAGAAAAAGACGUUAGCUUGCAGAGCUCAGGUGCAGCUUGUAGAGGAGGUAGAAGCUUGAGGGAGAGAGAGAGUGUGGUCCAUGGACAAAUGUGGUAGUGCAUGCGCUGCUCUUGGGAGAGAGGGAGAGUGCGUGGAAGAAGAAAAGGUAAAGUCCAUGUGCUAUGGGGAGAAAAAGAUGGGAAGUGAGAAGAGGCUAGCUCACGUCACAAGGCUAUCGGUUAGAUUGAAUGAAAACUGAAUGGAGUCUCAUUUUUGUUGUGAUGAUGUGGAGGUCUUGGGGCAGCACUAGGUGAUGCCACCAUUGUUCAUGCCCUAAGAGGCCAAGUUCAAGAAAAAAUAGUAAAAGCUAGUGUAUAUCCCAGGUGGUUGGUAAGAUCACCCUCAAGCCACGGGCACCAGCGCGUGCCCGUUGAUCAGCUUCAUCCUUGAUCUUAGAGACCAGGGUAUGGACGAGAGGCAGGGCACCAUCGAAUAUGCAUUUGUUGCACUGCUUUCAGAUCAUCCACAUCGUCAGGAGUGCAAUGGAGGCAAGACCCUUGCACAUCUACAUAGGCGUGUUUUGCUUGGCGUGGAGCCACCAGUCCAUAUGAGUAUCUUCUUGGUUUGGUCUUGCGUGUGUCAUCCCGAGCCAAAGCUAGGACCUCAUGCCAAGUCUGUUUGGCGAAAGGGCACUCCGGGAGUAGGUGCCUCAUCGUCUCGGGAGCCUGUUCACACAACGGGCAUCGAGGCCGGUGUUGGAGGCCAUGUAUAGCGAGGCAAUCAGCAGUCCAACACAUAUCAAGGUUGGCCAGCCAGUGGAAAAAAUUCACACAUGUCGGCGCCCAGCUCUUCCAGAUGAACUUCCAGGAGAAGCAAGUUGUGGAUCCCUCGAAUGUGGCUAGGUAGCAGGAACGAACAAUGUAGGUGAUAGAUGCAGUCCACUUCAAAACAAGUUGGUCGGGGACAUCCGAUAGUAAGAAGUCUUCGACCGCCUGUCAGACUUGCACGUAUUGGCCAUUCUCGUUGAUGCCCAUUUGAAAGGAUCGAGAAGAGGUGUCUAGAGGGGGGGGGGGGGGGAAUAGACUCCUAACAAAGAAAAGUUACAGUUUUUAUUUUCUUCAAGUUAAGGUAGAGUUUUGGCACAAGUUUAAACAUCCACAAUACAUUCAAACAAGCAUGACAAGAGUAUAUGAGCAGCGGAAAGUAAAGCAUGCAAUUUGCAAGAAAGUAAAGGGAUGGGAUUGGAGUGUGCAAACGCAAUUGGAGACACAGAGAUUUUUGGCGUGGUUCCGAUAGGUGGUGCUAUCGUACAUCCACGUUGAUGGAGACUUCAACCCACGAAGGGUAAUGGUUGCGUGAGUCCAUGGAGGGCUCCACCCAUGAAGGGUCCACAAAGAAGCAACCUUGUCUAUCCCACCAUGGUCAUCGCCCACGAAGGACUUGCCUCACUAGGGUAGAUCUUCACGAAGUAGGCGAUCUCCUUGCCCGUACAAACUCCUUGGUUCAACUCCACAAUCUUGACGGAGGCUCCCAAGUGACACCUAACCAAUCUAGGAGACACCACUCUCCAAAAGGUAAUAGAUGGUGUGUUGAUGAUGAACUCCUUGCUCUUGUGCUUCAAAUGAUAGUCUCCCCAACACUCAACUCUCUCUCACAGAUUUGGAUUUGGUGGAAAGAUGAUUUGAGUGGAAAGCAACUUGGAGAAGGCUAGAGAUCAAGAUUCAUAUGGUUGGAAUGGAAUAUUUGAUCUCAACACAUGAGUAGGUGGUUCUUCCUUAGAAAAUGUAUGAUGGAAGUGUAGGCAUGUUCUGAUAGCUCUCUCCACAAAUGAAGAGUGGGUGGAGGGGUAUAUAUAGCCUCCACACAAAAUCUAACUGUUACACACAAAUCACCAAACUCGGUGGGACCGAAUAAAAAAACCCAGUCGGACCGAUUCAGUUCAUAAUGUGACCGUUAGGAAUUUCGGUGGGACCGAUAUGAUCAACUCGAUGGGACCGAUGUGCUAGGGUUAGGUUAAAACCUCAUCUUGGUUUGACCGGUUACACAAACUCGGUGAGACCGAUUUUGGUAAUAAGCAAAACAGAGAGUUGGUCAAGCAAACUUGGUGGGACUGAUUGCAUAUCUCGAUGGGACCGAAAUUAUUGCAAUAGGUAACAGAGAGUUUGCAAGCCCAUCUCAGUGAGACCGAGAUCCCAUCGGUGAGACCGAAUUGAUUAGGGUUUGUGGCAGUGGCUAUAUCAAGUGAACUCGGUGGCGUCAGAUGGAAAAUUUUGGUGGGGCCGAGUUUGACUUUUGGUUUGGGACAUAUGUGGAUAUGAGAAAGUGGUUGAGGGCUUUGAAGCAUAUCACUAAGCAUUUUGAGCAAGCAAGCCAUUAAGCAACACCUCAUCCCCUUUUAAUAGUAUUGGCUUUCCUAUGGACUCAAUGUGAUCUUGGAUCACUAAAAGCAAAAUGCAGAGUCUUGAGCUUUUGAGCUUGAGCCAAUCCUUUGUCCUUAGCAUCUUGAAAGGGUUCCAUAUCCUCUUGUCCACGCCACUCCAUCCGUUGAACUUGUCUGAAAUAUACUAGAUGAAAACAUUAGUCCAACAAGAGAUAUGUUGACAUUAAUUACCAAAACCAUCCAGGGAGCACUUGUGCUUUCACCAUUGUCCCAUGAAUGUCUUGCGCCCAACUAUGGCCCUGUAUACCUUAAAUAACGGUUUGAAUCUUGCAGCGACGCUUGGGGAUGCAAUUUGUACAGGGUUGGGGCGAUCUCAUCAAUAGAUCGUCCAUUGAUCCAACGGUCCUCCGAGAAAAGUGCAGUUAAGCCGUUUCCAAUGGCCAUUGUUGUGGAGGAGAAGAAGAGCGCCCUUUCCUUAGCAGAGAACUACAGGCCGGGCCAUGUCAUGUGAUCAUUACAAAAUUUAUCAUGUUUUAUAGAACACAACAUCCUAAAUUAUAAAUUAUGUAGAAUUGUCAUUUGACGGUUGUUGUCUUUUUCGACAUUUGCCAUGUUUUAGGAUGAACAAAGUGUGUUCAUUGCCAUGCUUGCAAUGCAAAAUUUUCCAAAAAUUGUCCUGACUUCUGUAAAAACAUAAGUUAGUUAGUUUUUGACAAAGUGACCAGUACAAACUUCUUUCUAAAUCUGGGAUUUCAGGAAGAACUCAAACUGACUGGAGUGCAGUAGCAUUUCAUUUGCUCUCAUGUAUGACCAGAGUGACAAUGUACAGGAAAACCUUAUUAUAUAUGCAUAAAUUGCGUAGUCAGUUCAGACUAACAAAAUCACACUUUGUAUGCAUAUUUGAAUGAAAAUCUGGGCAACUUUGUUUCCAACAGGAAAACUCUCAAGCUAACAGAAAAUCUACAUGAUGCUACAGUACCAUAGUCACAUAGAUUACACAAGAAACAUGUUUCCAGCAUGAAAUUUGAGGAUUUGGCCCACUUUUCCCCGUGCUUUGAUGAUUUGACCUCCUUUUUAUUGACAUUGAUGAUUUGCCACAACUUUGCCAAAAACUUGUGGAUUUGCCAUUGAUAAGAUGGGCCUACCGUGAGAUGAUGAAAAUACCCCUGAACUGCACGUCGAAUCACGCUCGGCUCUCUCCCAUUCUCUCCCACGCCAUAUAUGCUCCUCACUUGCUAUCUCGUGGCGCAGACCCAUCUUGUACCAUCGGCGAGCAGCAUGACCGACAUGGCAAGGAACACUCUUUGCCUUGGAGGCGGGAGACCAGCUGAGUAGGAGCAUCGGGCGUAUGUGUCACAUGGGGUGGGCAGCGCGGCUGCCGGUGACGCAUAGAUCCACUCCAAUGAGUCACUCCGUCGUGGACAUCGGCGACCACUGGCCGGCCUCCGUGAACAGUCAUGUCGCGCUCAAGCCGGAUGGACGACGGAUGUGUGCCCAGGCGUGCUUGUGUGCGUGCAUGCUCUAGCACCUGGCCGUGCGCGAUGUGUGCUACGCGUGCAUGUGUGUGUGAGUGCUAUGCGUGCAUGCUCUAGCACCUGGGCAUGAGUGUGUGCUCUCUCUAUGUGUUGUGUGCAUUCGUGCUCUAGCACUUGGGCCUGUUGUUGCUACUUUUUUAAACUAUGGCAAAAGCUUUGCCUCGUCUCAUUAAUUAAGGAGGAAGACAUAGUUUUAAAGGUUACAGGACCACCCAGGUCUGAGAAAAAAAACUGGGAUCACUCUUCCGGAAUUAAGUUUCCCAACAAUCUAGCCCUGACAAUAACCCAAGUCUUUGCCUCAUCCUUACUCGUCGCGACCACCCUAUAAGGAAGUGAUGCUUUGGAGCGGAAGACCCUAGCGUUCUUUUCGUUCCAAAUUUCCCAGCAUAUGAGCAUCUGCAGAGAGUUGUUGGCCUUCCUGGAGUUCCUUUGCAUGCCAUCAUUUGAGGUCCAUCAUUGCUUGAUAGUCUGGGGAUUACUCCAGCCCGGAGUCGCCGAUUGUAUUCCUAACCAGUCGAAGACCAUGUUCCAAACUCUAAGAGUGCAAGGACAUUUGAACAUGAGAUGAGCAGCAGAUUCAGGUUCCUUUUGCAGAGUUGGCAAAGACCACAGUUUGGCCAUUCUCUAUGAAGCAACCUGCCCACCGUCCAUAUUCUAUCUUGAAGAAUUAGCAAAGAAAAGAACUUGAUCUUUGGGGGGGGGGCAGAUCUUCCAAACCAUCCGCGGCACAUCAGACUUAAUCAGUCCAGCAAACUGCAUCCUGUAAGCGGUGGCGGCCGAGUAGCAUCCAUCAGCGAUGAACUUCCACCGGACGCCAUAUCUACAUUCCAGUGAUAGUUGGAUCUCUUGACAUUUGCACCAAAUGUCGAAGAAUUGUUCGAUGAGGGUAGCAGAGAAGCCAUCAUGCAUGUUAAUGUGCCUAACCUAUUCAUUGUUCAGCAAGGACCUAGUGACACGGUAGUUGGUGCGUUUGGGAAGGGCGAAGAUGCCCGGGGCGAUGUCCUUUGGCUUUAGUCCCUGUAGCCAAGGGGACUGCCAAAAGCUUGCUUUCUUGCCAUCCCCAAUCGCAAUUAUUGUCGUGGCAUAGAAGAGCUCUUUUUCUUCAUCAUCACACGGUAUUCAAGGCCCACCCAAGCCCUCUGUCGGUCGACCCAAGAAAACCAGAGCCACCGCAGCCUAAGAGCACGAGCGAACUUGUCAAUAUCAAGGAUUCCGAGACCUCCAAGAUUUGUAGGCCGACAAACUGUUUUCCAGUUCACUUUGCAUUUGCCUCCAGAUCAACUCCCGCCCAAAGAAAGGCACGUUGAAUCUUAGUGAUACUUUUUUUGUUCCUGUAGGCACAUCAAGCACGGGGAUGUGGUAGAUCACAAGAGAUGUCAAAUACCAAUUUGACCAGUGAUACGUCUCCAACGUAUCUAUAAUUUUUUAUUGUUCCAUGCUAUUAUAUUAUCAACCUUGGAUGUUUUAUAUGCAUUUAUAUGCUAUUUUACAUGAUUUUUGGGGCUAACCUAUUAACCUAGAGCCCAGUGCCAGUUUAUGUUUUUUCCUUGUUUUUAAGUUUCGCAAAAAAGGAAAACCAAACGGAGCCAAUUGACCUGAAACUUCACGGAACUUAUUUUUGGACCAGAAGAAGGACAUGGAGUAAAAGAGUUGGGCCAGAAGAGUCUCGGGCUGCCCACGAGGGUGGGGGCGCGCCCACCCCCUAGGCGCGCCUCCCUACCUCGUGGACAGCCCGGAGACCCCCUCUGACUUGUUCUCGACGCCAAAACCUCUUAUAUAUACUGAAACCUCCAGAACAUAACCUAGAUCAGGAGUUCCGCCGCCGCAAGCCUCUGUAGCCACCAAAAACCAAUCUAGACCCGUUCCGGCAGCCUGCCGGAGGGGGGAAUCCCUCUCCGGUGGCCAUCUUCAUCAUCCCAGCGCUCUCCAUGACGAGGAGGGAGUAGUUCACCCUCAGGGCUGAGGGUAUGUACCAGUAGCUAUGUGUUUGAUCUCUCUCUCUCUCAUGUUCUUGAUUCGGCACGAUCUUGAUGUAUCGUGAGCUUUGCUAUUAUAGUUGGAUCUUAUGAUGUUUCUCCCCCUCUACUCUCUUGUGAUGGAUUGAGUUUUCCCUUUGAAGUUAUCUUAUCAGGUUGAGUCUUUAAGGAUUUGAGAACACUUUAUGUAUGUCUUGCAUGUGCUUAUCUGUGGUGACAAUGGGAUAUCACGUGAUCCACUUGAUGUAUGUUUUGGUGAUCAACUUGCGAGUUUCGUGACCUCGUGAACUUAUGCAUAGGGGUUGGCACACAUUUUCGUCUUGACUCUCCAGUAGAAACUUUGGGGCACUCUUUGAAGUUCUUUGUGUUGGUUGAAUAGAUGAAUCUGAGAUUGUGUGAUGCAUAUCGUAUAAUCAUACCCACGGAUACUUGAGGUGACAUUGGAGUAUCUAGGUGACAUUAGGGUUUUGGUUGAUUUGUGUCUUAAGGUGUUAUUCUAGUACGAACUCUAGGAUAGAUUGAAUGGAAAGAAUAGCUUCGUGUUAUUUUACUACGGACUCUUGAAUAGAUCGAUCAGAAAGGAUAACUUUGAGGUGGUUUCGUACCCUACAAUAAUCUCUUUGUUUGUUCUCCGCUAUUAGUGACUCUGGAGUGACUCUCUGUUGCAUGUUGAGGGAUAGUUAUAUGAUCCAAUUAUGUUAUUAUUGUUGAUAGAACUUGCACUAGUGAAAGUAUGAACCCUAGGCCUUGUUUCCUAGCAUUGCAAUACCGUUUGUGCUCACUUUUAUCAUUAGUUACCUUGCUGUUUUUAUAUUUUCAGAUUAAAAAAACCUAUAUCUACCAUCCAUAUUGCACUUGUAUCACCAUCUCUUCGCCGAACUAGUGCACCUAUACAAUUUACCAUUGUAUUGGGUGUGUUGGGGACACAAGAGACUCUUUGUUAUUUGGUUGCCGGGUUGUUUGAGAGAGACCAUCUUCAUCCUACACCUCCCACGGAUUGAUAAACCUUAGGUCAUCCACUUGAGGGAAAUUUGCUACUGUCCUACGAACCUCUGCACUUGGAGGCCCAACAACGUCUACAAGAAGAAGGUUGUGUAGUAGACAUCAAGCUCUUUUCUAGCGCCGUUGCCGGGGAGGUUAGCACUUGAAGGUAUAUCUUUAGAUCUUGCAAUCGAAUCUUUUUGUUUCUUGUUUUAUCACUAGUUUAUUCUGUAAAAGAAAACAACAAAAAAAUGGAAUUGAGGGUAUCUCAUAUGCUUAAUUUUUUAAUGUCUUUCAUGAAAAUAAGGAUUCCGAUAAUUGUGCCAAAGUGUUAGAAGAAGAAUGCAUUAAAAUGUUUGGCACUAAAUCUUUGUAUGAUGAGCAUGAUUGCAAUGUUGUUAGUACGAACUCUUUGAAUAUCCAUGAUACUAAUAAUGAUUGCACUAGUCAUGAUGAAAAUGUCUCUUAUAAGCAUGUCAAUUUUUGUGGAGUGCAUAGAGUUUGCAAGUACACACCAAAUAGGGAAGAUAGAUUUUGCAAGAGGCAUAAGUAUUUGGAAACUAAAUGGUUGCAGUAAAUGCUAGAUGUUUGUGCUAAAAAUUUAAAUUUUCUUAGCCAUCCUUGUGAACUUUGCAAUGAACGUGGUCAUUUAAAUAUCCAAUGCAAAUUGUUUCAUAAUCGAAUCGUGUCCAAAAAUUGUGAUGACAUGUAUGCUAUAAAGAACAAUGAUAACCAUGAAACUUGUCAUCUUGAUUUUAAUUUUCAAUUGGAUUAUGCCUUAGAUGAUAGUUAUUUUAUUGAGUUUGCUCCCACUACUAUUCAUGAGAAGAAAUUUGCUUAUGUGGAGAGUAAUAAAAACUCUAUGCUUGUAGAUCAUGAAAAGAAUGUUUUAUGUGAUGGUUAUAUUGUUGAAUUCAUUCAUGAUGCUACUGAAAUUUAUUAUGAGUGAGGAAUAUAUGCUUGUAGGAAUUGCAAUAAUAUCAAGUUUCCUCUCUAUGUGCUUAAAGUUUUAAAGUUAUGCUUGUUUUACCUUCCUAUGCAAGUUGAUUCUUGUUCCCAUACGUUGUUUGCUCACAUAAUCCCUAUGCAUAGGAAGUGUGUUAGACUUAAAUGUGCUAAUCAUAUUCUUCAUGAUGCUCUCUUUAUGUAUCAAUUCUUAUAUUUUAUGUGAGCAUCAUUGAAAUCAUCAUGCCUAGCUAGGGGCGUUAAACGAUAGCGCUUGUUGGGAGGCAACCCCAUUUUAUUUUGGUUCCUUGCUUUUUGUUCUUGUUUAGUUAUAAGUAAAUCAUCUAUCCUCUGUUAUGAUUGUGUUUUUUAUGUUUUAGUUAGUGUUUGUGCCAAGUAGAACCUUUGGGAAGACUUGGGUGAAGUCUUUGCGAUCUUGCUGUAAAAAACAGAAACUUAUGCGCUCACGAGAUUAGCUGCCAUUUUUUUACUGGAGAGUGUGUUUAGGUUGAUUAUUUUUGCAGAUGAUUAAUAGACAAAUUCCUCACGUCCACAAAUUUAUUUCAGAAUUGUUUGAGUUCCAUAAGUAUACAUUUUAUACAGAUUACUACAGACUGUUCUGUUUUUGACAGAUUCUGUUUUCUAUGUGUUGUUUGCUUAUUUUGAUGAAUCUAUGAGUAGUGUCGGAGGGUAUGAACCAUAGAGAAGUUGGUAUACAGUAGAUAUUACACCAAUAUGAAUUUAGAAUGAGUUCACAAUAGUACCUAAGCGGUGAUUUAUUUUCUUAUACUAACGGAGCUUACAAGUUUUCUGUUAAGUUUUGUGUUGUGAAGUUUUUAAGUUUUGGGUAAAGAUUCAAUGAACUAUGGAAUAAGGAGUGGCAAGAGCCUAAGCUUGGAGAUGACAGGCACCCCAAGGUAAUAUUCAAGGACAACCAAGAGCCUAAGCUUGGGGAUUCCCCAGAUGGCAUCCCCUCUUUCGUCUUCAUUCAUCGGUAACUUUACUUGGAGCUACAUUUUUAUUUACCACAUGAUAUGUGUUUUGCUUGGAGCGUCAUUUUAUUUUCUUUUGUUUUGCUUGUUGUUUGAAUAAAAUACCAAUAUCUGAAAUUCUUAAAUGUUAGAGAGUCUUCACAUAGUUGCAUAAUUAUUCGACUACUCAUUGAUCUUCACUUAUAUAUUUCGGAGUAGUUUGUCAUUUGCUCUAGUGCUUCACUUAUAUCUUUCUAGAGCACGGUGGUGGUUUUAUUUUAUAGAAAUAGAUGAACUCUCAUGCUUCACUUAUAUUAUUUUGAGAGUCUUUUAGAACAACAUGGUAAUUUGCUUCGGUUAUGAAACUAGUCCUAAUAUGAUAGGCAUCCAAGAUGGGUAUAAUAAAAACUUUCAUAUAAGUGCAUUGAGUACCAUGAGAAGUUUGAUACUUGAUAAUUGUUUUGAGAUAUGAAGAUGGUAAUAUUAGAGUCGUGCUAGUUGAGUAAUUGUGAAUUUGAGAAAUACUUGUGUUGAGGUUUGCAAGUCCCGUAGCAUGCACGUAUGGUAACCGUUGUGUGACAAAUUUGAAGCAUGAGGUGUUUUUUUGAUUGCCUUCCUUAUGAGUGGCGGUCGGGGACGAGCGAUGGUCUUUUCCUACCAAUUUAUCCCCCUAGGAGCAUGCACGUAGUGCUUGGUUUUUGAUGACUUGUAGAUUUUUGCGAUAAGUAUGUGAGUUCUUCAUGACUAAUGUUGAGUCCAUGGAUUAUAUGCACUUGCACCUUUCCAUCAUUGCUAGCCUCUUCGGUACCGUGCAUUGCCCUUUCUCACCUUGAGAGUUGGUGGAAACUUCGCCGGUGCAUCCAAACCCCGUGAUAUGAUAUGCUCUGUCACACAUAAACCUCCUUAUAUCUUCCUCAAAACAGCCACCAUACCUACCUAUUAUGGCAUUUCCAUAGCCAUUCCAAGAUAUAUUGCCAUGCAACUUUCUACCUAUUAUUGUUGAAGUCCAAAUUGGCACAACAGAUUGGGGUGACGAUGCUUUUAAGAGGAUUGGCCGCCAGACCCGUGACCUCCCCAAAAUCAGCCAGAAUCUUUGUUAGCUGCUGAAUAUCUUCUUUGAUGGGAGCGACAAAAAUGGUUGCGUCUGCAUAAAGAGAGGUUCGGAUACAUGUAGCACGACCUCUUAACUGGUGUAGGAGGCCCUUCUCAGUAGCUUUGGCAAGCAGUUGUUGUAGGCGCUCAAUGGCCCGGACGAAUAACAAUGGGGAGAGCGGGUCACCCUGACGUAGGCCCUUCCCUAGCCUAAUUAGGUCUCUAGGUAUGCCAUUCAGCAGCACUCGCGAUGAAGACGAUUCCCAAAGGGCCGCAAUCCAAUCUCUGAAUUUAGGAGAGAAGCCCCAGCGUUGCAAUAAGUCCAGCAAGUAGUCCCAACAGAUCGAAUCAAAAGCUUUCUCGAUAUCUAGCUUGAGGAGAAGAGUCAGAGUCUUGGUUUGGUGUAGGCGUCUUACAAAGCCACGGAUGAACAGGAAAUUGUCAUGGAUGCUUCUGGUCCUGAUGAAUGCACUUUGGGCCCUGGAAACAAGAUCAUUCAUGAAUGAUGCCAGUCGUAUGGCCAAAAUCUUGGUAAUGAUCUUUGCGAAGGCAUGGAUCAGACUGAUGGGACGAAAAUCUGAAAUAUCCUCCGCCCCUUCUUUUUUGGUAGUAGCACAAUGUUUGUCGAUGCAUACACAAAGAAAGACGCCAUUGUCUGGGCUCGCUCCCAGUCUAGCGCACCCUCGCAGAGCUCACCAUGGACAUCCACCAUCAUCCCCGAGCUCAUACUGUCAACGUGACCCUCCGCGUGCCACAUCCGGCACACACACAUGCGCAACAGCAACUCGGCGACGCUACCAGAGUGUGGGGAGAGGAGGAGCACCAGCAGCACAACACAGGAUGGCAGGUGGAUGAGGCAUGGGGAGUCGUCCGUUGCAGGAAGAACAUAGAAGAAAAUGUAAGCAUCUAAUUUGGAUUGGUUUUUGGCAAGAGUGGCAUUUUGGUCAUCCAAUCUAUAGUAUAAUCUCAAAUCAGGUAGAAAGGGCAAAUCCUCAAGUUUUUGGCAAAGUUGUGGAAAAUCUUCAAUGUCCAUAAAAAGGAGGGCAAAUCCUCAAAGUGCACGCAAUGGUGUGGCAAAUCCUCAAAUCACCCUUCUAACAAAAGGCAAGGGCUCUCAGCCAUUCCCAGGAUGAUCACAAGGUUCUGUUGUAGUGAAACCAUCAAACCAAGACCAAAUCUUUGAUCAAAAGCUCCUACUACCUAUCUCACUCGCCUUGAAUUCUAUAAAUCAUCAAAGGAAUGUAAUUAGAGAGAUGGCAGUGGGUUCGCAUCACAUACUGGGAUCCAAGAUUUUAAUCCGGUCACGAUUUUGUCAUCUUGAUCAUGGGUUGUGUCGGUUGCAUCCUUGAGGCGAGUAAAAGGAAGCGAAGGAGGCGAGUCGACUAGAGAGGGGGGGGGGUUCGAUGCGUUCAACUGUCCAAAUCCAACAAAACCAUGACAUAACUCUCUUACACAUCACAAAGCGAUGCCACAUCAUGCAAUAUUGUCUCAAAACCGCCGAAAUCAGACCAACACCACUUUAAGGGGGAGAUUUACCCGGUUUUGCCAAUUUUGAGGUCACAAUCGUACUAAAAUGGAGUUCAUGUGGGUAUCCUUCCCUCUGGACGCAUUUACCUACUUCUAAAGAGGGAGUUGGUAGCUUCUCCUCAUAGACUUAUUUUCGUCUAGUUUUUUUUGCAUCACCUCCCACUACCCUCUCCCGUUGUUUAGAAAAAAAUCUGAACAGAUGAGAAAUUUCCAUCCAUGUGCAAGUUAUUUAGUAAUGUAUUUAUGUGAAAGAAUCAAUCAUGGUCAAUCUCUUUUUUUGCAUGGUAAAAUGUGUCUCAUUCAUAUCAUAAAGAUUAAAGUACAAGUCACAUAAAGACCGGCAUGGUAAAACUGAAAAGACAAGAGAACGUGUCUCAGCUUGACACCAACAUCCAUCACCUGCCUCUGGCAUCACCACAUUAGCUAUCGAAAGAAAAAUGACGGAUCACCUUCUCACCCGAGCUCGAUGCGGCUCCAUCGCUGAUAUGCAACUCUGUGGACCUCCAAGGUGGCUCGCCAAAGGCAAAACCAUUACCGUUGAACAAUUAGAUCGGGGCAACACCCCGGACACAUCAUCAAACUCCAGAUCAGGCACCCCCACAUGACUAAGACGUCGGAGAAGGAAACCAUACCUGCCAUCCACGAACGAGCCCUGCACACGUUCCUGAAGGAAAUAUGCCCUAGAGGCAAUAAUAAAGUUAUUAUUUAUAUUUCCUUAUAUCAUGAUAGAUGUUUAUUAUUUAUGGUAGAAUUGUAUUAACCAGAAACUUAGUACAUGUGUGAAUACAUAGACAAAAACAGAGUGUCCCUAGUAUGCCUCUACUUGACUAUGUCGUUAACCAAAGAUGGUUAUGUUUCCUGACCAUAGACAUGUGUUGUCAUUUGAUGAAUGGGAUCACAUCAUUAGAGAAUGAUGUGAUGGACAAGAGCCAUCCGUUCGCUUAGCAUAAUGAUCGUUUAGUUUUAUUGCUAUUGCUUUCUUCAUGACUUAUACAUAUUCCUCUGACUAUGAGAUUAUGCAACUCCCGAAUAUCGGAGGAACACCUUGUGUGCUAUCAAACAUCAAAACAUAAUUGGGUGAUUAUAAAGAUGCUGUACAGGUGUCUCCGAAGGUGUUUGUUGAGUUGGCAUAGAUCGAGAUUAGGAUUUGUCACUCUGUGUAUCGAAGAGGUAUCUCUGGGCCCUCUCGGCAAUGCACAUCACUAUAAGCCUUUGCAAGCAAUAUGACUAAUGAGUUAGUUACGAGAUGAUGCACUACGAAACGAGUAAAGAGACUUGCCGGUAACGAGAUUGAACUAGGUAUGAUGAUACCGACGAUCGAAUCUCGGGCAAGUAACAUACCGAUGACAAAGGGAAUAACGUAUGUUGUUAUGCGGUUUGACCGAUAAAGAUCUUCGAAGAAUAUGUAGGAACCAAUAUGAGCAUCCAGGUUUCGCUAUUGGUUAUUGACCGGAGAUGUGUCUCGGUCAUGUCUACAUAGUUCUUGAACCCGUAGGGUCCGCACGCUUAAUGUUCGAUGACGAUUUGUAUUAUGAGUUAAGUGUUUUGGUGACCGAAGUUUGGUCGGAGUCCCGGAUGAGAUCACGUACAUGAAGAGGAGUCUUGAAAUGGUCGAUAGGUAAAGAUUCAUAUAUUGGAAGGUAGUAUUCGUACAUCAGAAUGGUUCCAAGUGAUUCGAGUAUUUUUUUGGAGUAUCGAAGGGUUACCGGAACCCCCCGGGGAAGUGUUGGGCCAACAUGGGCCUAAGGGAGAGAGAGUGAAACCCACAGGGGGGUGUCGCGCCCCCCUCCUAGGGAGUCCGAAUAGGACAAGGAGGAGGGGGCGUGACCCCCUUCCCUUUCCCUCUCCCUCUCCUUCCUAUUCCCUCCGAAGAAAGAAAGGAAAAGGGGGCGAAUCCUACUCCACUAGGAUCCCCCCAUGGCACGCGCCCCCUGGCCGGCCUCCUCCUCCCCUCCUUUAUAUACGGGGGUGGGGGGCACCCCAAAGACACAACAUUUGUUUCUUAGCCGUGUGUGGUGCCCCCCUCCAUAGUUUACUCCUUUGGUCAUAUUAUCGUAGUGCUCAGGCGAAGCCCUACACGGAUCACAUCACCAUCACCGUCACCACGCCGCCGUACCGACGAAACUCUCCCUCGACCCUCUAAUGGAUCAAGAGUUUGAGGGACGUCAUCGAGCUGAACGUGUGCUGAACAGGGAGGUACCAUACGUUCGAUACUUGGGAUCGGUUGGAUUGUGAAGACGUUCGACUACAUCACCGCGUUAACCUAAUGCUUCCGCUUUUGGUCUACGAGGGUAUAUGGACACACUCUCCCUGUCUCAUUGCUAUGCAUCUCCUAGAUAGAUCUUGCAUGAUCGUAGGAUUUUUUUUUUGAAAUUGCAUGCCACGUUCCCCUACAGUGGCAUCCGAGCUAGGUUUAUGCGUAGAUGAUAUGCACGAGUAGAACACAAAGAGUUGUGGAAGAUAAUAGUCAUACUGCUUACCACCAACGUCUUACUUUGAUUCGGCGGUAUUGUUGGAUGAAGCGGCCCAGACCAACAUUACAUGACCACGUUCAUGAGACCGGUUCUACCGACGUGCUUGGCACACAGGUGGCUGGCGGGUGUCUGUUUCUCCAACUUUAGUUGAAUUGAGUUUGACUAUGGACGGUCCUUGUUGAAGGUUAAAACAACACUCUUGACGAAAAAUCAUUGUGGUUUUGAUUCGUAGGUAAGAGAGGUUCUUGCUAGAAGCCCGUAGCAGCCACGUAAAACUUGCAACAACAAAGUAGAUGACGUCUAACUUGUUUUUGCAGGGCAUGUUGUUAUGUGAUAUGGUCAAGACAUGAUAAGAUAUAAAUUGUUGUAUGAGAUGAUCAUGUUUUGUAGAAGUUAUCGGCAACUGGCAGGAGCCUUAUGGUUGUCGCUUUAUUGUAUGAAAUGCAAUCGCCAUGUAAUUUCUUUACUUUAUCACUAAGUGAUAGCGAUAGUCAUAGAAGCAAUAGUUGGCGAGACGACAACGACAUUACGAUGGAGAUCAAGGUGUCAAGCCGAUGACGAUGGAGAUCAUGACGGUGCUUUGGAGAUGGAGAUCAAAGGCACAAGAUGAUGAUGGCCAUAUCAUGUCACAUAUUUUGAUUGCAUGUGAUGUUUAUCCUUUAUGCAUCUUAUUUUGCUUAGUACGACGGUAGCAUUAUAAGAUGACCCCUCACUAAAUUUCAUGGUAUAAGUGUUCUCCCUGAGUAUGCACCAUUGCUACAGUUCAUCGUGCCGAGACACCACGUGAUGAUCGGGUGUGAUAAGCUCUACGUUCACAUACAACGGGUGCAAGCUAGUUUUGCACGUGCAGAAUACUCGGGUUAAACUUGACGAGCCUAGCAUAUGCAGAUAUGGCCUCGGACCACUGAGACCGAAAGGUCGAACGUGAAUCAUGUAGUAGAUAUGAUCAACAUAGUGAUGUUCACCAUUGAAAACUACUCCAUCUCACGUGAUGAUCGGACAUGGUUUAUUUGAUAUGGAUCACGUGAUCAUUUAGAUGACUAGAGGGAUGUCUAUCCAAGUGGGAGUUCUUAAUUAAUAUGUUUAAUUGAACUUUAAUUUAUCAUGAACUUAGUCCUGAUAGUUUUUGCAUAUCUAUAUUGUUGUAGAUCAAUGGCCCGUGCUAACGUUCCCUUGAAUUUUAAUGCGUUCCUAGAGAAAGCUAAGUUGAAAGAUGAUGGUAGCAACUACACGGAUUGGGUCCGUGACUUGAGGAUUAUCCUCAUUGCUGCACAGAAGAAUUAUGUCUUGGAAGCACCGCUAGGUGCAAGACCCGCUGCAGGAGCAACUCCGAACAUUAUGAAUUUCUGGCAGAGCAAAGCUGAUGACUACUGGAUAGUUUAGUGUGUGAUGCUUUACGGCUUAGAAUUGGGACUUCAAAGACGUUUUAAACGUCAUGGAGCAUAUGAGAUGUUCCAGGAGUUGAAGUUAAUAUUUCAAGCAAAUGCCCGAGUUGAGAUAUAUGAAGUCUCCAACAGGUUCUAUAGCUGCAAGAUGGAGGAGAAUAGUUCUGUCAGUGAACACAUACUCAGAAUGUCUGGGUACCAUAACCACUUGACUCAGCUGGGAGUUAAUCUUCCUGAUGAUAGUGUCAUUUACAAAGUUCUUCAAUCACUGCCACCAAGCUAUAAAGGCUUCGUGAUGAACUAUAAUAUGCAAGGGAUGUAAAAGACAAUUCCCGAGCUCUUCGCGAUGCUAAAGGCUGCGGAGGUAGAAAUCAAGAAGGAACAUCAAGUGUUGAUGGUUAACAAGACCACUAGUUUCAAGAAAAGGGGCAAAGGGAAGAAGGGGAACUUUAAGAAGAACAACAAGCAAGUUGCUACUCAAGGGAAGAAGCCCAAGUCUGGACCUAAGCCUGAAACUGAGUGCUUCUACUGCAAAGGGACUGGUCACUGGAAGCGGAACUGCCUCAAGUAUUUGGCGGAUAAGAAGGAUGGCAAAGUGAAAGGUAUAUUUGAUAUACAUGUUAUUGAUGUGUACCUUAUUAAUGCUCGUAGUAGCGCCUGGGUAUUUGAUACUGGUUCUGUUGCUCAUAUUUGCAACUCGAAACAGAGGCUAUGGAUUAUUUAAGAUUGGCUAAGGACGAGGUGACGAUGCGCGUGGGAAAUGGUUCCAAAGUCGAUGUGAUCAUCGUCGACACGCUACCUCUACAUCUACCUUCAGGAUUAGUUUUAGACCUGAAUAAUUGUUAUUCGGUGCCAGCGUUGAGCCUGAACAUUAUAUCUCUAUCUUUUUUAAUGUGAGAUGGUUAUUCAUUUAAAUCAGAGAAUAAUGGUUGUUCUAUUUAUAUGAGGGAUAUCUUUUAUGGUCAUACACCCUUGAAGAGUGGUCUAUUUUUGUUGAAUCUCGAUUGUAGUGAUACACAUAUUCAUAAUAUUGAAGCCAAAAGAUGCAAAGUUAAUAAUGAUAGUGCAACUUAUUUGUGGCAUUGCCAUUUAGGUCAUAUUGGUGUAAAGCGCAUGAAGAAACUCCAUGCUGAUGGGCUUUUGGAAUCACUUGAUUAUGAAUCACUUGAUGCUUGCGAACCAUACCUCACGGGCAAGAUGACUAAGACUCCGUUCUCCGGAACAAUGGAGCGAGCAACUGACUUAUUGGAAAUAAUACAUACUGAUGUAUGCGGUCCGAUGAGUGUUGAGGCCUACGGCAGGUAUCGCUAUUUUCUGACCUUCACAGAUGAUUUGAGCAGAUAUGGGUAUAUCUACUUAAUGAAACAUAAGUCUGAAACAUUUGAAAAGUUCAAAGAAUUUUAGAGUGAAGUGGAAAAUCAUCGUAACAAGAAAAUAAAGUUUCUAUGAUCUGAUCGUGGAGGUGAAUAUUUGAGUUAUGAGUUUGGUCUUCAUUUGAAACAAUGUGAAAUAGUUUUGCAACUCACGCCACCUAGAACACCACAGCGUAAUGGUGUGUCAGAACGUCGUAACUGUACUUUGUUAGACAUGGUGUGAUCUAUGAUGUCUCUUACCGAUUUACCGUUAUCGUUUUGGGGUUAUGCUUUAGAGACGGCUGCAUUCACGUUAAAUAGGGCACAAUCUGAAUUUGUUGAGACGACACCAUAUGAACUAUGGUUUAGCAAGAAACCUAAGCCGUCAUUUCUUAAAGUUUGGGGCUGUGAUGCUUAUGUGAAAAAUCUUCAACCUGAUAAGCUCGAACCCAAAUCGGAGAAAUGUGUCUUCAUAGGAUACCAAAGGAAAUUGUUGGGUACACCUUCUAUCACAGAUCCGAAGGCAAGAUAUUCGUUGCUAAGAAUGGAUCCUUUCUAGAGAAGGAGUUUCUGUCGAAAGAUGUGAGUGGGAGGAAAGUAGAACUUGAUGAGGUAAUUGUACCUUCUCCUGAAUUGGAAAGUAGUUCAUCAUAGAAAUCAGUUCCAAUGAUUCUUACACCAACUAGUGAGGAAGCUAAUGAUGAUGAUCUUGAAACUUUAGAUCAAGUGACUACUAAACCUCAUAGGUCAACCAGAGUAUGGCCCGCACCAGAGUGGUACGGUAAUCCUGUUCUAGAGGUCAUGUUACUUGAUCAUGACGAACCUACGAACUACAAGGAAGCGAUGAUGAGCCCAGAUUCUGCGAAAUGGCUUGAGGCCAUGAAAUCUGAGAUGGGAUCCAUGUAUGAGAACAAAGUGUGGACUUUGGUUGACUUGCCCAAUGAUCGGCAUGCCAUAGAGAAUAAAUGGAUCUUCAAUAAGAAAUCUGACGCUGACGGUAAUGUUACUGUUUACAAAGCUCGACUUGUUGCAAAAGUGUAAGUGCAUCUAGUGCCCCUUAGUGAUUUUGGUGUAUUGAAGACUUAUAGGUUAAGUGACUAAUGCGUUUGUGAGUGUACACAUGACUAUAAGUCUAUGAGGAGUUUGAUAUUUACAGAGAAAGUCGACCCCUAAAAAUGAAUGCCUUCAACUGAAGACUCUGGAUUCCUGAAGACUUUGAAAGUGAAGAAAUUGGUGUGGCCGUGAAGACUCGAUAUUCAUGCGAGGAACAUGAAGCGUGAAGACUUUUGUCUUUGUAGUUUCAUUUUCUCUUUCUUGAAUCAUAGGAAACACCAUACUAUUAAAGGGGGUUGAGGUAAAACUAAGGAAAAGUUUCCAGGUGAUGCUCAUCUCAAAAUCCUACACCUACCAAUCCCUUCGAGUGAAGCCGUUGGAAAUAUCAUACAGUUCAGUCAAUUUCUUCAGUGACAGAGACAAAGUUCUUCUGGUCUAUGAGGAAUUUGUUCUGACUAAGGAUUUAGGAAUUCGCCAGUGCGGAUUGCUUGCGAGUGAGGAACAUGAUAGCCCUGAGGAAUUUGAACCUCAAAUUUCUGACCGUUGUUGUGCUAUGCGCCAGCUGUCCCAAAAAAUAUACUCACAUAACAGUUAUAUCAUUGAAGGGCAUUUAUGUCUUAUCAUGUCGGGCUGCUCCCUAGGCUAUAAAUAGCCGCCCCCUACAACCACUAGCUGGUUGGCUACUCCGCGAGAAACUGACACUUGUCAUUGAGAGCAUCCCAUCCUCCGAGGACUUUGAGCGAAAAUCAUCAAGUGAGGAAAAACCCCAAACCCCAAACCAAACACUUACAAACCCAAAGUCAUUGAGCAUCACUGAAGAGAUUCUUCCUGUGUGGAACCGACGCUUGUUACCUUUGAGGAUUGUGCAUCCUCGAGACAGUUAGGCGUCAUGGUUUAGAGCAUCCAAGAGGAAAUUGUGGAUCGCCGAGUGACCGAGUGUGUGAAGGUUUGGAAGUCACCUGAAGACUUACCACGAGUGAUUGGAUGGGGUCUGUGUGACCUUAGUUCAAGAAGAAUAUGGUGAGGACUGUGUGUCCGGGACUGUGUGUCCUCAGGUUUAAAUACCUAGCCGCUCUAACCAGACGUACAACUAUCACAGUAGUUGGAACUCGUCUACCAAAUCUUUGUCUUCACCGAGCUAACUGGUUCUAUUUCCUCAACCCUUUCAUUUCCUCAUUACUGUGUUGUGUACCUAUUCAUAUCUGUUUGAAGACCUUGACUGAAGACAUUCUCAAUUUCCUCAGUUCAAUUUCUUCAGUCUGCUUGUCUUCAUUAUGUUUUAUCAUGUGCUUACGCUUUAUGUACUCUGUGUUUGUUUUGAAUUCUUCAUGAUGUCCAUGCUUAUGUUAUGUCUGCAUCUGAGUACUUAUUCCGCUGCAAGUAGUUCUUCGCUUAGGAAUUUCCUCACCCUGAAAUUCCUCAUUGAAGAAUUCAUAAAAAUCGCCUAUUCACCCCCCUCUAGUCGACUUAACGCACUUUCAAUUGGUAUCAGAGCGGGGUACUCCCUUGUUCUGUGUGAUUUUGGUUUAACCGCCUGCAGUUUUAGUUAUGUCAACCGCAGGUAUGAUCAAGGUUUCUGCUGGGUGUCCUACAUUCGUUGGGACGAACUACCACUACUGGAAGAAUAUAUAAGAUGUGCAUGCAUCUUGAGGCAAUUGACAACGAUCUCUGGUACGUUGUGGAAAAUGAUGUUCCCUCUGUCACUCCUACCAUCAACGCUGCUGAUGUGAAGAGAUUCAAGCAACUCAACUCUCAAGCGAAGAACAUCAUAUGUGGCCAUCUGAGCAAAGGACAGUAUGGCAGAGUGAGUGCUUUGGAGACAACAAAGCUUAUCUGGGACAGGAUGUCCAAGGUCAAUGAAGGAGUAUCAACACAUCAUGACUCUCGAGUUGACGUUCUUCGCAAUCUCUUCAACCGCUUCAAAAGACUCGAUAAUGAAAAUGUUCAGCAAACCUUUGAUCGCCUCACUGACAUUUCAAAUGAGCUUAAAGCACUUGGUGCCUCUGACAUCACCGACCACGAGGUGGUGAAGAAAUUGCUUCGAUCGCUUGAUUCCUCAUUUGACACCCUUGCAACUAUGAUCACUACAAAAGAAGACACAUCCGUGACAUUUUGGGCCGAACGAAAUUUUUUUCUGUCAUACAUAUGACACUUCUAUGACGAUAAUUGUGACAAAACCCGGUAUCAUCAUAGAUGUGGUGGGCUCCUACUUCUAUGACAAAAAAUCAUGACAGAAAAUGGGCUUUUCGUCCUGGGCGGGCCGGAGACGCAGCUGCAUGACAUUCUUUGGGCCGUCCAUGACGGAAAAAACCAUGGUAGAAGCGAGGGGGAGGAAAAUUUCGGGGAGUUCCCGGUUACGGUGGGAGGUCGGGGGCCGAGCGAUGCGCGUUUCUCUCGUACACGUACGCGCAUGUGUGCGAGGCGUUGGCUCUAACUGAACCCGAGCGAGGCGUUGGGAUCUAACUGAACCCGAGCGAUUGCACUGCAGGCUACGCGUUACUGAACCCGAGCGAUCGAUCGAUGGCUGUUAACUGAACCCGAUCGAGCGAUUCCUUCGNNNNNNNNNNNNNNNNNNNNNNNNNNNNNNNNNNNNNNNNNNNNNNNNNNNNNNNNNNNNNNNNNNNNNNNNNNNNNNNNNNNNNNNNNNNNNNNNNNNNNNNNNNNNNNNNNNNNNNNNNNNNNNNNNNNNNNNNNNNNNNNNNNNNNNNNNNNNNNNNNNNNNNNNNNNNNNNNNNNNNNNNNNNNNNNNNNNNNNNNNNNNNNNNNNNNNNNNNNNNNNNNNNNNNNNNNNNNNNNNNNNNNNNNNNNNNNNNNNNNNNNNNNNNNNNNNNNNNNNNNNNNNNNNNNNNNNNNNNNNNNNNNNNNNNNNNNNNNNNNNNNNNNNNNNNNNNNNNNNNNNNNNNNNNNNNNNNNNNNNNNNNNNNNNNNNNNNNNNNNNNNNNNNNNNNNNNNNNNNNNNNNNNNNNNNNNNNNNNNNNNNNNNNNNNNNNNNNNNNNNNNNNNNNNNNNNNNNNNNNNNNNNNNNNNNNNNNNNNNNNNNNNNNNNNNNNNNNNNNNNNNNNNNNNNNNNNNNNNNNNNNNNNNNNNNNNNNNNNNNNNNNNNNNGGGAGUGGAUGAACAGGACCCCGAUCGGUCGAGCCGGUUGGGGCUGGAUGAACAGGACCCCGUGGAGGGCUGGAUGAACAGGACCACCCCGUGGAGGGCAGGAUGAACAAUAGACGGUGGAGGGAAGGAUGAACAGUAUCCCGUGGAGGGGUGGUUGAACAGGAGCCCGUGGAGAGGGCUGGUUGAACAGUAGCCGGUGGAGUAGCGCGCGGUGGAGGCUGGAUGAACAGGAGCCCGUGGAUGAACAGUCGCAGAUGGAGGCUGGAGGAGGUCGACGGUGGAUGAACAGUAGCUCGUGGAGGCUGGAGGGGUUCGACGAUGGAGAUGAACAGUAUGCCGUGGAGUCCCGUUUUGCGGUACGCCACACCCCUCCCGAUGAACAGGACCCCCGUUUCGACCGUAGCGCUCCAACACAAGUCCGUUUCGUCCGUUUUGCGGUAUGCCACACCCCUCCCGAUCAACAGGACCCCCAUUUCGACUAUAGGAGGUCCGUUUCCUCUGUUUUGCGGUACACUAGACCCCUCCCGAUCAAUAGGAUCCCGUUUCGAACGUGGCCGGUCGAAUACAAGGCCGUUUCCUCCGUUCUGCGGUACGCCAGGCCUCGUUUCCAUCGCCUGUUCCGUCCAAGCCUUCCCGAUGAACACGAUGCAUUCCGUUGCCUCCCCAUGAACACGAUGCAUUUCGUUGCCUCCCCAUGAACACGACACAUUUCGUUGCCUCCCCAUGAACACGACGAUGAUGUUGUUUCUCCGUUCCGACCCAGCCAUGUACACGAGCCCUGGCCGUACGUAUGCGCGAGUAGGCGUUUGAGACCCCGCCCGUAUGUACACAUACGUGGCCGUAUUUUCUUUCUUCCACCCCGGCCGUUGUACGUACGUGUACAUGCUACGUGCGCGCCUCUACUACGACACAUGCGCGUCUCUACAUCGACCAGUAUAUAUGUACGUACACGUUCACGACCAGAAUGACAACGCUACGUACGCUUCGACCAGGUGGGUCCCGACUGUCAGGCACUUCCUUGCGUGCGAAGAUGUAGCUGGUGGGUCCCAGCAGUCAGGGGCAAACGUUUUUUUCACGAAAUACGAUGGCCCGUCCAGUGGGUCCCCGUUGUCAGGUGGAGGAAUAAUUAUUUUGCGUGUAAUAAGGAGGCACUUCCUUGCUGCGGCCGUGGACCCAGCUGUCAGCGUCUCCACGCGCAGUACUCUUCCGAUGGAAGUCGGUCGUUGACCACAUUGACCACGUCGCGUCGAGAGCACCACGGCGGUGGACGACAGCGAGGCCUAGGAAGGGGACGACGUGGAGUCGGGGAAGACGCGACAGUGGAAGCCCGUGCAGAGAGGAGUACGAGGGUUCACUAGUUCGGCUGCGGUGUGAGGCUGCCGUCGCCGCAGGGCCUGGCCAGCGGUGGGAAUAGUAGGGGGCGGUGAGGCCUCCGCGGCAGCACAAUCGGCCACGGGAGGCAGGAGCAUGCGGCACGAUCAGCGCUGCUUUGGGCGGCUGGAGCAAGAAGACCAGUGGUUGAAGAAGCACUACGGCCGUUGGAUGGACAUCGUACGGUCACUGGAGCUAGAAUCGUUCAUCUAUACCAAUAUAAAAAGACCCAAAGGGGCAGAUCCAACUGAUCUUAGCCAUCGAACUAAGUUACUCCAACGACCUAGACUACUCUAAUGGCGAGCAUUAAACGUUUUUAAGGUGCAAUUAAUAUCAUACCAAAUAUUGCAAUCACGGGAUUAACACACAAAUAAUAGCAUACCUAAAAUCCGUGCGCAAUUAAUAUAUUGCCUAAAUAUUUAACGUGUGUUGCACGUGCGCAUUUACUAGUAUUGACUAAGUUGAUAAAGCCCUUCGUCCCCGUCAACUUAGUAGGCCCACAAGUCAGCCUCCCACCAAGGUGGGUCCCAGCUAGCCGAGGGAGUAUUCAUUUUUUUGUGUGUAAUAAGGAGGUACUUCCGGUGGGUCCGAGCUGACAGCGGGGGGAACGUUUUUUUAGUGAAAUACGGUGGCCCGUCCGGUGGGUCCCAGCUAUUAGGGGGAAACAAUUUUUUUCCGCAUAAUACUGGUGGCCCGUCCGGUGGGUCCCCGCUGUCAGGUGGAGGAAUAAUUAUUUUGCGUGUAAUAAGGAGGCACUUCCUUGCGGCUGCCGUGGACCCAGCUGUCAGCCUCUCCACGUACAGUACUCUUCCGACGGAAGUCGAUCAUUGAUCACAUUGACCACGCCGCGCCGAGAGCACCACGGCAGUGGACGACGGCGAGGCAUAGGAAGGGGACGACGCGGAGCCGGGGAAGACGCGGCAGUGGAUGCCCACGCGGAGAGGGGUACGAGUGUUCACCAGUUCGGCUGCGGUGUGAGGCUGCCGUCUCCGCAGAAUAACAGGGGGUGUGGGUGAGUAGAGGGAUGCCCUAGCCAGCAAUGGGAGUAGUAGGGGGCGCUGAGGCCUGCGCGGCAGCACAGCCGGCCACGGGAGGCGGGAGUAGGCGGUCCCGCCGGCGCUGCUUUGGCGGCUGGAGCAAGAAGAUCAGAGAUUGAAGAAACACGACGGCCGUUGGAUUGACAUCCAACGGUUACGUCUGCUAGAAUCGUUUGUUGACGUAUAUAAUAACUAAAAAAAAUCUUGCAUACGCGUUAACUAAACAGGCCCACAAGUCAGACCACUCGCUCUUUUUUUAAUAAUUUAUAUAUAGCUCAUGGCAACUUCUUAUGCAAUUUAUUGCAGUCGUUUUUUUUGGUUGGCCAGGGCCAAUUUCGCAUAUUUCUGUGGGUUCCACACUAUUUUUAAUACCAAAAUGUCCAGCCAGAUUUAAAGUACUUUGAAGAUAUAUUUAAAUUAGAAUAAUGCCCAGUGAAAUAGGAAUAUGAAAAUGUAAUAAAAUUCAGAAAUUAUAAAGUAAUUGCCAAUUUGUCAUCUGUUUUUGUAUUUACAACCCAUUUCAUAUUACUUUCAAGAUUUGCAGGCAUCUUUAAAGAGUUGCAGCCCAUCAGGGCGUAGAAAAAUAAGUAGGCCUGGAUUGGGUAUUCUUCAAAAAAAUAAACUGGGCUCAUUUUCACAAAGAAAAAAUAGCUGGGCUGGUCACAUGGUGAACAUAAAAUAUAAGCCUGGGCUAGACGGGCCACAUCCUAGUUCAAACCAUGCUCCGUCUCAAUAAUACCAAACAAAAAAAUACUGCUCGAGUAGCUAUGUCCCAGGUGUCAGCCGAUCUUGUGCUGUUCUCUUGUCUAUUGACUAUAUAUGCUCCCAAUGUCGUGGGUCCCAGAUGUCAGGAAAACACUAGGAGGAAGCAUUUUUUUCCAUACGUUGACAUGGUGGGCCCCUACUGUCAUCCUCUCCACGUACUUCUGCCGAUUCCUGUUGUUUGUUGACCAUGUUAACAAUGCGAGAGGGCGGCGCCGCGGCGAGCGCACCAAAGCCCGCGGAGGACAUCGACGUUAACGAUUUAGGAGACGGUGGGGCGGCGAUGCGUGCGCUGAGGCGUAGCCAGCCGUGGGAGGCGGAAGCAGGCGGCCCCGCCGGCGCUGGUUUGGUUUUGGCGGCUGGAGGAAGACAUGACUGAAGAAACACGACAGACUGUAGUACUUAACAACCUUAACUGAAACCAGUAGGGGCACUUAACAACCAAAGCUGAAAGCAGUAUGAGUACUUAUACAGGUUCAACCGUACAAAGCACGCCUCGAACAGUGCUACUUUGCCUACAGUUAACCAAGGGUGAGGCCGCCAAGCCCCAGGACAAGGCCCAGGCGCCACCCCGCGCAUCCACAACCUUCUGAAAGCGGCUUCAUCUCGCAACGUGGUCAAUAAACAGGAUAUUCGCUUUAGAGCCAUGGAAAAGCAUGAACAUAAUCUUCUGGCCUAUUCUCCAAGAUGGACGGGCCUUCAUUAUUUGAGACCACCCAUGAAUAAGUAUCUUUUCACCUCCAAGGGGAAUUGAGUAGGUCGACAUAAACAUCAUGUUGUGACCAAGUGCAAGUCUGACCCGACCAUGAUCAGGCAUCUGUAUAGGAACAAUAGAACUCGGCGGUUCCUGUUUCAAGAAGAUCACAGCUGUAAAACUGUGUAUAAGCAAUAGUUUAUGAACAACAUAUAUAACAGAAAACAGCUCGUACCAUAAGUUUCUCGACACAGUUGGACCUGUUCAAUGAGUGCAGCAGUGGCACACAUAUCCCACGUGGCCUUCCACCAUUGAAACGCCCCACAAGGACCUCAAGACGAUCAAUAAAGUGUAGGAACUUGUGGAUGUCGAUCCAGUCAACUUCAGUGCCAUUAGUAACAGCCGAGUUAUUACAGAGUAACAAACGAGCAGACUGCUUUAGUCUGAAAAAACCUACACGUGCCACCAAUUAUAAGAAAAUAUUAGUUAGAAGUAGCAUCUUCGUGAGAGAUUCGUUGCUACUUCUAAAGUUAUUGUGAUUAGUUACACAAAAUAGGUGGAUUAAGAAGUAAUCAAGGCAACAAGAAAGAACCAGAUACAAAACUAACAUGGAUGAACAAUUGGAACGACGUCGGGGUGGAAGAUCGCAGUGAAGAUGAGACCAGGUUUUGCUAUUUCCAUCAACAUUCGUGUGCCAACUUUCAGUUGGUAACACUUGAGAAAGUUUAUCCAAGCUCGGCCAUAAAAAACCAGCGAUCUUCUUGGUUCAUGAACCCAACUCGAAACUUAUAUCCAUGGCUUGUCUUCACUGUGACCAUUAAACUAGUGUAUUCAGUUAUGGCAAGGCCGAGCAUCUUGAGUACAUGUGUUCUGGCAGAGCAAAUAAUACACUACAGGAAAAAUAAUAUGAGAACACAGCAUGUUCAAAAAACCCCCACCCUCCCGGAUAGAAAAGAGGAUUCUAGGAACAUACUGUGCGUGUUUCAAAAUGAUGUGUUAGGAUGAGAAGGAACAAGUGUGGCGUCUCGCCGAGGGCGCAGAAACCUGUAGGGUACUCGCACUUUGGGCACUGCAAAUGAAACACACUAGAUUCAGUAAGAAGAAAAAUGCAUCAACGGCGGCGGCUGCCAUCCUAGGAUCACCUGCGACCAAGGGACUUGGGUUUAUCGGGGAUGGAUGAAGAAUUCGUACCUGGUUCUCCAUGAGAAAACCCUAUGCAAUCGCCGAGAGGGGGUUUUCUCUGAACAAGCAGACGAGGGAGAAAGGGAUUCAAGCCCAGUGAAAUAUUGCCGCUUCGUUCGUCUAGCUUACUGCUAAAGCUGGAAAGGGGGGUUGUGAUUUGACGGCUCAUUGGGCAUUACUGCGACGCUAUGACCGGGGUGUGUCUACCGUGAAGUUGUGCACUCUAAUUUGUGCAUAUGGCACGUGGACCCCGUUGUCGGUUGCCCCACAUAUCAGCGAAAGGAAGUAGAAAGACAGGAGUAACUAGUUACACAUAAAUAUAUAUUUUGACAGAGAGAUACUCCCUCUGUAAAUAAAUAUACAAAUCUUUUAUAUCACAGGCUCACCUUGCCGAGAAAAAUACUCCCUCUGCAACGCACGGGCAUUAUGGGGGUUUAGCUGAGAAUAUAAUACUCGGAUGUUUUUUUUGAGGGAUAAAAGCUGCUUUAUUGAAGAUUAACAGUCAUAGGUAUACAAAUAAUUUCGGGGGUUCCUGUGAGCCAAAGAUGGCGUCCACAGGGCAAAGAAGUAGCAGCUUUUGCGAGCACAUGUGCUUCAACAUUACACUCGCGUUUUUCAUGUAUGAUCUCCAUGGUUUGGAACAUAUUCUUCUUCAUCUUGAUCUCGUCCAUAAUAACUUUGCUGGGCCCCAAGUAUGCCUCUCCGAUAUGCUUGAUUGUUGCUGAACAAUCGGUGCUAAUCUGAACUUGUUGCAGGUUUAAGUCAAGAGCCAGAGAUAGCCCCUCGCAACAUGCCAUUGCCUCUAGGAUCUCUGGAUCAGUAACACUUUCGCACACCAGUGCCGAUGCUCCAAGGAAGAAGCAUGUAUGAUCCCGGCUCACAACUGCCAGGGCUCCCCUUUCACCAUUGCGAGAUAACGCAGCAUCAACAUUCAUCUUCGCCCAACCCACAGCAGGAGGAGGACGCCACUUCUGCAUUGAGCUAGUGCUUCUCGAAACCAGGUUCUGGACUUUGGGCCGCAUGCCGACCCUGCAUGUUUGGGGGCCCAUGUGUUCUACCUCAGCGCUUUUCAUAUUGCAAGUGAUUGGUACGGCGCUGGUUUUAGAUGCUGUCGCAAGGCAAAUACACAAAAUUGAAUAAAGCACGGCAGCUGUUGGAAUGAAAUCGAACGACAGUUCCUAACCAGCAAUCAGAGUUGCAAUUCUAUCAACGAUAUACCAUGUGAUAAAUAAUACUAUCGUACUACUUAUACACACAGGACACUUGUUUCACCAUGCCAAAUUAUUACAUCAAAAUCUCUCGGAGGAUAGAUCAGUUAGGCAGUUGUGUGCUGCUACUGAAGAAUUUCAAAGUUGAUUUGGACCAUCUCUCCUUGCCGAGAAAGUUCGAUUUUGACAUCAUCCCCUACCGCAAGAUAUAAUUUAGAUUUGAACCUUGACCAUCCUUUAGCAUCAAUCAUCAUGCAACCAUCCUUUGUACUUACGAUAUAUUGAGCAGGUUCAUUCACACCAAGGCUGCGCAUGGUAAGAGAAACUUGGCCGCGGUCGCCCGGAUUGUUGAACGACUCCGUCAUUGCUCUAGGAAUUCUCUGUUUGCAAACAAGAAGACAUACCCAAACAGUUAUAUCAACACAGUGAAUCAUGUGAAACAACAUGUAAAGAAAAAAGAACGAAGCACUUGGGCGGCCAAUGCUUACCAAGAAGGUGGGCAUGUCGGUUUUUGUAAGGACUUUGGUAUAUGAAGAGCGAACUGCAGCCCAGUCUGUUGCCGAUGCAACUGCACGGGCUGAAGCAGAUGCAAGUGCAAGUGUUGGUGCAGGUGUCGAAGCCACCGCUACUGCCGGAGAUGGUGCUCCUUGUAGAGCUGGUGCCGGUGUCGGAGCAGGUGCCGGUGUCGAUGCCCGAUCCUCCGGUAGAUUAGACUAAUCCGCUGACGCGGUCGGUGCCCAAACCUCAGCUGGAUCUGACUGAGCUGCUGCCGCUGUCAGUGCUAGAGCAACUGUCGGUGCUUGAUCUGUGCGAGACAGCGGCGAUCGUGUCUCGUCUGCUAUGAUCAGCUUUCUAACUUGACUAGGAUCCGUGACCGUGAUCCAGUCUUUUUCUUCAUUUCUUUUAAACGCGAGAAGGACUAAUUGUGGCGUCUUUGUUAAACCAAACUGCAGUUCAUAUAGGGAUUCAGCUUGUACUCAUACAACAGACUGAUCCAAUUUUUUCCAGUAAUAUAAGUGAUGGACAGUGCCUUCGUUAGUGACAUGACAUAAGAAGUGAAACCUGCAAAAAUAGCCAUCGUAGAGCAAAUCAAAUGGGUUAUUCUGUGAUGAAUGUCACAUGGCAAAACCUACAUCAUAAAAUUGUAGGAAAAGAAAGAAAACAUGACAUUAAAUUAAUAAGAUUUAGACAGUAAAUCAAUAAGAUUUAAUUGAUGUGACACGAGUGAAUCCUUACCAGGAAAUCACUAUGUUGAAGUACUAAACAGAAGAUUGAUCGUUCAACUACGCGUGGCAUGCAGGGGCUCCGCCUACUCCCACAAGCAGGAUAGUCCAAAGGUCGUGACAAAUCGUAUGGACCGAACAUCCAUGGGGCUGGAAAUCCUAGUGGGUGCGAUAAACCCUGCAAUGCAUACAGAUAUUGGAGUGUAACCAUAAUUGAUAGACCGUCCUCACAAAAAAUAUGAUAUGGAUACUUCAAAAUAUACAGACUGAAUUGAGUGGACAUACAUUAACAUAGAUCGUUCUCAGGACUGACCACACACCAAAAGCGGCAGUACUAAUAAAAAAUACAGGGUUCACAAACACAAAUCAAGUACUGAACAAUAGUACUUACUACAAACAAGCAAAGUUGCACUAACUAAACUCUGCAGACUAUUUUUUGCCACCGACCUACGGGAUGAACCCCACAUAACUGACUAGGCCAUGGACUUCGUGUGAGAUGUCUACAUGUACCAUCACCAUCUUGUCAACCUUGGAGAACCUAAUAGAGUGGUCUUUCCACUCAUAAACAUGAUGAUGAAGACAGGCCGCAUCAGAUUUGUUGGGAAGCUUUACAAGAACCACACCCUUCGUAAUCGAAGGCACAACCAGGAAAUUGUUGUGGUCAAGUACAGCCUCGAGAACAUGCCUGACAACAAUGCUACAGGAAAACACUAGUUCAGGACACGUGGCGACAAGGACACAGCAGCUGGAUAGUUCAGUAGUAGAACUCAUCAUCAGGUCUUCCAGUUCACACGGCAUGACUUUGAGAACUUCAUCUCCACCGCGGACCUGGUUCUAAUUCAAACAGAAACCAUAUUUUAUUACUACCUCUGUUCAAAAAUAUAAGAUGAUUUUCGAUAUUAUACUCCAUAUAUGACUACAUAUACGCACAGAAAUGAGUGAACAAAGACACUAGAACAUGUCUUCAAAGGCAUGAGAGCAGAGGGAUUACAUGCAAUAUCCAUAACACAAGUUACCGAGGCAAAUAUACCCUCUUAAAAGGUAGCAUUGAUGUUCAUAAAGUACUAGUUGAAAGUAACCUAUAAGAAAUCAGUGUCAAUCUCUCGCAUGUUUUGGUCAAAAGAGGAAUUUAGAACCGUCAUUUGGCACACAAAAAUCACAUGCAAGAUCACCCAGAAAGUUGUACUACUAGUACUAGUAUUGUGUGUUAGAUGAAAAAACACGAUCAAGAUCGAGAAAAAGAUCGUCAAGAAGAGAUAUUACCUAGACUUGCUUAAUGAGGGAUCCCGGAGAGGGGGGCUUGGACAGGGCGAUGGCUUUGAGCUUGUCUGCGGUAGUCUCGGCGGGGUGCUUGCGCUUCUUUGUACCAUGAGCCUCGACAGUUUUGGCCGGAGCCAUAGACAUCACUUCGGCCGGUGCUCCAGCGUCCAUCAAGAAACUGUCAAAUAGAAAUAAAAGAAAAGAAACCAUAAUCACAAACCCAAAAGAAGAAAAGAGAGGGAGUUAUAGGAUCAGUCUCGGGGUUGCAAGACCGGGCCUUGGCCAGAAUCAACACCAUUGAUGCGCUCACCUUUCCUUCUUUGGGAGAGAAGAACAAUGGCAGAAGCAGGUCGGGGUUUUCUUGAAGAAAUGAGGAAAAAGAUGAGGCAGAAGCGAGGGUUGGGUAGAGAGGAAGCUGAGAGAGAAGAGUGAAAUGAUGGUUGCUUCGUCCGUCCAACUUGCUGCUGGAAAGGAGGGGUUUUUGUGAUUUGACGGCUCAUUGGGCAUUACUGCGGCGCUUCGAUCGGGGUAGUCUACUAUCACUCUACUACGGAGUCAUUUAGUGCAUGGCUGGUGGACCCUGAUGCUGGCUGUCCCACAUGUCGGCGAAAGUGAGUAAUUUAGUGCAUGGCUGGAGGAGGAUCCACACGGUAGAGCGUGUCCACUGUUUUUCAGAAGAAAAAAAUGAUUACAGCAAGCGUUUCCACUCUUACGACGGAGGAGUGCGAAACACGGCCGCCACUUGAACAUACACAGUGCUCCUACUACUAGGCAUGUGCAGUGGUUCAUACAUCAGUACUACACAAUCUUGUUGCUAGUGUAGUAAGAUAUGACGAUAACAAAUGAUGUUGUGCGCAUGUCAACUACUCCUAUAUGUAACAUAGUACCGCUUUUUCGACUGUCCAGUCGAGAAUGGAUGGUAAGAUCAAUGUUAACAGAACUAGGUCCACAGCGCACGGACAGUACGGUGCUACAGUACUCCACGAAACAUGAACCACAUGAAGCACGAAUAGUGUUAGGCAGGGUGUAUGAAGGGUGCACAGGAUGGGAGUAAAAUUUCCCUUCUCGACCCACUUUUGGGUGUUUGGCAGAGUGCAUGAAGGGUGCAUGAGUCCACACUAGUAGGUUGACAAAAAUACAUGAAGAGGAAACAACUAUAUUGAGAUGAGAAUGCAACCAAACACACCCACUAUCGGUGUACAAAAAGAGGGGUACGCUUUUUGUACCCCUAUAAUUGUGCAUGAGCAGUCUGAGCCACGGGCACCACCACACUGAGCAAGGCAAGGGAGGUGAGCCAAGGUAAGGCCGAAGCUCAGGAGAAGCAGAACGACGCCAAGACCAAGACCACAAAGAGCAAAGGAGACGAAGAGGACUCCCCCCGGCAAGAUCCUUGCCGGGAGGCGGUUUUAGCAAACCCGGCAAGACCCUUGCCGUGGCAGCUUGCCCCACACCUACGGAGUGAGUCACCCUUGAGUCCACUGCCCCCGUGGGGCAAGGAUUCGGGAGACAUCCCCGUGGUGGCAUGCGGAUCUUUGUGAAGACAUUCAAGAUCAGAUACACCCUUUAGAAGAUGAUGAUCCUUGGCGGGAUCCCAGCCAAGGAGGACCACAAGACCCCCGGCAAGAGCCUUGCCGGGGAUGAUAGCAGGCGCUACGGCAAGACCCUUGCCGGGGCCCCGGCAAGGCCCUUGCCAAGAACACCCGUAGGGCCACCAUCAGGCCCACGCCAGUCAAACCUCCACCGCCGUUCGCAUGCAGCUGCCGACCCAACUAGCUGAGCAGUCACCUGCGUGGCGGCAUGCGGAUCUUCGUGGAGACCCACCACUACGCCACCUCAGCUACCUGCCUGCCUACAUGGCACCGCAGGCGCCGCUGGCCAGGGCGCGUGUCGACACGAGAGGGAGCAGCGACGGACGAGACAGGGCUCUCCCCCGUCCCCGAUAAAGCAAGGACACCUGGGCAAGACACAUUAAACGCGCCUUGUCAUGUAAUGCGAGGGAUAACCUCGCAUCACUGUACCCUUUCCACCUCCUAUGUGCCACUGUGGCAACCCCUUUCCUAUAAAAGGAGGCCCGAGGCGACCAGGAAGGGGAUUCGGCUUUUUGGAGCUCCUCACGCCCCAUAGCUAGCUCAAGAACACAAAUAUACAAUCCACCAAAGCAGGAGUAGGGUUUUACGCAUCCUCGCAGCCCGAACCUAGAUAAACGAACCGUGUGCUAUCUUUUCGAUCUGCUCUUCUCACGACCCCGCGCCCCAUAACCGUAGUAGGGAUUUUUGUGAUCCCAUAGGUGUCGUUCCCACCGACAUCUUUGGCGCACCAGGUAGGGGGCGCAAUUGUGAGAAUCGGCUUUAGCAGUUAGUUCGACGCUUCUUCAUCGUCAUGGCGCCCAAGAAGAAGACGACGGUGGCGGUUGGCCCAUCGGAAUCCGGACACCCCGUCCCGACGCGGGCGAGCAGCGGACCGGUCGCAGAAAGGACCCGAGGCGCCGUUCGCGAACACCAACACCGUCACAACAGCUGGAGUUUGGGAGGCGGUGAUGUCCGUGCGCCUGGUAACGGGCCGCACGCGCCAAAUCCAAAGACGGAGCCAGGCCCUCCGCGGGUGGCGCGGGCCUUCCAAGAUCGCUACCACCCCGCCCGAAGGCGAUGUGAGGGCCUCCAAGACUCCCACGCCGGCGCCGCCGACGCACUCCUCUCAAGCAACGCGCGACGAACGGCGCAAUCACGCCGAAGACCCCGGGUGUCGCCGCGGGAAGAGCCCCGAGCGCCACUCCCGGGAGGUAGAAGACCUGCCCGCUCGCCGAGGCGCUGGUGAAGAUGGCAUGCGACCGCGGGGUCAUGAUAGAGCUCCUUCUGACAUGGUCAGAAGUCGAAGCGCGUCGCGAUCCAUGCAGGUUUCGCUGCCACCAACGCCAGCAGAAGCCCUGGCGCGCUCGCAGUUGCUCCUCGAUUGGAGAGCUACUAUCCGAAGCCUUGUUGCGGUGGCCAACAAAGACGAACCGAGUCCGGUGGAGCCCCUGGGUCGAUGCUUCGACGAAGUCCCACAAACCAGUGGCAGGAAAGCCGGCGGCGCCAUGACCAUGGUGCACUCGCCUCCUCCUUGCCCGGUACCGCGGACGCCAGCCCGUCGCGACAUUGCGGGCGACGAAAUCUCCAUAGCGUCAUCCGACCCGCGGACCUACUAUGACCAGCGCCAAGUCCUUCGGGAACGAGAACAUGAAGACGCUCGAACCACUAUCGAGCGCCGGCACGGAGCGCGCCACCAGUCAGAUAGGCGAGCAGGGCCUGCUGUGAACCACCCGGCACCGGAGAGCCCUGGAGGCCUACCUUACGAGGUAGGCUGUCCGGCUUUUACCCGUGAGCUGCGGCAGUUCCAGAGGCCCACUCACCGCACCUUCAAACCUGACGUGGGCGAAAAGUACAGCGGCAAGACCCACCCGUCCGAGUUCCUCAGCAUCUACACCAUUGCGAUGCAAGCUGCCAGAGCCCGCAACGAUAAGGUGCUUGCGAAUUACUUUCCGUUGGCUCUUAAACCCAACGCCAUGUCAUGGUUGAUGCACUUGCCGGUAGACUCUAUUUCCUCCUGGUCGGAUUUGUGCCAUGAGUUUGUGGGCGCCUUUACUGGAGGCCACCAAGCCCAUGGCCAAGCGAGCGACCUGCACGUCAUUCCCGAGAAGGGAGGCGAGAGUCUCCGCAAGUAUAUACAGAGGUUCAGCCGGAUACAGUACAAUAUCCUUGAUGUUCACCCUGCCGCCAUCAUCAGUGCAUUCCAUCAGAACGUGCGUAACCGCAAGAUGCGCGAAGAGCUGGCAAUGAACAAGGUGAAAUAUGUAGUAGAACUCUAUGUUCUUGCUGACAGAUGUGCCCGGGCUGAAGAGGGAAGGAAGUACCCCGGCAUGGAAACCGACUCCUCAGAUGAAGAUACUGCCGCCCCAGCGAAGAAGGGCCGGCGCCGCAACAGGAAGCGCAAAGGUAAAGCCGUGCUUGCCGUCGAGGGAUCUGAUGACACCGGCUCCAACAAGAAAACCAAGGCAGAUGACCCCGGCAAGGAAAUUGCCGGAUGUGUCACCUGUUGGGCCUUGGCGGUUGUCGAGAAGCCAGGAAACUCCGACAAGCGAUACUGCAAGAUCCAUCACACUAAAGGCCAUGCUCUCCAAGACUGCCGACAGGUUGAGCUCCUCGCUGAGAAGCAGAGGGCUGAAUAUGAGAGGCGGGACAAGGAGAAGGGCCAAUAGGGUGCUAAGGGGUCCGGCAAGAAGCGUGACGACCAGGCGGGCUGUCGCGGCAAGGAUAAACAACAGGAGAGGCCCGCCCGGGGCCGUGACAAAAAGCCAGAAGACAACGAUCACGAAGUGGACGACGAAUCUGGCGACCAAGAUUUUUAGAAAGCUACAGAGGCCAUGUGCGUCGACGACGGCGCCUCGCUGCAUACUUCUCACCGCCAGCUUAAGCAGUGGGCGCGAGAGAUUACAGCGGCAGAGCCGUCGUUUGAUGCCCAAAGGCCACUGAAGUGGUCCAGCACACCUAUCAUUUUUGACACUGAGGAUCACCCUGAUCGCACUACUGCGGUCGGGUGCUUGCCAUUGUUGGUUUCACCAACGAUACGCAACCUCAAGGUGACAAAGAUGCUAGUCGAUGGCGGGGCCAGUCUGAACUUGAUCUCGCCUGCCGUGAUCGAGAAACUGCAGAUUCCUGAUGGAGACCUCGAAGAGACGGGCACAUUUCAGGGGGUCAACCCGGGAAGAAGCCAACCUAAGGGAAAGGUCACGCUACCCGUGACUUUUGGAAGCGAUCUGAACUACAGGACGGAGAGGAUCGUGUUUGAUGUUGCCAAGAUCCCCUUGCCCUACAACGGGAUCCUUGGCCGCCCAGCGCUGGCCAAGUUCAUGGCGGCGUCACACUACGCCUACAACACCCUGAAGAUGCCAGGACCCGUGACGAUCAUCACCAUCCCCUCUGAUAAGAAAGAUGCACUGAUUUGCGCUGACCAACUAUACCAGCAAGCAGUUGCAGCAGCUGCCGCCACUAGGGCACUCGCUCCUGCCGCUGGGACCCCGGGGGGGGGGAGAAGAAGAAGACCGGUGAGACCUCGGACACCCACUCCGGCAAGCGCACCUCUCCGGAGUGUAGCGCUCCCAUCGAGGACGUGCCAGAGAGCUCCACCGACGGAAACAAGAAGCCCAGGGCCAUACCGCCAGGAACCAAGAAGGUUUCUGUCAAUGAGGACGACACGGGAGGGGCUUUCACCAUAAGCUCCACCCUUGACGACAAAUAGUAAGACGCGCUCGUCACCUUCCUGCGGGUGAAUGUCGAUGUGUUUGCAUGGCAAGCUUCUGAGAUCCCCGGCGUUCCAGGGAGGUGAUUGAGCACCACCUUGCUGUCUGUCCUCAUGCACGGCCCGUCAAGCAGAAGGUCAGAAAGCAAGCUUUGGAACGACAAGAGUUCAUCACAGAGGAGAUCCGAAAACUGGAAGCAGCGGGUUUGGUAAGAGGAGUGCUCCAUCCAACGUGGUUGGCCAAUCCGGUCAUAGUGCGCAAGGCUAAUGGGAAGUGGAGGCUGUGUAUUGACUACACAGAUAUCAAUAAGGCUUGUCCUAAGGACCCCUUCCCGUUGCCGCUCAUCGACCAGAUUGUUGACUCCACAGCUGGGUGUGAUCUGUUGUCAUUCCUUGAUGCCUACUCCAGCUACCACCAGAUCUUCAUGACAAGAGAAGACGAAGAGAAAACAACAUUCAUCACCCCAUGUGGUACGUAUUGUUUCAUACGGAUGCCUUUUGGGCUGAAGAGUGCUGGUUCGACGUUUGCAAGGGUGGUCCAGAUUGGUUUUGAACCCCAGCUCCAUAGAAAUAUGGAAGCUUAUAUGGAUGACAUAGUGGUCAAAACCAAGGACACGGCAACCCUCAUACCGGAUUUGCAAGAAACAUUUGCAAACCUGCGCAAGAUCAAUCUCAAGCUGAACCCUGAGAAGUGCGUCUUUGGCGUCCCGUCCGGCAAGCUUCUCAGGUUCUAUUGCCUAUGUCAACAACAUGGAGGAGAGUGAAUUUUAUGAAUUAUUCCACUUGCAUAUGUCUUCUAUUGCAGUACAACAGAGUAUCAAUCUUAGAGAGUUGAUCCACAACAGAGAGAACCGGCAGCAAUCAGAUUCUUGGAAAUUCUAUUGGGGUGACACAAAGUACUCUAAUAAGAGAAUAUACCUUGAACUAAUGGGAAAUCCUGUUGAUGCUCCUAAACCCUAUCAAUGGACAUGGAAAUCAUGCUCACUGCCCAAGCAUAAAUUCUUCUUCUGGCUAUUGUUACAAGACAGAUUAAACACUAGAGACCUACUCAACAGGAAGAAUUUCUACUUUGAGACUAGUAAGUGUGAAUUAUGUGAUGAUGAACCUAAUGAACACCUAAUGCAUCUCUUCUUUAGCUGUGAUUUCAGCCAAAUCUUCUGGAUGAACAUUGGUUACCAAUGGAACACUGAUCACAACCUUAUAGAAAUGCUCUUGGAAGGAAGGAAGCAAGAUACCCAGGGCUACUUUAAAGAAUGUUUGAUUGCUGGAUGCUGGAGUCUCUGGAAACACAGAAAUAGCAUUAUUUUUGAUCACAAGGUCAAGAAUAUGACAUAUUGCAUUUCCACUUUCAAGGAGCACUUCAACAUGAUUAUAAAGAAGACCAAACCUGGAUUGAAGGAGGGCAUGCAAAGUUGGCUAGAUCAUUUGUAGACAUUUUAUUACCCUGUACUACAUCCGUCAUGUAAAUCCAUAUGUAUAUGUUUCCCUCUUAUAAAUGAAAAUGAGAAUCACAGUGGGGGUCUUCCCCACUGUUUUUAUCAAAAAAAAGUUUCUCGGGUUCUUUGUGUCACAGCAUGGGAUAGAGGCCAAUCCGGACAAGAUCAAAGCUAUAGAGCAGAUUGAAGCACCCAAGCGAAUCAAGGAUGUGCAUCGGCUUGCUGGUUGCGUCGCCGCCAUGGGCAGAUUCAUUUCCAAGUCUGCCGAGUGCACCCUUCCCUUUUUCAAGAUCCUGAAAAAGGCGGGCCUGAUGGAGUGGACGCCAGAAGCCGAAGCAGCAUUGCAAGAUUUGAAGAAGUACCUCUCCUCCGCGCCAAUACUAGUUGCCCUAGGCCACAGGAGCCGUUGCUGCUAUACCUGGCGUCGACGAACCAGGUGGUCAGCGCCGCACUAGUGGCGCAGAGAGAGGAUGACGACGAGGUAAUGGCAGCAACAGAGCCCGACACCACCAAUGCAGAGACGACACAGCCAGUUGAAGUGUCGUCGAAGAAGAAAAUGAUGCAGCACCCGGUCUACUUUGUUAGUUCCCUCCUGCAGGGAGCUAGAUCAAGGUACUCUGGCGUGCAGAAACUGCUCUUCGGCCUUCUUAUGGCCUCGAGGAAGCUGCAUCACUACUUCCAGGCACACGAGAUCACUGUCGUCACUCGCCUCCCUCUGCAAUGGAUAUUGCACAAUCCAGAUGCAACGGGGAGAAUUGUGGAAUGGGCACUGGAGCUGUCCAGCUUUGGCCUCAAGUUUGAAAGUACUUCGACGAUUCAGAGCCGAGUCCUGGCGGAGUUCAUUGCAGAAUGGACCGCAACGCCUGACAAAGAAGCCCAAGAGACUGCUCUCCCCGGCAAGGAGGCAAGUUGCAGUUGGAUCAUGUACUUUGAUGGAGCUUUCUCCUUACACGGCGCCGGGGCUGGCGUACUGCUUGUCGCGCCCACCGGAGAGCACCUCAAGUACGUGAUCCAGAUGCACUUCCCCAGGGAGGUGUCAACAAACAAUACGACAAAGUACGAAGGGCUGCUUGCCGGUCUUAGGAUCGCGGCAGACCUCGAAAUCAAGAAGCUCAUCGUCAGGGGCGACUCGCAGCUCGUCGUCAAGCAAGUCAACAAGGACUACCAGAGCUCGUUGAUGAAGUCCUACAUCGAUGAAGUGAGAAAGCUGGAAGAGCGUUUCGACGGUAUACAGGCUGAAUAAGUUCCCCGAGCGGAGAGCGAUAUCGCUGAUUACCUGUCAAAACGCGCUGCCCUCAAGCUACCUGUGGAACCAGGUACCUUUGUGCUCCAGCUAACUCAGCCAUCCAUUGAUCCAUCAACAGAGCAAAACAAGAGGAGGAAAUCAGGACCCGAUAAGUACUUUACCGCCGAGCUCCCCGGAGCCGCCGACAAGGAUGUUGCUAGGGACACUGAGCCCGCCACGGGACGGCUAGCUCCGACGGAGCGUCAAGCUCUUGCCGUCGAGACAGCCGCUCCUAUAGCAGAGGAAAUGCCUUUAGUCCUCGCCGUCGAGCCCCAGGCUCCAGCGUGGGCACAACAUACCGUCCAAUUCCUCCAAACAGGGAACUUCCUGAAGAGCAGGAAGAAGCGGAAAAAGUAGCCCGUCGCUCUACCAUGUACCAGUUCGUCGAUGACGUCCUGUACAGAAAGAGGCCGAACGGUGUGAAAUUGAAGUGUAUCCCUCGGGAGGAAGGACUGGAGCUGUUGGCGGAGAUACAUGGAGGCAUAUGUGGAUCCCACAUCGGGUCAAGGGCCCUUGCUGACAAGGCAUUUCGGCAAGGUUUCUUCUGGCCCACCGCCCUCCAGGAUGCGACGACACUAGUCACCAGGUGUGAAGCGUGUCAGUUCCAUUCAAAGAAGCUUCAUCAGCCAGCUCAAGCCCUUCAAACCAUUCCUCUCUCCUGGCCCUUCUCGGUCUAGGGGCUCGACAUACUGGGCCCUUUCCCCCGCGCUGUCGGGGGCUUUGAGUACUUGUAUGUUGCAAUCGACAAGUUCACAAAGUGGCCGGAGGUGGAGGCAGUGAGGAAGGACACAACUCAGUCAGCCGUCAAGUUCUUCAAGGGACUAGUGUGCCAUUUUGGUGUACCCAACAGGGUCAUCACCGACAAUGGCACAUAGUUCACAAGCCGCACCUUCAUGCAAUAUAUCCAAGACCUCGGCAGCAAAGUUUGUUUCGCUUCCGUUGCUCACCCACGAAGUAAUGGUCAAGCUGAGAGGGCAAACGCUGAAGUACUGCGAGGCUUAAGGACCAAGGCCUUUGACAGGCUGCACAAGAGUGGAAGGCACUGGAUUGAUGAGUUGCCGACGGUUCUUUGGUCGAUCAGGACGACGCCAAAUCGAGCCACCGGCCAGACACCCUUUGCCCUAGUAUACGGGGCAGAAGCAGUUCUCCCCACUGAACUCAUAUACGGGUCACCUCGAGUGCUCGCUUAUGAUGAGCUUGAGCAAGAGCAACUGCGGCAAGAUGACGCAAUGCUCCUUGAGGAAGAUCAUCUUCAGACGGCUGUGAGAGCAGCACGCUACCAGCAAGCCUUGCGCCGCUACCAUAGCCGCAAGGUUCAUGCCUGAAGCCUUGAGGAAGGCGACCUUGUCCUUCGGCGCGUUCAAUCGGCCAAGAAUUCCAACAAGUUGACGCCAAAGUGGGAAGGCCCUUAUCGAGUAAUACGAGUCACCAGGCCCGGCGCAGUCCGCCUGGAGACCGAAGAUGCCGUUCUGGUGAGUAACUCCUGGAACAUUGAGCAUCUUCGCAAGUUUUACUCGUGAGGCGCGGCUUGCCGGGCCCCCUGGCAAGCCACCUUUUGUACAAGCAUUGCCGAUGAUUCAUGUAACCCUUUGUACAAAGCCAGGCGCAUACCCUGAGCAUAAAUAAGUGAAGCGCUGGCGCCCUAAGUUAUAGCAUGCAUGCUAGGUCGAGUCUCGUCCUUGGUUAGGGUUGAUAGUGCUUAGCGGCGACUAAACCCUAGCUUAGAGGUCGAGUGUGCGUCUCUUUGUCUUUCUUUUGUCUUCUUUGGUUCACAGGACACACGACAUCCGUGCCGAACCACUUGGGGAGGAAAAGAAGAUGAACAGACCAGCAUCUAGCCCCCGGCAAGCCAGCAUUGCCGGGGGCUGCAAGAGCAAAGAUUCACCCACGGCGAACCAGGGUUGCCGGGGGCUGCAUCUUCAGAUAAGUUCUUCAUCCCUUACCAUGCAUUCCAUUAUGGACUGAGGUAUGUGAAACCUCGUUUUCCCCUAAGCUACCGAGCUCCCAUAACUCUAGGCCCUAGGGCUCGUUCCUGGGGCCAAGUUUGGUCAUAGUCGCGGCAGCGAAAGGAUGAAACAAGGAGCCAGAACCCGCCUCAUCCCUGCCUCCGCCAAAGGCGUGAGGAAGGUCGAGCAAAGUGGGGAGAUGGCAAGGCCUGUUGCCGGGCAAGGAAAUGUUUAUCUUGAAGAUAUCAAGGAUUUACUCCUUGUCGUGGGUUCCACCUACAAACAAAUGACCCGGCAAGCAUCCCUUUUUCAUUAAAAACAUUCCACUCAGGUAUAGUCCAUAGGGAAUGAAAAACAUGAAUGAUGGGAUUACAAGUUUUAAAUUCAGCUAAGGCCCGAAGGCUUACAAACUGAAAAGAGAUAAGGUGCCCGUAAUCCCUUUCUUGACCCUGUCCUCAGGAGGCAGGUCAAGGAGGUGAAAAGGGCAAAAGGGGCGCCUAGGCGAGCUACGGGUGGCAGAAGACACCAAUAGAACAUCUCGGUGGCCGUCCGAAGGCUGGAUGGUGAUGGCAGCGCCGGAAGCAGAGCUCGAAGACGAGGCGGCAGGACGUCAGCACGCAUCGGAGGCGUCGGUGCCCGCGUACUCCGAUUUGACAGCCUUGCCGCCCGCCCUCUUCCUCUUCCGCAGCCUCCCAAUGCAAGCCGCCCAAGGAGACGACCCCGAGAAGUUCAGGGAGCCGGCGACACGGAUGAUGGGGUCGCCGGUGCCGCACGGAGCGGCGCCCGACACCUAAUCGGACCCGUCAUCCUACCGCCUACUACCCUCAUCGUCGCUGCCGCUGUCCUCCUCGUCACUCUCGCCCGAGGAGGAGUCUUCGCUAUCAGAAGAGCUCUCCACGCAACACCUUGCAUGGGUCCCGAAGCACCCGAAGACCUUGACGGAGAGAAGGCCACCCUCCAUCAGCUUAAAAAGGAGAGUGAGCCCCUCCGUCAAGCGGUGGAUAUGGGCAAACGUCUUCCAUCCCCGACGGAGAUACAUCACAUGAGGGGCUGGGAAGUCGACGCGAACCCAUGUGCCGCUGAUCCCACAACCCCUCAUGUGCAGCCGCAGCGACUCUGACGGAUCCAGCUCCAUCUCCCGCGCGAAUGGAGUCGGGAGACGAAGGCGAUGGCGAGGCGGCCGAUGCAGCCUGACAAAGAACUCGCAAGGGUCAUCCCCAACGUGGCCCUCCAUGGGGGAGGAACUACUGGCGGAGGAGAGGCCAACGCGCCGCCCCGUCCUCCUCUUCCCCGAGCGCCUCGGCCUCGCCCACGGCCUCGCCCCCUCCCCCUUCCCCUCGCGGCUGGCUCUGCCACCGCGAGUGCAGGGGAAGGAGGGACGCGUUGUCGAGCGGCGACCCUUGCCGCCACCGUUGAAGGACCAGGAUUCCCUCUCUCCAUGGCGGAUGGAAGGGGGGAGCAGAAGUUGAAGGAAGGAGGAGAUGAAAGAAUGCAGGACGCCAUCCCCCUCCCACUCUUUAUAAAGGAACGGGGUGGGGGCUCGGCCGCCCCGCUCAGCCAAUCAAGACGCGGAAGGCGCAGGGAACUGGGACCGACCCGCCGCCCCAGUCCGCGGCGGCCCGGUUUCGCGCCUCCGCCGUUCGCCACCCCAAGCGCAUGAGAGCCACGUGGCAGGCGUGCAGGGCCGAGGCGACAGGUGAGGUGACCUCUCCCCACUCCGUGAUCGUGGGGAGUGGACGCCUUGAAGACCACACCUCGGCCCCGUUCAGUAAAUGGGCCGCGCCUCCACGCCUCCCUCCGUUUAUGGGGAAGGCGCGAACCGCCCCCUUUACUACGACGUGACGCAUGCAUGCAGAGCUCAGCCCCACGCAUGCCGCCCAUGUCACACACGCCUCCCCACGCCGCGCCACACGCGGGAAGCUUGGGAAGCGCAGCGCACGAAGAGACUUACCGCGGUAAAAACCGCCCCACCUGCCCGCGCACCGUUUUUGGGCCUAGCCCAACGACGCGAUUGUGCUUACGUGUGGCCCAGGCCCGGGGGCUCCUGUCGGUGUACAAAAAGAGGGGUACGCUUUUUGUACCCCUAUAACUAUGCACAGGCAGUCUGAGCCACAGGCACCACCACACUGAGCAAGGCAAGGGAGGUGAGCCAAGGUAAGGCCGAAGCUCAGGAGAAGCAGAAUGACGCCAAGACCAAGACCACAAAGAGAAAAGGAGACGAAGAGGACUCCCCCCGGCAAGAUCCUUGCCGGGAGGCGGUUUUAGCAAACCCGGCAAGACCCUUGCCGUGGCAGCUCGCCCCACACCUAUGGAGUGAGUCACCCUUGAGUCCACUGCCCCCGUGGGACAAGGAUUCAGGAGACAUCCCCGUGGUGGCAUGCGGAUCUUUGUGAAGACAUUCAAGAUCAGAUACACCCUUUAGAAGAUGAUGAUCCUUGGCGGGAUCCCAUCCAAGGAGGACCACAAAGCCCCCGGCAAGAGCCUUGCCGGGGAUGACAGCAGGCGCCACGGCAAGACCCUUGCCGGGGCCCCGGCAAGGCCCUUGCCAAGAACACUCGUAGGGACACCAUCAGGCCCACGCCAGUCAAACCUCCACCGCUGUUCGCAUGCAGCUGCCGACCCAACUAGCUGAGAAAGCACCUGCGUGGCGGCAUGCGGAUCUUCGUGGAGACCCACCACUGCGCCACCUCAGCUACCUGCCUGCCUACAUGGCACCGCAGGCGUUGCUGGCCAGGGCGCAUGUCGACACGAGAGGGAGCGGCGACGGACGAGACAUGGCUCUCCCCCGUCCCCGAUAAAGCAAGGACACCUGGGCAAGACGCAUUAAAUGCGCCUUGUCAUGUAAUGCGAGGGAUAACCUCGCAUCACUGUCCCCUUUCCACCUCCUGUGUGCCACUGUGGCAACCCCUUUCCUAUAAAAGGAGGCCCGAGGCGACCAGGAAGGGGAUUCGGCUUUUUGGAGCUCCUCACGCCCCAUAGCUAGCUCAAGAACACAUAUAUACAAUCCACCAAAGCAGGAGUAGGGUUUUACGCAUACUCGCGGCCCGAACCUGGAUAAACGAACCGUGUGCUAUCUGUUCGAUCUGCUCUUCUCACGACCCCGCGCCCCGCAACCGUAGUAGGGAUUCUUCUGAUCCCAUAGGUGUCGUUCCCACCGACACCCACACGCUUUGUGCUACAGUGACUGGUCUGCACCGUCUGAGUUUGAUCCAAUGGUCAUGUUGCGCCGAGACAUGGACAUGCCCAUGCAGAGGGUUUAGCCUGACGGCCGGCAUCGUCGCGCUGGCAUGACGGUAGGCAUCGUGCAGCCGCAACACGUGCGUGGCAACUUGGUUCACCAAGUGGCUAAGGCGAUCCUGGACCUCAUCACGAUCGGCCCGCUCGCGCUCCAGCCGGCUCCCCUGACGACCUAUCUAUCUCCCGCUUUCUGCAGCAACGCCGCCGACGCCUCGAGCAUCUUUGUGGUGGACGCCUGCCGCUUUUGAAGCUCCGUGAACUCCCGCACAUAACGAAGGAGCAUGGCACUCCUCUCCUCCUUGAGCUCAUGGAGCUCCACGUCCUUGGCCCUGAGCUCCGCAUCCUUGGCAUGGAGCUCCUGUGUCAGGAGCCUCACCUCGGACUCCGUGAUCUGCUGCACCGCCAUGGCACCAGGUAGAAGCAAUGGGGAGAGGAAGUAAAGGGGGCGAAACGGCUGAAAGGCAAUGCAAUCUACGGGAAGGCGAAGGGCGCGGGGAAUCUUUUGGUUUUCACCACGGUAAAACACCAGUAGAUGACUUCUCACAUCAGGGAGCAGUGGGUACAGGCGGAGUCAUCGUGACUAAUUGCUUCCGCGCCUGCUCCCGUCAAUCAAAAAAUUAAAAAUCCCGCCGCGCCUGCUCCCAUCAAUUAAAAAAUUAAAAAUCCUGUCGCACCCAAACACCAGAGCAACGCCGCGGUGGAUAUUUAAAUUUACCUGCCGGCAAGUAGAUAAAAAAAGGGGUGAAAAAACAAAUGUGGCGGCGGCCUAGCUAAUCGGUCGAACUAGCCCAACUAGCUAGCCACCGUGCUUCACUGAUGUACUCGGCGGGAAAGGUGGUCUUUCGUGAUUUGACGACUCAUUUACUUGCUUUGGCGCUACGACCGAGGAGGACCCAGAAAACACGCGGUAGGGCGUCCCACGUCAGGAAGAAUAUAUGCGUGCACCACCCGGGAGGACACCGAAACCGCGCGGUAGGGUGUGCCACGUCUCGGCACGGAGGGAAAAUGUGUGUGUAAAAAUAUACUGUAUCAGACGUAGUAGAGUACCUAUGGUUCGACCUCGGAACCCAGCCAGUCAGUUGAAAACACCCCACUAGCCACACAGCUUCAUCAUGCAAACGCGUCACGGAGGAUAGAUGUGGUUAGCUCCGUCUCGACUAGCCACAACGUCUCUUGUUCUAGGUGAUUCUUCUAUUUUCCAAGUUUUUUUAGUUGUAAUAACACCAUGGCAAGCUAGCGCCGCUCUUUGUGUGUGCCCGUGCAAAGGUUAGACGAUGGAGAGAAGAGAGAUUGAGAUCGCAGACCUGGGACCCACUAGUAAGUGAGAUAACGGUCAUGCACGUGUUGACGAGGCACUCCCUCUACUCUACUCAACGCAAGUACUGUAUAAAAUCAAGUUAUGGGACAAAGCCAACAACCAUUCGUUUUUUCAGGCUAUCGACUUACACUUUGUAGUCUAGGUUGCUAGUUCGAACCUCGUCUUUCAGAUUUGUUAGUUUUAGGUCCAAAUUUGAUUAAUGACAAGUGGGACCCCCAUGUGUUGUUCCGAUAUUUCAGUGUAGGAUGGUUUUUUUGAACAAACACUUUGCACGGUUAGACAAGUAACGGCAUGAGUUACAUGUUUUUUACAAGUUUACGAACAAAAAUGACAGCGGCAUAGAAUAUCACAUCCACCCCGCAGCUUAGAUACUAUGGUGAUAUGAGUUUUUACACCGUUGGAAGUGAGAUCCAAUGGCUUGGGAGUAGUCUUUGUAGCGCAAUUUCCUAACUCUCCAAAGUUUUUUUUUGCAAAUAAAACAUUCAGGCCUCGUGUGUGCCACUGCAUCUUCGAUCCAACGGCUCCCCGGUGCUCAUAUUAGGUGCUCCCCGUAGCUUAAUUACCCGCUACGGUGAUUGGAGUAGUUGUGGGCCGCUAUGAAAAUAUAAUCUAAACCGACCAGAAUAAAUGCCUACACAAAUUAAUCCAAGGUUGGAGUGCCCCUCGCAAUGUAAAUAGCUCCGGCUUUGCGAGGGAUGGAGAGGUAGUAGCUUCAACGCGUGGAAGAUACGGUGUGAGAAAGCGAGGUCGAUCGAGAGACAUAUAGAUAGAGAGACAAAGUGAGUGUGGUCCGACAUUCAUUGAACAAAUAUAUAUGCUCUGGAGAGAUAUUGUCCGAUUGAGCUUUUUGGCAAGGGUGAGAGCUGUAAGAUAGAGCUUGAGAGAUGAUCCAGUCACAGACGUGUAGAUAUAUUUUGUGCGUGAGAGGAAGCAAGGUCAACCGAUCACAUAGGGUCACCGUGCGAUCGAAAGAGUGAGACGGGUUGGAGAGAGUGACCUAGAUAGACGAUGUGCGUGAGAGAGUAUACAAUGUGAAUAGGUCGAGUUGGGCUCAACAUGGUGAUAUAUCGUUUUUGUCCGAGAAAGAGCGAGGUCAAUAGAGACAUACGGAGAGAGAGAGAGAGAGAGAGAGAGAGAGAGAGAGAGAGAGAGAGAGAGAGAGAUUGAGUGAGCGUGGCCCACCAUGAGGUCGAAAGAGUGGUGGCGGCUUGGAUGGACUGACCUAGAUAGACAAUCUGUGUGAGAGAGUAUAGAGUGUGUCGAUCGAGGCCCGAACAGGGAGAUAUAUCAUUUGUGUGUGAAAGAAAACGAGGUUAAACGAGACUCAGAUAAAUAGAGCGAGAUUGAGCUAGUGUGGCCCGCCGUGUGGAAGAAAGAGUGAGACAGUCUCGAGGGAGUGACCUAGAUAUACAACGUGCGUGCGUGCGCAUGCACGAGAGGUUGGGGGGCUAGAUAGGCAAUGCAUGUAUUUAACGCGAGAGGGUGAGAGGGAGAGGGGGAGAGAGAGAGAGCUCGACAUGGGGUGCAAUGGCGGGUGUGUGAGGUAAAUACAUUUGGUAACAGAGUGGAAAAAGGGCUUGUGUAGUUGAGAGACUAAGAUAUCGAAACAUGGAGAGAAAGAAUGAACGUGUGUUGGAAACCGAUAGCUUCCUAAGGUGGUUAGGAGAGGAAGAUUGACCGAUACAGGAAGUAUGUANNNNNNNNNNNNNNNNNNNNNNNNNNNNNNNNNNNNNNNNNNNNNNNNNNNNNNNNNNNNNNNNNNNNNNNNNNNNNNNNNNNNNNNNNNNNNNNNNNNNNNNNNNNNNNNNNNNNNNNNNAUAGUACGAGACUUAAUAUCGACGUUUCAAUUCGGUGUACAUUGUAAGAUUUGAACCGAGGACCAGGCAUACAGGUAAUUAUUUCAAAUUUGUGCCAUACUAAGUUUUGAAAAGUUGACAUUGACUCAGUUUGUUGUGCUAUUUUGUAGGUCAUAUGUUUGAAUCCAUCCAAAAGUUUUCUCACUACCAUGGUGUUCAUCAUAUACAUAUGAAUUUGUAUUAAAAAGUAGCAUGGAUACAGUGAAAUGCGAAAUCCACGUUAGAAUUGGAGAUCGCUAUGUGACACACACUCUAAUUCAAAUAACUAACUACGUGACACACACUCUAAUUCAAAUAACUAAUUAUGUGACACACACUCUAAUCCACGUUAGCGUGGAUACCGUUUUGAUUUUUUUUAAAUAACUCCUCGUUAAUUAAUUUAUAGUACUCCCUCUGUUCACUUUUAUAAGACCUUGAAGACAUUUCAGACAAUGUGCAAAACAGUUCAUUUUAAGUUGUCUGAAACGACUUACAAAAGUGAACGGAUGGAGUAUCUCGUUUCGAAUGACUAAUUAUUGCAAGGAAAACAUGGGCAUGGUAAUACAUACAGAUUCGUUUGCAAAUGAAAGAAGAUUUGUUUGCAUUCUCAAAUGUAGGCGCACCAGGCAAACCAGGGUCGUGUCGGGGUGGAUGCUGCUUCGGUGCCUUAAAGGCAACUGCCUUUGGGUCACUGACAUGUGGGCCAGCCACCUGUUGGGCCCAUAUGNNNNNNNNNNNNNNNNNNNNNNNNNNNNNNNNNNNNNNNNNNNNNNNNNNNNNNNNNNNNNNNNNNNNNNNNNNNNNNNNNNNNNNNNNNNNNNNNNNNNNNNNNNNNNNNNNNNNNNNNNNNNNNNNNNNNNNNNNNNNNNNNNNNNNNNNNNNNNNNNNNNNNNNNNNNNNNNNNNNNNNNNNNNNNNNNNNNNNNNNNNNNNNNNNNNNNNNNNNNNNNNNNNNNNNNNNNNNNNNNNNNNNNNNNNNNNNNNNNNNNNNNNNNNNNNNNNNNNNNNNNNNNNNNNNNNNNNNNNNNNNNNNNNNNNNNNNNNNNNNNNNNNNNNNNNNNNNNNNNNNNNNNNNNNNNNNNNNNNNNNNNNNNNNNNNNNNNNNNNNNNNNNNNNNNNNNNNNNNNNNNNNNNNNNNNNNNNNNNNNNNNNNNNNNNNNNNNNNNNCAGAUUGCUCAAAUCCCUAAUUCGCCACCAACCCUCGAAUCGCCCCUCGUCUCGUCUCUUUCCCCACUGUUCCCCACCUUUGUGCCGGACGACGAAGACGAAGACGACGGUCGCGCUUCACCACUGCACCGGAGCUACCUCGUCUACGCCCUCGUCCACCGCACCGAGUGGUCCAUCGACAACGUCGGCUGCUGCAACCGACGUGCCUCACAGACACUGAGUUCCACCGCAUCAGGUGCGCUUCACCAACGCCGUCUCCCAGCUCACCGGGGCUACUUCACCGAGCACAUCGUCGCACCUCCGCCCCCAAGGCCGUUGGGGCUUCACCAACGGUCUCGUCCACCGCAUCGUAGCGCUCCGCUGCCACUCAAGAUCUGCAUCCGUGCGCGGCCAGCCAACGCCAGCGCAUCACCCUCAACGGCUCUGAAGUGACCCACACUCUAGCUAGGCGAGCAUGCCCAAACGCCGGCCCAAACUAGGUAUCCACACAUAACUCCCUUGUGCAUUGUUCCGACGAUGUUUGGAUAUCCUUUCACUGCUCUCUUAGCUUACACGCCUAUGCAACUCUGACCUUAACUCUUAUUUCUUCUGGAGAUAUCAUCUGAAACAAAGCAAAUCCAUAUUUAAGCGAAGCAUGAUGGCGCUAUGGGAUCUGGUACACAUCCUGCACACCCGUAUAACCUUGUAAGUAUCUGUCCUCCGGUACAACAUCAAGGUCGAUUCCUCUUAUUUGAUCAACCAUUCUCCGUGUCAAAAAUGCAGAGGGGGAUGCAAGGAGCACAAGGCCUGCACAUCCAAGCAAGUGGUAACAUGGACUUGUACAUGGAACAUCCCAUGCGCAAGCAGAGCUGCAGUGAGCCUGUACAACGAGCUAGCGUAAGUCCCUGCAUUUCAUUUAAUUCAUACUGGCAUUCGUGUAUGAUUUGUGUGCAGUGGCCCAUCCACGAAUUCAAGUUACCAGGGGCGAACAUUUAACUUAAAAAAUAUGAAGGCACUUGCACUCCGGAAAUCAACAUAACUUGAGAAAUGUGAAGCUACAUGCACUUUGAAAACCAGCUAAUGAUCCAAAGUAGUUCAGAUUAUAAACACUAAAUGAUGCAAGCACCAAAAAACACAAAAUGCAACAUGGUGUACAAGGACUACAAACAUGGUCUGUACCUACUUGAAUUAUUCGUUCUCUGGCUGAAAAUAUCAAAGUGUAAUUGCACGUAUAACCAGUGCGCAAACUGCAUAUCAAUAUAUCUAUCCUGCACAAGUAUGUCAAUAGUUUCAAACAUCAGAUUAGAAAAGUAUUUAUGCUAUGUUGUCAUGAUACGGGGACUUUCUGGUAGAUGGUCUCAACGUUUCCUCAAGCUAUGAAAAUGCACUAUAAUUUGCUUGUCAUCAAUGCCUACAAAUCUCUGUCUCUCUCAACAUAGUAGAUCAUCAUUAGACACUAAAUCCUUUAAUGAGCUUGCAAAAUGCUUGCAUUAGAUCCCUCAUUAGACACUAUAUGUUCAUCACCAAGAGCAUGUAAAAUGUUUGCAUCAAAUCCUUCAUUAGCAGUCUGUUCAUUAGACACUUCAGACUCAAGAACAACAUGAGCUUGUAUGUUUGCACCGGAAACUUGAUUAUUUACAUCAGAUUCAGUCAGUUCAGUAUUGAUUGGGGGAGUUAUAAAAUAAGUAGAAAUUGGUUUCAUUUUCUCAUAGAUUCCCUACAUACAAGCAGUUUUACAACACCGUCAGGUUUAACUAUUGGCCGGAAAUUGAAGAGUUGAAUUAGAUAUAAUCAGGGAUGUGAUGUACCUACUUGUUGCGCAUGCUACUCUUGCAAGCUGCGACUGUCCGUUUGCGCAAACUCGAUGCCAUGCCCGUGCUGCUGCCGCUGCCUCCCACGUAGGCUACAUCCAGGGUUGGAUCUUCAUCUUCUUGUCCUUCCGUUCGCUUGAAGCCCGGCGACCGCCCUCCAACGAGGGUGCGAGGAAGUGCUGUGUCGGUCUUUCCAGCGGCGGCUAGGUUAGGAGCGAACCAGACUAGAGGCUGGAGCGAAUGAAUUGGGAUUUUUCCUGCUGUCAAUCGAUAUGGGAGGCGCUCGUUUGGGCCGCGAGCCUGCUAUAGGGCCUGCCUUGCACUUAUGUUAUUGGCCCAUCCAAAUUGAAACAUUUUUCUUCAUUUUUUACAUUGCCUGCUCAUGCGUUGGGACGAACAAAACUAGCGUGGGCCAAUUUGGACGACUCAAACUAGGUGCACACUUUCCAGCCACCUGAGGCGGCCGCCCAUACCAGCCCCUAUGGUGGCGUCACCCCUUUUUGCGUGUAUGAUUGGAUAGUGAAAAAUAUUCUAGUGGCGCUUUUGAUUUACCCAUAGAAUGGUUGAAUUGCUUGUUUCUAUGAACUGAGUUCGCCAAUAAUGUGAAGGAUGCCAGUCUUUUCAUCCUAUUGUAGAUUGCUUAGAUCUCGAUAUGCCAAAAGUAAUCGCAUGAAAUAUACAGUAAAAGCCAGUGUGAUGUGUUUGGCUACAACUAGUCUGACUACACGUCCUCAUAUAACAUAUCAAGGACGCACCAUCUUACCAGAUUAAUCAUUCGACUUACCCAUGUAGUGUGGGAAGAAAGAAGUAUUGGGACUGCGUAUCCAAGCAAUUGAUGCCAUGGACUCCUUCGUACAACCUUGUAAGCGAAAAAGAAGUUGCAGUGUGCCUGUACAAAGAACCAGCGUAAGUUCAGUUACCUGCUUCUCAGAAUUUUAGUUAGCCACUUAUUGCAAAAUUGUUCAAUUACGUUGCCUGACUUAAUUUAGUUUGCUACUAAUUACAUAAUGGCACAACCUGUUAAUCAUAUUGUAGACUGCGCCUAUCUAUGUGUUUGAUACUUACUGUUAAGAAUUACCUGUUUGCAUUAACUUAAAUAUCCACUUGUUUGUUUAACUGCUUUGCUGCUGCAACAGCGGGUUACAAUGAUGUUAAUAACUACUUUUCGGCAUCCAAUUGAAACUCUUUAAUUCCUUGUUUGUUUAACUGGUUUGAUUUUAUAACUCCCAGUUGAUGUUUUGCUAACUUCAACUUUUCUGAAUCCAAUCGGAACUUUAAUGGCAAAACAGGUUAGCCCAAGAUCAAAGAGCGAGGUCCCCAUGGAUGUUGCAUCAUCCCACAGCAGUGACACCGGCCCAAUCGUGCAUUAUGAAUUGCCAACUGCCGAUGCUCUAGAGGCUAAACUAGUGGUAGAAAGAGAUUCUGCUUCUGCACUUAGAGAUGAAGUUGACAUGUUGAGGAAGCAAACAACACAAUCACAAGCAGUACUCAAGACAACCAUUAAAUAUUUGGUGGAUUUCAAAACGAAGCAAGCUGAGACUGACCAGAUUGUUAAGGUCCUGAAGGAAAAAAGGAAA
rnacentral:lncRNA from 1 species